rnacentral:lncRNA from 1 species
AAGCCCAAACCUGUGGAAAAGGGCCCAAGCUCGGGGCUGUUACCACAUAAUAUUGACCAUUAUUUUUCCCAUUCUAUGAGCUUCUCGCGCACCCUAUUCAGAUUCUAAAAUCCAAAAUUUGGAGGUUUUAUGGGAUUUUUAUGCAGUUUGGAUUUUAGAAUCCGAACUGCAUAAAUCCGAACUGAAUAGGACAUGAGAGAAGCUUAUAGGAUGGGAAAAGAAACAUUCCAUAAUAUUUAAGUUAAGGUUACCAACACAUUUGAUAUUAUACACGCACACAAGUAUCACACCAUAUGUAGUAUUCUUUGAUAGACAAAAAAAAAAUCAAAGUAAUGCUAAUUUUCCUUCAUAUAAAUCAACUCCUUCUACGACUACAAUUCCUAUCCUCAUUGAUACAUUGGUUAUAUGCAUAUUGUGUUGUAAAAUAUCUACACGUUCUCAAUUAAACUUCCUAAAUUAAAGCUACCUUUCUAUCCACACUACAUUGAUGAUCCUUCUAUGUGAAAUCAUUUCAUCAAACUUUGGUGAUGCUCAUAGGAAAAUUUUAAGUUUAGGAAGGCAAUGACUCAAUAUUUUCUUUAACAUUUGGUGUAAUGUUACAUGAUCCAUUAUUAUUUUGAUGUACUGGACAGUAUUUCCUAAGAACCCUACCUUUGUUUUGCCUCCACCAUUCUUCUGCUUGAGUGUCAGUGAACCUUCUCUUACUGCAUUCAAACGAUGAAUAAAUAUAAUAUUUAGAGAGAAAUAGAAAUAAGAAAGGUAAAAAAGACCGAAUAAAAGUCAAUUAAAAAGUAUCUAGAGAACACAACUAUAGGACCAGCUACAUGAAUCAUGCCAUUAUAGUGUAUCCAAAGUCACAAAAAAUGUUAUAACUGAAUCUCUGAAGUUGAAAAACCCGAUUCCUAUUUAAAAUUUUAGGGACCUAGCGACAAAGUAUUUAUUUCGUAAAAAAAAAAACAAGUGAUUCAAAAUUUUAGAGAACCAGUUACAAAAUAUUGACUAGUUCAAGAACCUAAUAACAAACAUUUUUAGUUGAAGAACAUAUUUAAAAGACUUGCAUACACUUUUGGCCCCUUAUUUUUCAAAUUUACUAAUUUGGUCCCCUAUUUUAUUCUAUUUUUACCAAUCUUGUCCCACAAAUAUUAUUUUUGGAGAAUUUGAUCCCUGCACCAUUAUAAUUACACUUUUGAUCCUUCAAUAUUGCAGUCUUUUUGGAUCUUUUGGUCUCCAAUUGUGGGGAGCCAAAAGUUCUAAAAUGCAAGAAAUUAGAAAUCAAAAGUUCAAUUAAAACAGUGUAGAGACAAAACUGUUAAAAAUAAUACAUUUGAAAAUUAAAUUCAUGAAAAAUAAAUAGGGGAGCUAAAGUUGUGAAUUUGAGUAAUUAGAAACGCUAAAACUGUAUUUAAGAUUAUUUAAAAAUUGUCAAAUAUUUCAAGAAAGGACAGAGUAAUUAAUAUAAUAUCCCUUGACUGAGAUACAUGCGCAUAUACCAACAAUCAUAAACAGAAAUGGAGAAAUAUAACUCACCUGAAUUUAACUCUUUUAAAUAUUUUGAUUCCAUCAGCCCGUAGCGUGAGCAACGCAUAAACACCAGAUUGAAAUUUUUCAAAGAAUUGUGUUUCUGGCGGUCUCUCAUGUCUUGAACUGUCCAGCGAUGUUGAACUAUUUUCGGAGUUUUGGGGUGACACCUCUUCUCCAACACUAAAUUCACACGAUCCAUUACUUUCUUGACGAAUAUUUUUUUCAGACUCAGAUUGAUCAACUCUUGCAGUCUCAUCAAUUUUUUCAGGUAUGUGCUCUUGAGGUUUAGAAAUCUCACUAUCUGAGAUAGUUGUAUCGGUUGAAUUACGUUGCUCAGACUCCAGUGAUGUUGAACUAUUUUCGGAGUUUUGGGGUGGCACCUCUUCUCCAACACUAAAUUUACACGAUCCAUUAGUUUCUUGACGAACAUUUUGUUCAGACUCAGAUUGAUCAACUUUUGCAGUCUCAUCAAUUUUUUCAUGCAUGUGCUCUUGCGGUUUAGAAGUCUCACUAUCUGAGAUAGUUGUAUCAGUUGAAUUACGUUGCUCAGACUCCAACGUUGGUUUAUUAAUUUCUUCAACAAAAUUUCCUUCAUUUUGACAAUGGUCAACUCCUACAACAUUAGCAUUGCUUUCUAUUCUACGAUCUUCUAGUUCAAAAUUGCCACUAUUUGAGGUAGAUAUAUCAAUUGCAUGUUGCAAAACCUCUAACUUUGAUUGACCUAGACAAGAAUCAGCUCCUACAAUGACAGCAUGUUCUGCUGGUCCGAUAUUUUCUAAUUUAGACGAGUCAUUAUCUGCGGCAGAUUUGUCAACUCGAGUUUGGAUAGUACUCAACAUAUUAUCUGCUGGUCCGAUAUUUUCUAAUUCAGAUUCCGAAAAUUCUUUUAGAAAAUCUUCAACUCGAGUUUGGAUAGUACUCAACAUAUUACUUUCCGGAAUAUCUGCCGGUAGCUUCUCAGUCAUUUCCUUCAACUGAAUAAAAUAAAAGAUAAGUCUAGCUAUUUAAGACAAGGAACAAAAAAUCCUUAUUCAUUAUAUUUUUUUUCUUUAUGAAAUCCAUCUUCUUUUAUUUUUUUCCCAUUCAGUUUAUCAUUAAGUUUAUGUCACUCAUUAAAAUAUAAGGAAAAAUUGCACCGUCCUUCCUAAGGUCUCUUCCAUAAGGUCUUUUUAAAUUGCACUCACACCCCUCUAAUUUUUUUAAAGGAAAAUUAAUAUCUGUUACAUAUUUCUCUAACCGACACAUAUUCCUUUCUACUUAAAGGAGUUCGAUCUGGACUGCGACAUAAAAGUUUUUGAUGGUGCCCGCAAUAUUAAAGAUCAAGACCCAACUACAACCAUUAUCGCAACCGAUAUUUAAAACCACGCACGUUAGAGCUUUGUUAAACGGGGAAGCAAUCAUUCUUAGUUGCCCCAUAAUUUCUAAUUGAUACAUAAAUCUUUCACUCGAUAACUCUAUAUAUAAUCUUUCAACAGGAUUCCAACACUAUUUCUGACAUAAGAACUAAUGCAUCAAUCUGUCAAACUCAGAAAUUAGGUCAAGCAAUUUAGGCCUACAGUCCAGUGGUUGAUCAAAUCAUAACUGCCAUGUUCUCUCACAAUAAUUACUCUCACCUGAAUAUCCAUCCAACUUUAGCUUCCCCAUAAUUGCUCAUAAGCUCAUUUAUUCAUAAACUCUCUCAUACAGCUGGUGGAUUCAAUUGGCUGUACAAAUAUAACACUUCGUUCAGUUAUUUCAUGUCUCUAAAUUUUCCUAAACAAAAUGAAGACCAGCGAGGUUUGUGUUUUUCCAAAAUUAGAGGGGGUGUGAGUGUUAUUUAAAGACCUCGGGAAAGGACAAUGCAGUGUACCCUUAAUAGUAAGUUGAGGAGAAAUUAUUUAAACUACAAGGUGUUGACUCAAUAUUUUUGUCACCAAAAAUAAGACUCAAUAUUUUUAACAAUAUUGUUAUCUUGUUCUAAAGCAUUUUCGCAAAAUAUGCAAACAAAGCUUGAACGAGUUCAUUGAGACAUUGUGGCUAAGACAAAACUCCUAUCUAGUUAGUCGAAAUCUCUUUGAUACCAGUCAAUACUGUACUAGAAAUUUAAUCUUGUGCCUCAAGUGCAAGGUGCAGGCUACCUAUCUAUCUUCUAUCUUUUAUACAUUCUAAGAAAAGUGUUCCCCUAAUGACACAUGGUAGAAUUUCUCACAUCUGUUUCCCAUAAUUGCAUGCUCUUGCCCGAGAUCUUUACUACUGGUGAUUUAUAUAUUCGAGUCAACCCACAUAUCUUACGACAUGAUUUCAGAUUCCAUUUACAUUAAUUUCUUACAAUUAAUUCAAUAAUUUGAGCAAUGUCUAUUUAAGAUACCUGAUGUUUUGUAGAUUCAAUAAACUCUUUUGCUUCUGUAUGACUAGAAGAUUCCACUGCAACCAUGGCAAUGGCUUCAGUAGCUUUUUUCUGAAGUUUCUGAAUUUCCACAUCUCUCAUUUCACUUUUCUGCUCCAAACUUCGAAUCUAAACAAACAAAUAUGUAUUAACUUGUUAAUGCGGACACUAGGUUUAACCAACGUUAAAAACUAAAGAAAUGUUCGAACAUCUAUUUGGUGCAUCUAAAUUCAACAUCUUUUUUAAAUGGUUAAUGCAGUUCUUAUAUGUUGUUAAUAAGGGAUUAGACUUGGUUAAUAGAUACAUCAAGUGUUACCUUGAUUAACUUUGAUUUUCAAGUGUUCAAAUCUACAUGUAGUUGGAACAAACAACUGAAACUAUGGUUAAUAAGGUUCAAAUAUAUGGUUAAUUAAAUUCAAUUGAUGGUUAAUGUGUUAUUCAAUAUUGAUCCAUCCAUAAACCAUUCAUUCAUUCAUUCAUUGAACUGCUUUAACCAUCUAAAAUGUUGUCGAAUUCAGGUGUCCGAGAUUCAUGUUCAAAGAACAUUUCUUGAAUGACAUAGGGUGUCAUUGCUAUUUUACAACGGCAAUAAACUUACUUGGCUCUGCAAAUCCGAGACUCGUUGGUUCAGAACAUCAUUAGUCCUUCUCAAACUAUUGACAAUACCACCAGAAAAUCUUGGAUUGAUAAGGGGUGGAGAAGGGCUUGAUCUGUUUGGUGAUGUGGAACUUUGUGAUGAACUAGGGGGUGUAGAAGGCUUUGCAACACUAGGAAUAGAACUCAGUGAACUUGGAAAUGUGAUAUCUUUCAAUUGCAAAAGAGACGGAACUAAAGAAGCUCUUACAAAAGAAGUACAAUCAUGUUCAGUUCCAGGCUUAUGAUUCCUAAUUUCAAGGUAUUUCACUGGUUCAGUAGUAGAAGAAAAGAGAGUUCUUUUAGACCUUAUAAUACCUUGGUCUAAUCUUUCAUAAGCAGUUGUGGAACAAUGUGAAGGAACAGCUUUUCCAUUAAACUUGGAAGGAUCAUUGGUGUCAACAACUUUAAGCUUAGUAUAACAGGUAUCACACACACGAUGAGGUUUAUCUAAUGUUGGAGCCAUUGCAGCUUUGAUUGCCUUUUUAGAACUACAAUUAUGACAGAAAACCAAUCCACAGUUAUUACAAUUGUGCCGUAUUCUUGUUAAACCAAAUGGUUGUCUACAACCAAAGCAAACAGACUGGUCGGUUCCACUGACGUAUUUUUGGUUACAUACACAAGAUGUGAAGUUUGAACCACAUGAGAUAUUUUUCAAAUGCCUAUCUUUCAAGGCUAGCACAAGUGUAGGAGAUUUUCUAUCGUCUGUGUCACCAUGUCCUAGUCUUCCAUUAGAACCUUUUCCCCAUGUAUAUAAUUCGCUUCUUGAUGUCACAGCGGCAACAUGAUGUGCUCCACAUGAUAUUUCCUCAAUAAAUUCCCCAAGCAACUUAUCUUGAACUAAAGUAGGUACUUUUCCAGCAGCAUUUGGAUUUCCUAAUUGACCAUUUUCCGUGCUUCCCAUUGUAAAUACAUGACCAGAUGUAGUGAGAGCAACAGUCAUAGUGUGUCCACAUGCUAUCUGCUGGAAAUUAUAUUCAAUAAGGGGUGAAACACGCGUUGGUUUCAGGUACAUAUCUUUGUUUCCAUGGCCUAAACGAAAUUUGUCACCGUCACCCCAUGUGAAAAGCUUCCAUGAUGAAGCAUUUGAACCAGAUUGAAAAGCAACCUCGAUAAUAGCUGCAGUGUGCCAUACUCCGCAAGCAACCUUAACUGUCUUGAGUCCACUUAAUAACUGUACUUCCUUCGGAUACAUUACACUCUCUUGAUCACCAUGGCCCAAAACACCAAAUGUUCCAUCACCAAAUGUAAACAAUUUUCCAUUUGACGUUGCCAAUGCUGAAUGCCAUGAUCCACAUGCAACAGAUACGACACGAAGUCCAUCUAAAAAGCCGUUGACACUCUUUGGUAUCCAGUGACUAAUCUCAUUACCAUGUCCAAGAAGUCCAACAUUAUGUGUACCAUCACCCCAUGUAAAAAAAUUAUCGCAUUUAGACACGGCACUUGUAUGAAAUUCUCCGCAUGCAACAAUAUCCAAAGUAACAACAUCAGGAAACUCAACUAGAUGAGGCUUACCAAAAUCUUUAUCAAUUCCAUGACCAAGUCUUCCCCCAGAUUCUUCACCCCAAGUAAAAACCUUUCCUUCUCUGCUUACUAUAGCAAGAUGAUGUGUACCGGACACAAUGUCACGAACAUCAAGAACAACAGUUGACUCUAACAGCCUAGGGGUCAACACAUCUGUCUUUGAAGGAAAUCCAUCUGCAAAAACCUCUCCCCAUAUGUAAACAUCACCUUUUGACUCAAUAUCAUCUGCUUCAGAUCCUCCACUUGAAUUGCUAGGUGUACUAGAUGCGCUAAAACGGAUAACGUCUACAGCACUUGCUCUUGGUUGCAUAUUUGCAAGUUCCAACCUCGCAUCUGAGUCUGCCUACCAGGAACAAUGCCCAAAGUUAACUGUAGUUCUUCAUCUAAAGGAUGACCAUUCUGAAUAAGGACAAAUAUAGAUGUGUAAACAAGUAUCUGUGAUGCACAGUCCCUGAUUAUACAAAACAUUAACUAAUUAGAAAGUUCGCAUUUCAUAGCAUGGAUUCAUACAAAUGCAAAAUUUUAACAAACUGAGUAAAAGUAAUCACCAGUUACGUAUUCACUCAUUCAAUUGAAAUAAUUUCAAAAACAUUCCUGGAGUUAUUAGGAUCAAGAUUUUUACAUAUUUGACCCUAAACACCACACAAACUUAAUUGAAAUUUGACAUAAACUAUAUACUUGGAAACCAACAUUUAAGUGCAAAGAGAGAAAAAUGAAAAGUCAAGUGUUAUACAGCAUUUACGAUUUAAAAUUCUCUUUUCAAUACUAUGUUAUGUGGGAUUUAACCAAAUAAUAGCGUUAAAGAGAGAAAGUCCAUGAAUAUAUUGACAUUUCUCACUCUCUACUUCUAUUCAUAAAUGGAAAAUACAACAAAUGCAUUUGUCAAUUAAUUUUCUUUCUUCAAACCAAAUUCAAUAUUUAUAAAUACAUUAUGGAAGUCAAUUUGUUUUCUUACCCAAUCAAGCAACCAUACCCUGUUAUUAUAAACAAGUGAAAAUGAAAGAUAAUCUGUUUCUGGUAGCAAAUUUCAUCUGAAGAAAACCUGCAAAGUUGUUACAACAAGCAUAAGAUGUCUUUAAGAGUUUGUUAAUAUGACCAUAUAUAUAUAGCCAGAAUCCUAAGACCGAAAAUCAAAUUAUUAGGAUUAGUUUCUUUUGUAUGAGAAAGUUGAACUGUCUCAUCCUAGUAAAGACAUUAAACCUAUAAUUGUGCAUACAGAGAUAUCAUAUACUCGACAUUUAGUUUAAAAUUGCGGUCUUCAACCGCAAUUGCAGCCACAGUAUAAUGGUUCUGAGGUCUACGUAAUGACAUCAAAACCACAAUUUUGGCUGCAUCCGCCACAUUUGCCUGUAUUUUACCGCAAUAUAAAGGUUUGCAGCGUAACCACAACCGCAGUUUAAAACCAUCUUUGUGCAUAUAUCUACUCUAGAGGAGGAACUAAUAAUAUCUAAUGUUGUAACGUGAAUUUAAUGUUUUGGUGAAAUCUCGCAGUGAUAGUCUUCUGAAUUUGCAAAAUUUUGGCUUUCCUUUCCCCCAUUUAUUAAAUAACAGAAUGCCUUUCUUUAAACAAUGUGUGUCUACAAACAACAAGAGCAACCAAGUCUUAUCCCAUUAGAUAGAAUCAGCUCCAUGGAUCAAAUGACACUAUAGUGUUUUAUCAUAAAUCAUAUCUUUAUAGAUUCACCCUAUGAAGCACUAACACUGACAUGUCAACACCGGUAGUAAUUUAAGAAAAUGGCAUAAUUGAAUGUAAUCACAUUUUCCGGUGUCUUGUCGGACAAAGACAUGCGUGGACACCGGACAUGCCAUUGAUUAGAAGUGUCGGUGCUAUAGAGGAUCAUUCACUUGUGAUAUUUUCGAAAAAGAUCAAAAUAUUAUUAACAAAGUACACAGAGGGGUAAUCUAAAAAUCUAUACACAAAAAGAGCUCUAAGAACCGCCAUAUACAAACUAAGCCAUCAGUUUAAUACUCUCAGAUUACUACAUCAAUCAUAAAGAAAACAAGGAUAUAGAUUUGUCUCAGAUUACCAACAAAUAUACGCACAUCCUUAUUAAUUACAACCUCUGUUGCAUCAACACUUCUAACUGAAGGCGUGUCCGACACUAUACUGACACUUGUGAUUACAUUGAAUUAUGUCAUUUUUUCAAGAUUUUUAUCCGUGACGGUGUCAGUGUCGUGUCCCGUGUCUGUGCUUUGUAGAUUACAACAUGAUAAAACCCUAAUCUGGCAUUUUAAACUACAAUCAUUAAAAUACCAAAAAUUCCAGAAAAAAAUACAUAAUAAUCUCAUUUUAUUGCUAUAUCAAUUAAAUCUGUUACAAUCAAUCUAAGUGAUUUUCACACACAUAAUAGACAUGUAUAACUAUAAGUACCAGUAAUUAAGAAACCUUUGAUGAAACUAACUUGUUCAAUCUCAUGAUUCCCAUAACUAGCUGGAUUUUCCAUUCCAUCUCAAAAAAUGGUAUGGAAUUUUCCCAAUACCAAAAUCAACGAACAACAAUGGCAUCAAUCAUAAAGAUCCUUGAUCUUUUUAUAAUCACUUUGCAAUCUCACAACAAAGUUAUUAAACCUUCAAUAAUAAUCUUGAUAAAAUUAAGCUUCAAAGUUCAUAGAAAUCGAAUUGGUGGCAUGGAUCUGAAAAUUUUUGGUUCACAUGCAUGAGAUUAUGGAAUUAGUUUUGUGAAAAAGGGGAUUAGGGUUGAUCGGAGAAAGUAUGAAAAAUUGCAGAUGAAUGAUGAAUGAGGAAAGGAUGCGAAAUGAGAGGAAGGAAACUACGUGUUGUGAUUUCAAGCAAUAUAAGGGAAGUUAAGAUUUCGCGCGCCAUAUUUUUUUUUUUUUUUUUUUUUUACUUUAACCCUUUGACUUCUCAGGGGAAUGAAUCUGAUAUCCUAGAGUUCGGCCGAAAAAAAAAAUAAAGUCAGACAAGAAUAGUUUAAUUUAAAAAUCAAAUUCGGAUUCUCUUGAACAAGUUGUUUUUUGGAAAAGUUCAUUAACCUUUUGAAUUCAAUUAUUUGGUUUAGCGUGUGAUUCUUACCUUACUUGAUUUCAUGUGGUUCUUACAUCACAUGGUUUCUACCAAUAGAGGUUGUAUUUAGUAUAAGAGGUUGGACUACCAAACGUGGUGUAACACUCAAGGCUGACGAGGGUGGGGAGUGGUCGCGGAUGCACAAGGCAUGAGCUUUUGAGAGCUUUUAGACGAACCGAAUCACAUCGGAAUGAGAAAGAUCAUGAGGCAUUGCAGGUAUGGGACUGCAUUGUUGAAUGAAGGCUUAUAAAAACCUUUGAUGAAACCUAUAACUACCCGUAAUUAAGAAACCUUUGAUACGUUAAUAUUAUAGAGUUCGGCCGAAAAUAAAUAAACUUUGACAAUAAUUAUUUAACCAAUUAAACAAGUGAUUUUCUUUCGUGAAUUCAUUAAUCAUUUUAGUUCAAUUACAUGAAUUGUGGUCAUUGGAUGGUUGAUGACCUGUUUUGCAAUUGCAUUCCUUAUAUGCACAUCAUCAAUAUCUUAACUCAACACAAGGAUUUUUUUUUAUUAAUCGAAAUCGACAAUUUCAUCAUUUAGCCACUAUUAUCCUUCCUAAUUAUCAAACCUUGUGAUAACAAGCAUCUUCAAUUAUAACACUAGUGGAGACUUCUUUAUUUGGGAGGCUGUUGUAUAUGGUAUGUAGUGUUACCUUUUUUCUCCAAACGAUAUUAAAUUCAAAGUCACUUGCUAGCAUCUUUGGCGAUUAAGAAAUAAUUUUCUCUUUAACAAUCAAACUUAGUCUUCUUAGAAAGUUUCAAUCAAAUUCAGUCCUCAAAUGAUGUUAUUGUGGCUGUCUUUUAGUCGAAAAAGAAGUUGUUGAACCGCGGUUAGUGAGAUGGCAUCCUCCUUCCAUGAUAUUGUUAAGAUAAAUUUUGAUGGGAGCUCCUAUGCUAAUUGAUAAGUACCAGAUUUUUGGUUAUUUUACAUAUUUAUUCACGAUACGCAUUAACUUGUUUUACAAGUAAUAUCAAGAAAACCAAGAAAUCAUACAUAUAUACUUAUGCUUAUAAUACCAGUUAAGUUCAUUUUACCUAUUUUCCUUCAAUUUUUGUAGGUUUUUGAGCUUAAAGACCAAGACUGGUAAAGAGCAAUAAUUCUGAGUCAGCGCGCAUUUGCUAAGCGAGCCAGGAGCGUAUCAAGAAAAAACAAACUAAAUUUCAAAGUUGCAAGACAAGAAGAUUCGCCAGGCAAGCAAGAGCGAGAGCUUAAAAUGAGGAAUUCUAGAGAGUUUUUGGGAAUUUUCAAUAACAGAUUUGUUAGGUGAGAAACAAUUCGCCUAGCGAACCAAGGCAGUUUUAGUGACCUGUUUGAUAAGAUGUAAUUUCCCUUCAUCUAAAGAAAUCUUAUGUUCGCUAGGUGAUCCAAAUUCGCUUAGCAAAAAUCCGCUUACCAGAAUUCUUUUGAAGGGAUCAUUUCAUACCUUUGCCCCAAGAUUUGUUGCAGAUAUUAGAAGCUCAUAAAUAUAGGCAUGGAGAGAGAGUGAUCUAAAGGAGAAGGCUACAUCAAAGGAGAUCGAGAAAUCAGCUUCGAUGUCACAUCUCUUUUUUUCUUGUUUCUUAUUGUAAGGUUAUGUUUAACCAUUGUUGGGAUUAGGUGUAGUAGUUAUGAAUCUUAUACUUGAUAUGGCUGGUUAUAUAUAAAUUAGGCUUAUUAGAUCGUUUGGUCCCUUAUUUAAUUUCAUGUUUUCAUUUUGGUACCACAAUUAAUAAAAAUUGCAUUUUAGUCCCUCAUAUUUUCCUCCGUUUGUCAAAUAAAUCCCUUCCGUCAAAUAAAUCUCUUUUCCGUUAGUAGCCCACGUGGCAAGUAUAAAAAAGCAUUUUUUUUUAGAAACCUAGCAUUAUGGUUCCUCAUCUUCAACCUGCCUCUUCCCUCUCUGCAAAAUCCCAUCUUCUCUUCUAAUUAAUCAAACCCUAUUAAACCAUAAACCCAAAAUCACAAAUCAAAAUCAUACAGUAGAAAAAAUCAAUUUUUUUUUCACCACCGCCACUUCUCUCUUCCACCACCACCACUUCUCUCCCUCCCUCCAUUGCUUCACUAUUCAUCUGUUCACUAUUUUUUGCUUCUUCCUUCUUGUUUCUUUUUCACUUCUAAUUUUCGGUUUGAGACUCCCUCUUUUGGUUCACUUCUUAAAACCUACAAAUCAUUAACUAUUAACUCUCAUUGUUUUCAUUUUCUGGGCUUAAGAAAUUUGGGGGAAAUUGAAAUUGGGAAAAAAAAAAGGUUAGGGAUUUGGAGGGUUUGAUUUUAGGAUGCAUUGAUGAAGAAAUUGAAUUUUGGUGUUGAUUUUAGGGUUGAUUUUCAUAUCUGAGUUGGAUUCUGAAAGUGGAAUCUGUUGAAGGGUAACAACAACUGUAAAAAAAAUCAUCAUGAAUGAAGGUGCAGCUGCUUCUUUCUGUGCUUUAAAUGCUAUACACAAACUAGAAUUGGAAGGGAAAAAAGUAGCAACAAUUUUCAUCACUUCACAAUCCAUUUCAAUUAAUGAAGUUUUUCUUUUCAAUUUUAUGGCAAUUGUUUAUGGAAAGGAAAAAUUAUAUAGAGAUUGAUGGAACUUAACAGAGAUUGAAGGCAAUUGUUUAUGGAAAGAAGAAGAAGAAAAUUAUACAUAGAAAAUUUGAUUUUUUUAUUCCUCCAGCGAUGUGAAUUGGAGAGAAAUGAAAAAUUUGGGAGAAGAAUUGCAAGAAAGAAAUAGAAGGAUGAAGUGUCGUGUGUGUGUGUGUUUUUUUUUUUUUGUUUUAAUUUUUUAUUUUAUUUUUCUGGGUUUAAAUGAGUAUGAAGAUGGAUGAAGGUGAUGAAGAUGAAGAAGAAAUAGAAGGAAUAAGAUGAAGAAAAUGAAAGAAAAAUCAUGUGUUUGUGGUCUAUUAUAAGAUUAAAUGGUCUUGCAUGAUCCAAGGGCCUAUUUUGUUUCAAAAUGAUCUAAAGGCUAAAAUUAAAUAAAUUAAUAAGGUGUACGGUGGACCAUCUAUAAUGUUGGUCCACCAUAGACAUUUGGGGGUUAAAGUUAACUGUCAUGGAUUUAUUUGGCAAACGGAGGAAAAUGUGAGGGACUAAAACGCCAUUUUUAUUAAUUGUGGGACCAAAAUGAAAACAUGAAAUUAAAUAAUGGACCAAACGAUCUAAUAAGCCUAUAAAUAACAUUUCAUUAUAUCAAUAUUUUUAUUCCCUUUCUUAAUGUUUUUUCCAACAUGCAAUCCGAAAAUGAUAUCUUGACUUGGAAAGUGCUAGAAAUAUACUUUCUCCGUAAGGGACAUGGGUAGAAGCAUUUGUGGAUUUCAGUUGUGAUACAUCGGGUUAUGUUUACAAUCACGUAUAUUGUCUAACCUUUAUGACAUUGUAUUUGUCAACUGAGCUAGGCAUAGGAAGUUAAUAAAAAUAACGGAUAUCGUGUCCUUUGUCAGACAUGAAAACAUACAAUAAGGGACAGUUGAAGGAAUAAUUGAAAUAGGAGGAGUAUAUAAUUGAUCUAGGAAGGUCAUUAGACGAUUAGUUAUCAAACUUAAUCCCGACAAUAAUAUCUCUCUAUUCUAGUUUCAUUAUUUAACUACAAAGACUGAUACAAAAACAAUCUAUCCUUCCAUACUAAAAAAACAAUAUUCGUUGUUGAACGGCUUAAGUAUCGCACAAGUCCUUAUGAAUACGAUAAUUCUAAAUACUUAGUUUUGAUGCCGCUAUAAAAGCAACUCAUUCGUAAUACGAGUCUCGUUGGCUUCGGUGCUUUAUGAAGAAAGUAUUGUGCUUCCAACACGACAUAUGAGUUGUUAGUUGUCUUUAAUGGCAUCAUUCUUGCUUAGGAUUAGGGCUUUAAGAAUGAGAUUAUUAAAUUUGAUUCCAACAUUUCUCGGAGCUUAUUUCUACUUACCACACACGUUAUUCUAGCAACACUCUUUUUUUAACAUCCUUUUUAAUAUUCACUCUCUUAUUGGUUUAAAUAAUUGUGGAUCUAUGUUUUGAAAAUUGAACUCACACAAAGUGGUAGGACAUAUAUUGAUUUCAUCCAAUAAUAGAGUGAAUAUUAGAGAGUGUUGAAAAGUGAAUGUUGUUAGCAUUUCUUCUCGAGAUAAUGAUCAAUUUAUUUUUGUCACACGCUAGAUGAAUGAAGUUAAGAAGUGGAUUGACUUGUUAAGAAUGAAGCUUGGUCAACUUCGAACUUGCAAAUUUGUUCUAUUGGUUUAUCAUCUAUUGUCAUGGACGAUGAUGCUUCUAACAUCAUCAUUUGUCAAUUUGUCAAAUAAAAUAUCAUCACCACCACACGUACCUUUGAAAGCGUCUAGUAACACAUACAUUAAAAAGAUUUUCAACGUUCAACAUUUUUUAAGUCUUCUUUAUAGCCCCCAUUAAACUUGUCAUUGACCAUUUCAUAUAAAUUGAUUUCAUGUCAAACACGGAUGCAAACAAAGCACAAAAAUACAAUGCUACUUUAUUAUAUACACACACUUUAUUAUAUAUAGUAUUUUUUUAAGUGCCAUUAUAUAUAUAUAUAUAUAUAUAUGAACCAUAGAAGAAUACAUACAUAAGCAUAACACCAUCUUCAAACAAAGAAUCAUGAAGAGAGUACAAUCUUCUGCAGCAAAUUAUGAGAGUGGUAUCAUUGGUCCUCAAUAUCGUGUUCCUCAUUUAGUUGACCUAUCAAUUGUGAGAAAUGUCACAACAUUAACUGAUAAUUUCACAGUCAAAGAUUUUAAUGGCAAAAUCUUUUUCAACCUCAAAUCCCUUUAUGAUCAAAGUCUCUUACUUGAUGCAGCUGGAAAAUCUGUUGUCAUGACGCUGCGACGAAAGGUAAUUUGACACUAAUUUCUUCAAUUCCCCACAUAUUUUGAUCAUUUUUUAUGACAGUGUCAAUUUUUUUUAAUAUCAAUGUUAGUAAUUAGUUGUUAGAUUAAUAUUUUUUGUAAAUUUUUAUACAGGCGAUGACGGGGCAUGAUAGAUGGCAAGCUUUUCGAGGUGAAAGUACAGAGGUGAAAGAUUUGAUAUUUAGCGUAAAGCGAUCAACCAUGUUUCAAACAAAGAUCAAAUUAGAUGUGUUCCUAGCUAGUAAUGCUAAAGAAGAUAUUAGUGAUUUUAAGGUCAAAGGAAGUUGGUUAGAGCGAUCUUGUGUUGUUUAUGCGGGUGAAUCUCAUCACAUUGUUGCCCAGGUAAUGAUCCUUUCUAUUUACUAUUUCAUAGCAUAGCAUUGUUCAAGGAAUUAAUUCAUAUAAACCGUCGGUGUGAAAAAGUUUUAUACCAUCAAUGACUCAAAAACGUAUCAUUAGAUACAUUUGAUUUUUAUCACUCUCAUUUUUAAAGUUACACUCGUAGUUGAUUGUGAUACAUUGACAAUGUAAAAUUUACGUGAAAAUUUAACCCCGUAAAAAUGUAAGAUAUUUUUUUUUUAUAGAAGCAAGUUUUUAUUUAAAAUUUUAAUCUUGCAAAUGCAAUUUUAUUUGAUUGUAGAUGCAUAAGAAGGAGACUGUUCAAAGUGCUGCGUUUGGCAAAGAUAAUCUCACGGUUAGGGUGCAUCCCAAUGUUGACUAUGCAUUCAUCGUAGCAGUGAUGUUGAUUCUUGACGAAAUUAACCAAGACAAAACAUGACAACAACAGUAGCAAUUGUCCGCAAAGUAUAGCUUAACGAAUAAUAUCAAAAUUGUUAAGUUGGAUAUAUUUUGUGAUUACUUGGAUUCGAACCCAAAAUUGAUAUUUUGAGUUUUUAGGUGUGCAAGCUUGAAUGACACACCUCUCUGCAUAUAAGCAUUUACUUGGAGAGCUAUUAGUUAGGAUUUUUUUUUGUUUCAAUCAAUAAGAGAAGAGAGUUAGUUGAAUUUAAUUAAGUUGGUUAUUUGCCAACUAUCUCUAACUUUCAGUGUAUAUAUAUACUUAUGUAUAUUCACUCAAUUAAUAAAAUCGUGAUUCAUUUCUCCAAAAUCAUUCUAUGUAUUUUUUUUCCCCCUCUAAAUUCUAUGUAUAUAUACUUAUGUAUGUCAAUGUUGUUUCAACGAGAAAUUAAACUUAGUGCUCCCAAAAACUGAUUCGACCUUGAUUAAAUCUCAUUAACCACUUGCAACAUGCAUGACUCACCCUUAAUUCAUCAUCGACAUAUUACAUAUUAUUGAUAUAAAUUGUUCAAUUAGUGUUAUUGAUCCCUUCAUUUAUUUGGAGAGCUAACAAAAAUUGAUGAAUUAUAUUUAUAUUUGAUAUUAUCACAUAAUACUUCAACUUGUGUUAGAAAAAUGGGAUGGAAUGUAAGGAGUAUCUUGGUUCUUUUGAGUAUCAUAUAAGUGAUUAUGUAUAAAGUCAUUGUUUUCAUAUAAGCUUUAAAAUGUUUUCAUAAGUUAUCCAAAAGAGCUUAUGAGAAUAAGCCAUAAACAACCUAUGAACAUGUCACAAGCUGUUUCCAUAAGCUAUAUCAAACAGUUUCACAAGUGCUUAUGCAUAUAGAUAAGCUCAAAUAAAUCAAUCCAAACAUGCAAAUAUCCUUACAUCUAUUGAAUAAGAUUUGCUAUAUAUACAUAACUAAGAUAAAUUUGUAGACUGAGAAUGAAAUUGUGCUGACCAACAAAAUGUAGGUAUGCAUGCAAGUAAACGAGGAACCUUUGAUGAAUAUAAUGCACAAUCCCUAACAUAAAAGACCAUCAUCUCAAUAUUCUUGGUUCAUUUGAAACUUGUCUUGAAACACCAUGCCGUCUUCUACCGUUUGAUGAAGGAUCUAACAGACUAAUCUGUACGUUUCUAUCCGUUGUCUGAAUUUCUGAGCCUAUAACAGCAACAUUAUCAACAUUCCUAUUUAACAGAGACACAGAAGCUGCUGCAGCUGUAGAAACGGUCACAGCAACAACAUCUUGAGCAAGAUUCCCUAUUACAAGCAACAACAGGAUAUCUGGAUAAGCCAUAAGUUUCCAUGCUGUUUCGCCAAAAAGAUCACUAAAAACAGAAGUGGGUAUCAAUAAAUUCUAAAAAUCAGUAAAGCACCUUCACUUUAAAUUAAUUUUCUCUCUACUUAGUUAGAUUUACUAUGAGUUAUUUUUCUAUCGUCAUACGAGUUGCUGUCGGCCUUGUGCCGAUACAGAAGGAGUGGAAAUAAGAAAGAAAAUACAGAAUGAAAGAAAAGUCUAUAACUCUAAUGUUAAGCUAAUUAGGUGUGAUUGUGUUUCGACAGAGCAAUGUGUCUUUAUUUCGCAUAGAUGCAUGCUUCAUUAUGUACUACACAUGCUUCUAGUUUGUUGCAGAUAUUGUAUGGCUUGAAACUUUGCUUUUAUAUCAAUUUGAAAUCCGUUAACCAAAAGAGAGAUUGAGACAUCCACAGUAGAUAGAAUGUAAGUGGUAAUUUUAGAUUCAACAAAACUAUUUUAUAAGAAGCAAUCAUGAUAAACUGCAUGCCGAUAAUACAACAACUGCCCGCAAUGCACAUAAUCUUAUGUGCAUAAGCUAUAGAAUAUUAAAGGCUCUUAUCCACAGCUUGUAUUCAAGUAAUCAAGCCAUGACCCCAACUGGAGUAAAUGAGGCAGGAAAACCCAAUCUGAAUACUGACCAAAAGAUUCAGAACUAGAUAUUCAAAAGACCAAGAUAAAUCUAAUAAGAACAUGUAAAGGGAUGGUAUGAUGACCGAUAACCUGAACUUACUCAAGUGAGACACCAUACUGUUACAAACAUAAGAGGAUAUUGACAAUUAGCAGGCCCUAUUUGGAUAAACAGUUUAACUUAUCAUAUAAGUGCUUAUGUAUGAACUAUUUAUAGAAUAAAAGUAAAAGUAUAGUCAAACUAUUUUCAUAUAAGCUAUAUGCUUUUUAAUAAGCUGUCCUAAAGAGCUUAUAGAAAUAAACUAAAACAGCUUACGAACAUGUCAUGAGUUGUUUUCACAAGCAAUAUCAAACAGUCUCACAAGUUCUUGUACCAGUAGAUAGUAGAUAAUCCCAAAUAAGUCAAUCCAAACAGGCAAAUAUCCUUACAUCGAUUGAAUAAAACUUGAUAUAUUUAUGUCAAUAACUAAGAUGUUAUUUGAUAUUUGUCUUAGACAGCGAAUAAAAAUUGUGUAUGACAAACAAAUUGUACUAUGCAUGCAUGUAAACGAGGAACAUGUGAUGAAUAUAAUGCAUGUCCACUUACAUAAAAGACCAUCAUCGCAGUCUUCUUCUUCUUCUUGGUUCAUUUGAAACUUGUCUUGAAGCGCGAUUUCCUCUUCUACUUCUAGAUGAAGAAGGGUCUAGCGAACUAACCUGUACAUUUCUAUCAGUUGUAUGAAUUUGUGAGCCUGUAACAGCAACAUUAUCAACAUUAUCAACAUUCCUACUUAAAGGAGAAACAGAAGCUGCGGCAGCUACAGAAUUGGUCAGAUCAACAUCUCGAGCACGACUCUCUGACUGGUUUGUAGCAGCAACACCUAAAGUUGAAUUUCUAGUAACAGCAGGAGGAUUUUGCUCUCUGCUUCCUCCUGUAUUGUGACCAUUGAUAUAUGACUCAAGGUCCUGGACUAAUCUUUCAGCAGAAUCCAUGGCAGAAUUUAAUGCUGAUGAAAGUGACGAAAACGAAGAAGCUCCUUGCUCUAGCAACCUUGAAACCUGUUGAGAACCACCAUGUUCAUUAUUGUCGGUCUGCGUGCGAGACUGAACAGGCAAACCAUUGUUUCUAUCAGGUGUGGUACUAGUAGGGCUUUCUAACUGAACUUGCUCUCCAAAUCCACCAAUUCGGUUCUGAAACCGCCGAAUACUUUGGACAAUAGAAGAAGAAGAUGCUCCUUGGGUUAGCAACUUCUGUCUAAUACUCUCAACUCUAGGUGCCUUAGGUCGAGGAGGAACUCUUAAACCGGCUUCUUUCAUUUCCAUCUGACAAUCACCGCCGCCAUUUCCAUGCCCAUAUAUUGGAAUAAUACCCGAUUCAGUAACCUCUCCUUUACAAACAGGACAUUCCUUCGCUUUUGAAUAGGCAUACGAUAACUGAUAGAAACACGGCCAACAAAACAAAUGACCACAACAUGUCAAAACAGGAUCUCUUGCAAUAUCCAAACAAAUAUUACAAUCAAAGAAAUUCCCACUACUCUCCUCCACUUUACCAUUAUCAAUCUCUUCCAUCCCUAGAGCUUUUGCUAUCAAAUGCGAACUUUUCCUUUUCCCCCCUUUCACACUUUCAACUAUCCCUUCCUCCUGACCAGCAUCAUUCCGCUCCUCCCUCCGUUCUUCGCCUUGAACAUCACCUGCUGUUGCAGUUUCUCCUAUAACAUUGGUUACCUGAAUCCGAGAGGAACUCGGCGGCAACCCCCGACGCUGCCUCGCUCUCGAAGUAAUUGCUUCAAGGUGUAUGAUUCGGUUUCGUAUAUUUUCUUCGGCUGAUUCAAGUUCUUCCAACAUAGAAUCAAAUGAACCCGCUGACGUACUAGUUUGAUGAUCCAAAGGCUCCUGAUUCAAAUCAAGCUCCAUAUUAUACACAACCUUGACCCCUUUUUUUUCAAGUCUAUCCCAUUAACAUAUUUUUAUAUGUUUCAAAAUCCUAAUACAAAUUAAAAAACAACAACAAAGUCAAAAAAGCUCAUCAUGUUUAAAUAAGCGAAUACUAAUUUCCUAUGAAGCACAGACACACGGCACAGACACCAGACAUAACACCGACACAUCAACACUAGUUUUAUACUCGACCUUAACCCCUUUUUUUCAAGUUUAUCCCAUUAACAACAUAUUUUUAUAUGUUUCAAAAUCCUAAAACAAAUUAAAAAACAACCACAAAGUCAAAAAAGCUCAUCAUAUUUCAAUAAAUAAAAAAACACAAUACUGACACGUCAAUACCACUAGUAAUCUGAGCUAAUGACAUAAUUGAAUGUAAUUACAUGUGUAGUGUUGGACACCGGACACGUCUUCAAUAAGAUCAGAAGUGUCGAUGCUACAAAGCUAAUUACUAAUAAAUAUCAAAAAAUAAAAUUAAAUGAUUGAUAAAACAUUGAUAAUGGAACUGAGAAUGAAUAAUUCGGAUCUACUAACUUUAAAGUGGGAAAGUCACGAUGACUUUGCGUCUAUCCGUCACCUAUAUAUGACUCACUUUCUCUCAAAUUCACUAAAGUCACAUUGACUUUCCCGCCACCAAAGUCACUGAUCCCCUUUGUAGUACCUACACUUCUGAUAAAAGGCUUGUCCUGGUGUCCGACAUGUGUCAGUGUUUGUGGAUCCGUGCCGGUGAUUCAUAUUUUCAAACUAAUUAAAUAUAUUAUUGUUAUUGUUAUACCUAUAAUUCAUAUUGCAUGCACUGAUUAUUCAACAAAUAAUUCACCAGCAAAAAAAAAAAAAAGCUAAAAAUUGGAUCGGAAAAAAAAGCUAAAAACGAAAUGGAAAGGAAAAAGGAGUGAAGAAAUUACCAUGGAAAUGGAUGAUGAGGAAGAAACGGGUUGUUGUUUGUUGAAGCGGCGGUGAUGAUGAGAUUUACCGAUUUGUUUGUUGUUUUGUUUGAUUAUGAAGAGGCAUUGACAAACACAGACUUAUAAUCUUUUUUUAUAUUUUGCUAGGGUAUUUUUAUUUUCUAAUUAAAUUAUUAUUAUUUUCUUUUUGAUAAAUUAUUUAUCUUAAAAACAUUAAAAGAUAAGUCAAAAAAAUACUUUAGAUUUUAUAUAGAUUUUUUUGGUGGAAUGGAUUUUAGAUAGAUUUUGAAAGUGGUGAUUGCUUUAUUUAAUUAGGUUUAAAUGUAGUUUACUCUCUUUAUUUUGAUUAAUUUUGGAUUUAAUUCCCUAUUUUAAAAUUCUGAAUUUUAGCACCUCUAUUUUGUAUGCUUCAAGAUUUACAUCCAACCACAUUUAAACUCAUUUUUGUCGAUGCAGCAAUACUUAUUUGGAUCCUAUAAUAGAGUAUUUUAGUUGGAUCCUACACUGCUUUCUUCUUCUGCAAUGGUUGUUACUCCAAAACCGUCCUUUGCACAAGUUGUUAGAGGACCUCAAGUACAAUUCUCAUAUCUGUUUUCAAUACCGUCAAUUCGUGGAGACACACUUUCGAUUAAGAUUAUCCAUGAGGCUUAUGCUCGAGGAUUAGAAGCGUGUAUGGUUAACCUUUGGGGCAGACUAGUAUUGACAAGGGGGAUAACCCAUAUUCUUCCAAAGAUAUCGUUGCAAAGCUGCAAAAAUUGUGGAAGACUAAUGGACAAUGGUGUAUGCUAUCCCUGGGCGGGGGGUAUUAUGAGUUCUCUUUUGCUUUUUACGAGGACUUGCAAACAAUAUGGGCAUCAUGCAUGGUUAGUUUGAAACCUAGGAUGUUGCGUUGAUUUGAAUGGAUGAAGGACUUUAACGCUAACACAUAACGGCAGCCACAUACUCAAGUUUGGAUACAAUUGUGGGAAUUGCCGCAUGAGAUAGCAGUGGCUAUCAAGACAUCGUUGUUAAAUAAUAAUGUUACUAAGAACACACUAUUUGGACACUAUGCCAGGUUGUUGGUGGAUUUAGACCUUUUCAGAGUUUUUUUUUAUGAAGUUAUGGUGGAAUAGAAAGGUUUUGCAUUCCCCGUUGAGAUUGAAUAUGAGGGCUGCUGGAAUUUUGCACUCAUUGUAAAAGCAUUGACCAUAAUUUAACAUCUUGCCUAUGGUUACAUCUGAAAAAAGCAGACAAACAAGAGAAACCCAUUCCAAUUGAGAAAGGGAAGAAACCGAUAAAUUCGCAGAAACAGUACACGCAAGGGUGGAAGUCACGGGAUAAUCCAGAAGGCAUUUGAUCCUCUAACACUUUUAAGGUUGUGGCUCCCCAACAGCAGUAGGAGGCACACGCAGAUAAGGUCCUUCAGAUUGUAGACAUACAAAAAGAGAGUGUGGAGGUACAUGGUACACAGCAUGAGCAGCCAGCAGAGAAUGCGCAGGUCGUGAGUUCUUCCCUUCAUCCUGCAAAUAAUUUAGAUGCGCAGAUAGCAAGUUAUCUUGUUAAGACAACAUCACAACAUAUGGAAAAGUCUAAGACUUCCUUUCAUAUGUCGUUGCAUAAUGUUGUCGAUGAAAUAGUGACGCAACAUUAAUCACGAUUACAUGAUGUUCAACCGAUCCUCACGUUGGCUUCUGACUUUAUGCCAGGAUAUUCAAAAGAUUAUGGCUGGUCUUGACGACCCGAUGGAUCCAAUAUUACAGAGGGAAAUGAAUUUGGUGAAAGAUUUAUUAGCUAACAGUGCCUCAGUAGAUGUUCCACUCACUCCCUAUUUGACGAAGGCACAAAAGAAAAAAGUUGUGAAGGCGGCAUAUCAUGAAUCUCGUGUUGCUCUUAUUGAAUUGUGUCGUGUACAUGGUCCUUCUUUGGUUUUCUUGGUCGAACCAAUGGUUACUUUUAGCUCUAUCCCGAGUUGGUUUUGGAAUAAUAUUUGGGUCUUUAAAUGUUGUACCAAUAAUAUAGGCUCUCUGCUUCCGAAUCUUUGGACAUUGUGGGGGGCGGAUGUUGAUUUUGUGGUUUGUUUUUCCUCGUCAUAGUGUAUGGUAUUGGAAUAUAUUUGUAAUAAUCACAAAGUUUAUAUAGCGGGUAUUUAUUGUACCACAAUUAUUUACAGAGUCAUGGACUUUGGUCUGAUUUGACAGCAUUACAAAAUUUCUGUUAAAGCAAAAAUCUUUUUGAUGAAUAAUUUAAUGAUAACAAGCCUCGUAGAAUAAAUGAUAAGUUUUAUGAAUGGUGAUAUAUUGAUGUUUUGAAUUGAGUUUUUGUUAAAAGAACAGGAAUCACAUAAGUGGAUAAGCUAGAAGCCACUCACAUCAAUAAGUGCACUGUAUCUACUCAACAACGAAAGAAUGAGUAUAUCAUCAGUUGAAACAACAAUAUCAAAUAUCCAUGAAGAUUCACAGCUCAAGAAUCAUGAUGGAAGAACUUGAAUCAUGAUGGAAGAACUUACUUCACAAGCUACAUAAGAAAGUGCUUGAAGUUAUGUGACAAAAUUCACAUUGAGUUUUGUGUUAUAUGAUUUGAAAAUCUCGCAUGGAAAAACAAGAUAAAAGAAAAUAUGUAUACAAGUCAUGAAGAUUCUCAGAACCUCCUCAAACUAUCAUACUUCCAAAGCUUACAAAGAUAAGAAAUUUAGAGUUCAAAAUGUUCAUAUGAACAAAGUUCGGAAUGUUCAUGUUUGGAGGUGUGAUAACAUGCAAAAUUGUUGGUUAUCCUGCUGCACUUAUCCCCCAAAAUGAACGAUAAAUUGAGUGAAUGCGUGACCUAAAUCAUUUAAUCAGUGUCCAUUUAGGAUUUUAUAGUUUUAAUUAAUUUUUAGUGUUAUUUAAUCAUUUUGAACUAGUAAUACUUGUUUUGGAUGUUUGAUGGAACAUGGUGAUGAAUUGCACUGGAGAUCUGGGAAACUGCAACAUGGAUUACUAUGCUUCGCUGAAGAUAUAGAAAGACGUAGUGCACUUAAUUACCAAUGAUUGGUAGUACGAGAAAUAAAAGGAAUAUGUAUAGAGUAGGUACGAUAAGAUAAGGACAACUCAUAUGGGAAAUGACUAAAAGGUACAACUUGUAGUGGUUGACCUUAGCUUGUAUUAUAAAAGGGCAACCACGUGUUAGUGCCAAGGGUUCAAAAUUUACAUAGUGAAUUGAGAGGUAGGUUUCUGCGAAGGUUAGGAGCACUAGAGUUCUCACUCCAUCUCAUCUUCUCCAUAGAUGAGCAUGAGUGCUAGUUCUUAGUGAAUUAGAGUUAGGAUUACUUGAUGAUGCUUCUAGCUCACCUAUUUCCUUCAAGGAUUGUAAUCUUGAACUAGCUUUAUUUUAUCUAUCUAUUUAGCUUUUUAUGUUUUUAUUUAUGUUUCAUUUCAUCUCCAUCUCUAAGGUUAGCUCAUUAUGAGCUAAACCUCUCUUUAUGAUUUAGACAUGAUGAGGUUAUGAUAAUCUUUGCUUAAGAUUUAUAAAGUUAUAACUUCACGACUUCUUUCAAACAAAUUAUUUUAACUCAAAAUCUUUAAAAGGGUAAAUUGAUCUCUUUUACUUUUGAUGUUAUAGAUCCCUGAUACCGAUCGGGCAAGGGAAUGGAAAAUGUUUGUUUGAUAUGAGUUAGUCUCUAUGCACCGAAAGGCGAAGGGAGCAAGAGAGACUAAUUUACAUGAGUACUAGAUCUUAGAGAAGCCUCUUAAGUGGUCAGAUCUAACUAGAACUCUUGUCAAAGCUUAACUAACACUUCAGUGGAAAAUGUUGAUGACCUAACUUAGCAAUGUAAUAUUUUAAGAUUAUGAGACUGUACUUCGACUGAACGUCUUCACGUGCUUAUCAUGAAGACUGAGUUGCAAUAUACUCCAGUGGCUACUAGAUUGUCAAUAAGUCAUAGAAAGAUAUAACUAUGUAGAUCAUAGUUAAGCUCUAUCAUAACUGAAUCUUUGUUUAAUCCACACUUUUAACUUUGAGAACUUAUAAAUAUUUUUAACUAUUUUUCCAAACCAUCAACUUUAUUUUAAUAUUGUGACAAAUGAUUUAUUUUAUUUUCUUAGAUAUCUUUUUAUACUAUAAUUUGGAUAGUGUAUACUUGAACUUAGUCUUUCCACUUUAAAAUACUCGUAGUGUUUUGGGAGACACCAACAUCCAUAUCGAAAUGGUUGACAGAUUGUUGUUCUAUCGAAGUGCACGUGAUUUGGUGAAGUGAAAAAUGUUCUGCAAUAAGACGUUAUAACAUGGUUCAAGGGUUUAAGGCCAUGCUAUGUUGAUUAAUGGACUGGGCUCUAUACGUGUUUCACGACCCACUUUAUUGCUUUACGGGAACAACCAAAGUGUGUGGACAGUCUCAGAGCCAUUUUUCAGAAUAAGAACGAACCUUUAACAACUUACAUUGAGUGAUUCAAUGAAUAGGUCGUAAAAGUCAGAGGUCGAUGAUAAGAUGAAGAUUUUUUUAGAGCAUUCACAAUGGAGACUCCCAUUUUUAAGUACUUAAAUGGAUCUCACGUGUACAUAUCACUCAUUUAUAAUUUUUUAAUAGUAGUACCUAAUAAGAACUCAAUGCCUCCAACCUAGCAUCUUACACAAAUUUCUUAAAUGAGAUCCACAAUCAACUAUCAAUAACUUUAUAUCAUUACAUAUCAAUUUUUUAAUAUUAAAAAGGUAUGGGUCCCACUUAAGAUUGGGCGUCUUAAGUGAGACCAUGGGUCUUGUAAGACCCCCCAAAAAAUUCUCCUCAAAAGAGUACAUAUUAUGUACCGAAUCUUAAAUGGUGAAAACGUCACCAUUUGUGAUAGUCUUAACUAGGCAAGAACUCAUGAAUGGAAUGAAGUUGGCUGAAAGUAUCAGCCUUAAGGGACCUCGAGAAUUCAACCACCUAUUGUAAAUGGCUAUGAAGUACAUCCAGUAAUUCUUCCGUCCCAUAUUAAUUGAUACAGUUGACUCUGUCACACAUACCAAUACAUAUGUUUUAUCUUUAAUAUUUUCAAUUAUCUAUUAGAAAAAAUUAUGAAAAUUUAAUAUUUUAAAAAUAUUUAUCAAGACAAAUCCAACAACAUCUUAUACGAUAUAUUUAUCUUUGUAUAUUAGUAGAAAAAUGUGGUCAAAAUAUGUUAAGUCAAUAGUGCACAUUGUCAAAUAGAUCAUUUAUUGUGGGACGGAGAGUAUGAGAAAAUACUAGAAGCUGAAGCAGCCAAACUCAUAUGUAGGAACCAAACUAACGAGUAGUUAAAGAUGUGAUAUCUUUGUACCAAAAAAAUAAAAUAAAAUGUGAUAUCUGAAAAUUUACCACAUAUAUCCAAAAUUGUAUCUCAUGGGUUCAAGACACAUAGCGUUUUGAUCCUCAUUUCAUUAACUCACUAAGUUAGACAAUCAAUAUAAUGUGGCUAAUGCAUAGACAAAAAAUGAUUAAAUAUGUAUUCCUACUAGAGUAAAGUAUUCCUGCUAGAGUAAAUGAUUAUCUUUUUAAUGUGGUUAUUUGAAGUUAAAGCUCAGCAAUUUUAUGUCUAAAUAUUUUGGAUGGUUAUGUUGUAGUAUACAGUGGUCAAGUGUCGAACACAAAUUCCCACUUAUUCACCUAUUUUUUAAGGAUCCACUUAUUCACCUUAAGAGGUGAAUUUUAGUCACUAAAUCUUCCUGACAAAAAAAUAAAAAUUCCGAGUACAUUUGCUAAGUUAUUGCAAGAUUGCGUCGUACCGGUACAACUGCCGCCAAUUCCAUCACAACAUUUGCAAACAAAUCCAAGUUUUGCAAAAAUCUUUGAGUUCCCUGCAAUUACAUAACAAAAAGAGGAAAAUAAGAACACAAUAAUGUCAUGAUGUUUUAGACAUGACAAUGUCUCAAUUGCUUUUGAACAACCGGCAUCUAAUUCUACAGCACCGGUAACGGAAAUUACGGUGCCAAUUGCGGUGACGGAGCAGCCUACUGAGCAGCACAUGCCCACGGUUAGUGAUCUGACUGUUGCUAAGACUAUUGAUCAUCCUGAAACUUCUGCAGCCCUAGACGCAAGUGCGAAUGCCUUAGGUGCUAAGUUUGCAUUCUCUUAUCGCUUGGCGCUUGACAAAGUUACGGACGAGAUUGUCAGUAAUACUGAUAUUCCCACAUUGGCUGAACCGGUGCUGAAUUUAUCACAUGAGAUUACCCCACAUUCAAUUGCAAUUCAUACCGACUUUUGACAAAAAUACUGAUGGGUUUGUCAGUAAUAACGACACUCCCAAAGAGGAUGCACCGGAGCUGCAGUUACAACAUGAAAUUGUUCCCCUCUCAGUCGCACUUCAGCUCAAUGAGGAGGAGGGUUCUGACGGUGAAAGUGAUGGCGUUGAAAUACAUGCAGAUUCUCCUGUGUCAAAGUCGCAUCCCUUUGCUACUGUUAUUCCGCAUCGCUGCCCUAUUAUUACUAAAGACUUGGAAACAAUUCAAAAGGCCCUGGUUGGUUCGAAUGUGGCAGAUGAGGAUGGGUUUACCGCGGUUGUCUCCAAAAGCAGUCGGAAGAAGAAGAAAGGAUAUCAAACCCGCUCCCAGGGUCCGUUACCAAUGCCUUCUCAAUGAAAAUUCUUUAUUGGAACGUAAGAGGUUUUGGCAGUUACAUACACAUGGAAAAGGUUGAGAUUGUUCUUAAGUUGGAGUUUAUAUAUGAUGCUGCAACCAGGUUCUGUUUUGGUGUUGCUACUGAUCAACAUGGCUGCUAUUUGCUUCAACGCUGCAUUGAAUUCUCCAACGGAAACAGUCAACAAAAGCUUGAUAAUCACCUAGCUCAACAUAAAUGUAGAAAUCAUAUUGUUCAGUACAUUAUACAGAUGCAGAAUCAAGUGCCAUAGCAGAACUAACUGCUCAGUUCAAAGGGAACUAUGUACUACUCUCCGUGCAAAAAUUUAGUAUCCAUGUGGUUGAAAAGUGCCUCGAACAUAUUGUACUCGUAAGAGCGGAUAAGCUAGCUAGUCACGGUUACAUGGCUACAGACACGAUUUGGUGGGACAUUAUGCCCGAGUUUGUUCGGGGGGAUUUCUUUAGGGACCGUAUAGGGUUACCUAAUUUGCGUUUUCCGUAAUUUUCGUUUUCUUUUGAGGGUUUGGUUUGGCCCCCCUCUUGUACAUAUUUUUCCUUUUAUUUUUAUUUUUAUAUAUCAUAAAAACAAAUCGAAUCAAAGUACCUUUAUAUGGCGAAAUUUCAAAUUAAGUUAUUUGUGAUUGUGCAAUUUAUUAGUCAAUAUAAUCCAUGUAGUCCUUGAAUCUGAAAACUAUUUUUAAUUAAUUCUAGUCAAUUUCAUAUGUCUUUCAAUAACAAAUUGCAACUCUUAAACUAUUUUAAUUUUUUUUUCUUGACUACUCAACACAUUCAAAGACGAAAUUGAUUAUUUGAAAAAUAAAAAACAAAAUAAAAAAGAAUAACACAUACCUCACCGUUAGGGAUGAGAAUAGAUUAGGCCGAGUUAGGCUUUGCAAGGCCUGAGCCUGACCUGUUAAAUUUUUUGAAGGCCUAAGCCUGGCCUGCGACCUUUCAUAGGCUUACUUUUUCGGCCUAAGUUUGGCCUUGUGAAAACCUGAUACGGCCUGCUAGCCUGUUUAAAAAUCUAUUUCAUAUAAACAUUUUUAAAUAAGUAAUUGAGUUAAAUUUAAAUAGAUUAGCGAACUAACAUAUCAAUUAGAGUAAACUCUCUUUUGAUAAUCAAGAUGAGUUUUUUUAGGGAAUUUUACUAUAUAUAUUGUAUCAUAUUUCAAUUCUAGUUUAUAACAUUACAUUUAAAUAUAGAAAAAAAAAAUUUAAUGUAUACUAAUAAUCUUAAAUUACGUUAACAAAUUUUUAUUUUAAUUUAAAGUACAAAAUAUAAUAUAAUAAUAAAUAAUAUUAUUUAUAUUUACUUAAAUAGGUCGGCCCAAUAGGCCUAAGAGACUUUUUAAAUGGUCUAUGACCUGACCUUUUAAGAUAAAUAAGUUUUUAAAAAAGUUUAGGCCUUCUCUAUUUAAGAAAAAAGUCUGGCCUCACCUGACUUAUCGUAAGCUACGCCAUAGACCGCCGUAGGUCGGCCUGACCUAUUUCCAUCCGUACUGCCCGUGUGGAUCUCGCUCGCAUAAUAUUGCAACAAAAGCUGCACCCAAUGUCAAAACUAUCUUAUGUUUCUUCUUCCUCAAGAACAAACCCCACAGUCCAAAAAAUAUAUAUACACUACUCAUGUAUACGUAUAGAGAGAGAAAGAAAUUGUUAUUUGAACGAAGAAUAUUUAACAAUGACUACGAGAAAGCUUAUUCGUGAUUUCUUACUUUCACAUCAUCAUUCUCUUAUUCUUCCUCAACAAGUUCGUUCAUAUUCUUCUUCCCUUUCAUCAUUAUCUUUUUCUUAAUUCUUAAUUUUAAUUGUGUUUUUAACGUUGUAGGGUGUGAAAACAAGGUUGUUUGUGAAUUCAGUUGAUAGACGAGGAUACAGUGUGUUCAAUGAAUUCUCUAAGAAGGUUAAAGAUGAAACUGUUAAGUACGAUUUCAUUCACUCUUUUAUCUCUUUUUAGUUUGUUUUCAUUGAAUUUUUGAAGUUCUAAUCAAAUUACACUUAGGUUCUUAAAGCUAGGUUAAGGGGUUGUACGUGUUUUUUAGCGGAUCAAACGCACUCCUAUUUUUCAUGCGUUUGAUCCAUGCAACUUUAAAAAACUUUAAUUAUAGCAUCAUGUUUUUUUUCUUUUCAAAGGCAAAUGUUAGUAUCUUAAUUGUUAUGUUAGUUUCUGUUAAGAGUUGAACACUGGACUUUUAACUCUAAACUCGCUUAGCACCAACCGGUUGAGCUACCCAACCCCACUGUCUACAAAAUAUCAUAUAAGACAAAAAAUUGUUCAAUACCAUAAAAGUUUGUCAUGUGCUGUUCCACCUUGUAUUGUGUUGUUUUGUGCAGUACUUACCUACUAGUAGAUUAAUCACACCCUUAGUAACUGUUUGGUUUCGUGGCGGGAAACCAAUUAGUCGUUAUUUUUUAAGAGUUGGGAAUUGUAGCUUCGGUCUAAUGUGCGGCAUCACCGCGAAAACAAACAUAAGCUUAGUGUAUGCUUUCUUUCACUUUGGAGAGUUAAAAUUAAUUUUAGAGGUAUAUAAUUGAUUUUUACUUGUUUGGUUACUUUCUUGAUUAGAACUGUUGAUUCUAACUUGAAGGUAGAAAUUGAAGCUUUUGAUUCUAAAAUUGAUCUUUACACUCAAAUUUAUUGUUUAACUCACUUUUACAUUAAUGUAUCCAAAACAUAAAUCAUUAUCUCACCGCAGAAUCAAAUACACACUUAGGUUCUUAUAGCUGGGUUAGUAAAUUGUAUGAUUUUGGUUUAGAAAUCAAAUUAACGUAUUAUUAACCCAUGUAACUUUGAAGACAACAUUUUAAUUUGUUUAAGUUUCUACACUUCAUUUUUAAGUUGUGAAAUUGCACUCUGGUUCUUAUAGCAAGGUUAGCACAUUGUAUAAUCUUGGUUUAAAAAUCAAAUGAACAUAUUAACCAAUGUAACUUUGAAAAGAGUAUUUUAAUUUAUGAAUGUAAAAUUCUAUGAAGCACAUACACUCUUGGGUUUAGUUGUAUCGAGGGACAAUGUUGUCAAUUACAGAUAGUAGAAAAUAUUAAGGAUCGUAAAAUAGCGGUUUGUUCAAAUUGUGCUACACUAGAGCGCCAUAGUGUUAGAAUAACCACUAUUUGUCAAUUCUUUGUACGAAAUAGCAUAUCACGAAACAUCACCUUGUUCAAAUUCAAAAACACGAUAAUGAUAUAGCCGCUAUUUGGCAACACUAAUGGAUACACUUUUUUCGUUGCUUUGUCAUAUCUCCAACACCCAUUGGACCCGACUGCCAUGAGAACGGACACAUUUAUUUUUUUAUUGCAAAAGUCAGAAACUAAUAUCCUUUUAAAAGUAAUAAAAUCAUAUUUUAAUUAGGCAUUUGAAAACUUUGAGCAUAUGCGCAUUUUCCUUACAUACACACAUCUUCAUCUUUUUGCAGUUUUUGAUUUCCCUAUUUCGUUCUCCGAUAUUUAUGACAUUAGUGGUGUAGUGUCUUGGUGUCCGUGUCGUAUUUGUACUUUAUUUUUCAUAGGUAAAAUUUCACGAAUUAAAUAAGUCUAUUAAUAUAUUUAGCUUAGAAAUUUUGUUAGGUUUAGUGUAACCUGCCCACAUAUAUGAUGACACAUAAGGUAUAUAGUGGUAUAGUGCUGCCAUAGCUGCUAUUUGAACUACUUUACUAAAUAGCAUAUUGCGGAACAAUAGUGAUUUCUUCAAAUUCCGCUAUCCUAUAGUGCUGUUAUAGCUGUUAUUUGACAACAAAUGAACGAAUAGAUCUAAAAUUUCAUGCUUGGACAUAAAAAAGCCUGCCCUGUUGAUUAUUUCCUAGCUUUUCGUUCCUCCCACUUAUAUAUUUUAUCAUCUGCUCUGUCUGAUUCAUGUCGUUGGUGGUUGUAGAAACCCGGAAUUCCAGAAGUCUGUGAAGGAGCUGAAGGAAAAAGCAGAAGAACUGAAAGGGAUAAAAGAAGGUCUGAAAGAAAAGUAAGUCUUGUUUUAUGUCACAUUAAGCUUUUGAAGUUAUCCAUUAAUAGGCUGAGACAUACCACUGUAUGUCAAGGCUAGCUCGACACUUAAAAGGAGCGACUGAGAUGGUUGAUUGGCGAUUGCAGAACAAAGCAGACAACUGAGCAGCUGUACAGACAAUUUGACAGUGUGUGGAAAGAAGCUGAAGCUGCUGCAAAGAAGGUAUAAAGCUUUGGUUUGUUUGUGUGGCCAAAGCUUUUGAUUCUUCUAUAUUGCCUUGUUAUUGAAUUUUUGGUUAGGAACUCGAUAUCCUUUAAUCUAUUGUGAAUAACAUGUCACGUUUCUUGGAAUUUGAUCAGUAAUUAUACCUUUUGCAGGUUUCUCACAAUGUUAAAGAGAAAAUUUCAGCUGCAACUGAUUUUUCAACAAAACAGAAUGCUGAUGCAAAGCAAGGAAGUCAGAAAUCACCUGAGGAAGAGAAAAACGAGGAAUCUCCGUCUGGCAAUGCUUCAGAAUCAUUGUUUGGCAAAUUUAAGUCAACCUUUUCGUCACCAAUGGUUUCUACUUCCUUCCAAAAAUUAAAGGAUGCAAAAUUGUGGACAUGACCAAGAAAGGUUAUGACAUACUAAAGGAGGAGCUAAGUAGUAACUCACCUAAGAGACAGCGUAUUCGUUUCACCGGCGAAAUAAGUACAAAAACUGAUCUUGUUGUUAUGCCCUCUAACCAAUCUUGGUGGAGUAAGAAGGUUGAUGAGUUCAGGGAUAAGGUAACUAUGUUACAACUUUCAAGUCUUUCGUAAUUGAGUUGCCUACAAUGUCUCUCCAUUAAGAUAUCUUCUCUACCUUUUCAUUUAGGUUAGACGCCAUCCUGUAUCCAAGAAUUUCGUUAAAUAUAUUGAUCCAGUGAAGACAACGAGCCGAGAUGUACGUUCUACUCCUGUGGUUUUUAUUCUACUUUUUUCUGCCUGCAUUUUGUUCUUUAUUAAGCAUUCUGCAUGUUGCCUCGGGGCCCUUAAAAAAUGUUGGUGUUCUGUGCGCUAAUCCAUGGUCGUGGUUAGAGAAAGUUAAUUUUUCGUCUAUCUUCUGAAUCACCUUUUAUUGGCUUGGUAUUUUACAUGUUUAAUGAAACUGGCAGAUAGUAGAUGACGUGCGGGAUAUAAUUGACAGAAUUGACAACCCCAUUAUUGAUAAAAUACAAAGGUAUGUUUCUCAGUUUCUCUUGUUCUUAGAAUUACCAAGUCACUGAUUAUUGUAAGAGAUGUAAAUAUGUUUGGUGCAAUAUUUGUCUGGUUAUCGUCUAAAUAUCUGUAACAUAUGAUAAAGAUUACUAUGUUAGUCUAUUAAGUCCGGAUACUCCAAAAUUGAAGUGUUGGUUUCAUAUUCGUUUGUUGAAAGAAAGUAUGGACUAAAGAUACGAUUGAGAUAUGUCUUCGGUACUUUGAGAUAUAACUUCUAAAACACGGCUUCAUGUUUUUUGUACAGCCUUAUUUUCAUUAUGUUGUGUGUAGGUGUACCUACUCUUUGUACAUUAGGGAAGAUGAAGAUGUACACGGUCCACUUGAUGGUCCAAUUGAUAUUUAUAUAUAAAAUAGCAAUGUUUUUUUCACAAAUAUAUACAUUUAUGCAAAAUAUGUAUUUUUAUUUUUUUUGAUAAAAUUGUUCCAACAUGUCUAGGACGUUUCAAGAGACAGAUGCUGCACUUACAUAUAGGGAAAUACGUAAACGGGAUCCGUAGGUUCUAACUCCUUUUGUUUUUAUAUUAGUCUUAACAUUUUAUUAUUAUUAUUAUUCUACUUGCUAACAUCAUUUUCUUAUAAUUUGAUCACAUGAGCCAGUAAAUUUUCUUUACCAGACUUUGUGGGAGAAGUGCAGGAGGCAAUAAAACCGGUGCUUAAUGCUUACAUCAAGGUUAGUGAUAUAGGAUCCAUAAAAGGAAUAGAAAAACUGAAUUGUAUUGAUAAAUAAAUUAACUCAACCAGAAAAAUAAUCAGUGUUACAGAGUAGUUUUAAGGAAACUUGAAUGAAAAAUAUAGCAUCUAUACGUUACCUUAUUUUCAAGAUAAGGUAUCUGCACCUUUAUUUUUCAAAUCAGGUUUAUAAACGAUGUCAAACGUGUAUCCAAAAAGCUUAGCUCGGCGCAGUUAUAUUCAUCCGUGGUAGUCACACUAACUGAUUGUUUUAAGCUCUUCCAAUUCGUGCAAACUGAUUUUCAUACAAGCACAUUUAGUUAUAUUUCUCCAGUUAUGCGACCUCUUGUGUGAAUCGCCAAUGCCACAACCAUAAAUUCUUUCAUACAAGCACAUUUAGUUAUAUUUCUCCAAGUCUAAUAGGCUACAGGUCUGCCAUUUUGUGUCAAAAUGGUAGCAAACCCUUGCCCCGACUUUCAAUGAUGAACUCCUAAAUGAAGUCUGGAAAAGCUAGGACAGGAGCAAUAGUAAUCAUCGCUUUUGAGUAAUUCAAAUGCCUCUUGUGUACUUUGAGACUCCAUUUGAACCCCUCCCCUGUGAGCUCGAUUAAUGGCUUAGCUAUCUUACCUAUGUCACUUGUUAAAUGCAAAACCUGAUAUCAAGGAAUAAAACACUAAGAAUAAUUUUUGCAUUAAAUUUAUUUGUUUAUGAAUUGGCUUUUACUUGUAAACAUACAGGGAGAUUUUGAAACAUUGAAGAAGUACUGUGCCCCUCAGCUGAUUGAACGCUGUAAAGCCGAGCAUGGUGCUUAUAAAGAUCGUGGUAUCUUCUAUGAUAACAAGGUGAGAUUAUUACAUUUUUUUUGUCAAUCUUUCUUAUUGCUGUGUUCAAUUAUAUUUUGCUUUUUAAGUUUUAAUAGGUUAGUACUUGAUAGUACCAUAUAACAUAUUGAACACAUAAAACUGUUUUCCAGAACUAAAAUUUGGUAGUUCUAUUUUUAACAAUGAAUUUUCCAUAUACAGAUCCUGCAUAUAUCCGACGCGGAUGUAAGAGAGGUCAAGAUAUUGGAAUCAUCUCCAUUCAUUAUUGUAGUGGUAUUAUAAAUUAUUACUUCCAAAAGUUCAUUGUUAGCUUGCGAGAUUUAUUCGUAUGCGCGGUAGAAAUAAAACUUACCUGAUGGUUUUGUUAAAUGAAUUUUCAGUUUCAAACACAGCAAAUCCAUUGUGUACGUGAUAGGAAUGGGGAAAUUACAGAAGGAGGCAAGGUAAAUGCUGUAUUUUUUACUGCUCAUAGAUAAAUUUUACAGUAAGAAAAUGUUGUUACGUGUUUGCUUACAUAAGAAAAAUCAGAAUCUGUAAACUUAAGAUAUAAUUUUUGACAUCCUUACUCGUUCAAAUAUUUUAGAUGUCACGUUACUUUGCGAUUUUUUGUCAUUUUUUCCGUUAUUCUUGAUAUAAUUUGGGUCCAUUCAGUUAUAUAUGUCGGGGUGGUGACUUUCGUUGUUUGCUCAUGUCUCUUCUACAAUAGAAUCCAUGCAUCAUCAAGUACACUGAACUAUUUCGCCCUCAUCACAACCCACUGCUGUCUGCUCUCGUUUUUAUGGCUUUAGCUUCGAUUUUUGUUCAUGGUUUUCCUUGAUCAUGCCGUCUGUGUCAGUCGGUUUUUCAUGAGGGAGAGCCUUGGCGCAACCGUAACGUUGUUGCCUUGUGACCUACCUGUAGGUCACAGGUCCAAAUCUUAGGAAAAAGUCUAUCCGCUUGUGGAGGUAGGAAUGUGUAUAUCUGCCCUCCUCAGACCCCGCUCAUUGAGAGCCUCGGUGCAACAUAAUUUAGUGUUUAUGUUAUAUUAGUUUCAUGAAGUGAUUAGAACCUUGCAUUUCUUAUUUUACAUGUUAUAUUUUUUUUACUAGGAUACAAUUCACUCUGUAUACUAUCUAUGGGCUUUGCAAAUGGAUUCAGAAGAUCAUGCAGAGGAUGGUAUUUAUCUAAAUUGGAGACUGAGAGAGAUGCAGCAGCAAGGCAUACAAGCUCUGAUCUAGUUUUUAACUUUCUUCCCUUUUUUUAGGGUUUUGAUAUCCAUGUUAUACAUCCUUUUUUAAAUUAUUAUCAUUGUAUUUUUUACUGGUGAUGUUAACAAAAUGACAUGCCGGUAUGUAUUUGUUUAUAUAUAAGAAAUGAGAUAGCUUGCAUGGUAAAUCAUGUUCUAGAUUUGUGCCAGUCUCUCAGAGCACUAGACCAUGCUUUACAAUAUUCAAUUAUCUUAGAUUAUAUAUAUGAAAUUCUAGCGCACUUGUUUUAAUAUGUUCUGUAUGAUGUUUCAGCAUUUGCAAUGUUAAGAUUAAUGUUUCAACAUCAAGCGAUAAACAAAAAUAAAAACAAGAAAAUAAAUGACAGGAAAGUAAAGAAAACAAUGAGUUUGUUGACCCAGUUCGGUGACAAACACACCUACUCUGGGGGCUACCAAGCCAGGAAGGAAAUCCACCAGUGUAGUCCUUAUUCAAUAGCUCUAAGCAAACUCCUCGUUUACACUAUAUGACAUAGGACUUACUCGUAUAGACUUCAACCUAGAAACUCCUAGAUCUGAGAUUCCAUCUCACUAUCCUAAUGGUCAGCCACAGCCCCUGUUACCUAUCAGACCUAAACCAAAACAAAGAUAGAAGUUACCUUCCAACACAAACAACUAGCACCUAGUUUCUCAACUUCGGUGUAGUACAAAGAGUAAUCAAUACUCACACACAGUCCUAACAAGUAUCACAGACGAUACAAGAAAGAACACACAAUAGAUUCUAAACUUGCAUCACAAACGAUACAAGAGCAGAAUACAUGAAGACUCAAACCCUAAAAAUCUAAACUUUUAGAAUGACGGCUUGAAUGAAUAAUUAGGUCUUGAAGUCUUCCUUAUAUAGUGAAGCAGCUUGGAUCACAUAACAUAAAUUUCAAAACAUAAAUUUCAAAACAAACUUUUGAAAGGCUCAACUUCUUUCUAGUUUUAAUAAGCUUCCUCCACUGUAGGUAAUCCAUUUUAGGGCAUGUCAGACACUAAAUAUGAGUAUUUUUUCCAACCGAUAUUUGAACCUUGGCUUAUGCUAGAGCUACACCCAACCCAUGUUAGCUAGGCUAAACUUCCUUUUAGUCCUCCAAAUACUUAUCGUAAUUGUUUGGUAUCACAUUUCUUAAGUGAUUUUGGUUCCAUAACAUUCCCCCCAAUUAUUGAAUAUACAACAAUGAUAACAGAAACAUAGUCAUUUAAGAAGUAAACUAUUGUUGAACAAAAUAGUCCUUUUAUUAAUAAAAAAGAUGAAACAGUUUCUUUCGAUAGGUAUCCAACAAGGACUUAAUGUCUAACACAACAUACAAUUGAUAACCUUAUGGUAUCAACACAACAGAUCCAGAGGUCUUCCUAUUUUCCAAGUCUUCAUGUGCUUUAACUGCCUCAGACAAUGGAUAAGUAUGAUUAACUCUCACUUUCAAGACACCAGAAGCAACAUUAGCAAACACCUCACCAGCAGCCCUCAAGAGCUCGUCGCGAGUGACAACAUAUUGAAAUAGGGUAGGCCUUGUCAAGAACAGAGAUUUUGUAGCCAAGGAAGACAAUGGAACUGGAUCAGGCGAGCCGGAUGACUGUCCGAAACUGACCAUGUGGCCUCUAAGCUUCAAGCAUGCCAAAGAUCCCUGUACAUAUCAUAGAAUAUCAUCAAUGGCUUGGUUUACAUAAACGGAGUAAUUGAGAGCUUAUAGGAUAAGUGUUUACUAUAUAAGCCCUUGAGCAUAAACUAUUUUUAUAACAAAAGAUAGAAUAAAGUCAAAUUGUUUUCAUAUAAGUUAUAAGUUGUUUUCAAAAGCUAUCCUGGAGAGCUAUGAAAAUAAGUUGAAAACAACUUACGAACAUGCAUGUUAUAAGUUAUUUUUAUAAGUUCUCUCAAACAGUUCACAAAUGUUUAUGCCAGUACAUAAGCUCAAAUAAGCAAAUCCAACCAGACUCUAAGUCUAUCUAUCGUGAGAAAAGUCUUUUCCUAAUGACACUUAAGAAUAGUCUUUCUGUAAUGACAUGCAACAGAACUUAAGAUCUCUAAUUCCCACAUUUUUCUUUCUCAAUUUCGUGAAAAAGCACAAAAUCUUUACCAGUAAGCUGCCAAAUUUCUAAUACAUUAUUAAUCUGACAACAAUCCUUAAACUUCUGGGCCCCAAUCUAGGCCCGUUCAUGGUUCUCAAAUAGAUAUCAUAUCAUAUCAGAAGGAGCACAUAAAGAACCAGAAAAGAAGCAACUUUCAAUGAUGCUUCCAUGCAAGAGUAUAAAUUUAUUAAUUUUAACUUUUCCAUUCAAGUAACCAACCAUUUGAAUUGGAAAUUUUAUUAAGGUGUAGUAUAGAAUAGAAUAGGUACACUACCUCAAAGGUAUCCUUUCCGACGGAAUCGUAGACAACUUCAACUCCACCGCCUGACGUAAUCUCAUUGACGCGGGCGACAAAAUCCUCUUCUUUAUAUAUUAUAACAUGAUGGCAGCCAUCCUCCUUGGCUUGAGCUGCUUUCUCUUUAUUGGACACAGUUCCUAUAACAGUUGCACCAAGAGCAUUAGCCCAUUGGCACAAUAAGGAUCCAACUCCACCAGCUGCAGCAUGGACAAGAACUGUGUGACUGGGUUCAACCUGCAAACCGAAAAACAAAAAUACUAAUAACAAUCUAGAUUAGCAUGCUAACGAAAAUUCUUAGAAUUUAAGUUUGGUAUAACUCAACCUACGAAAUCGGCUUGUAAGGUGUGGCAUGCCUCUCACUUGUAAACUCAUUUUUAGGCCAUAUCAAAUCAAAUGUGAGACUCCCCCUACGCACAUUUAGAAUGCAACCUGAUAGCGCAUGGCCCAACAAAUUUUAGAUAGGCUCUGAUACAUCUUAAAAUUUGAGUUGAGCCAAAUGCAUCCUUACAAAACCGGUUUGUAAGGUGAGAGAUGUCUUCUAUUUAUACACUCAUUUCUAAAUCACAUUUUAUCUAAUGUGAGACUAUAACAAAGUUCAAAGCAAAAAGGCUUCGUUCAAAUAUGAUAAUAAAGUUAAUUUAUAGUAGUAACCAACCUUGAAGCAACUUCGGAGCAAAAAUUGCGCUGUCAUGCCCUUCAGCAAGAUGGAUGCUGCAACAGCUGGGUCAAUGGAAGAAGGGAUAGGAACUACUUUGUUUGCAGGAAGAAUCUGCUCUUCAGCAUAUGAGCCCAUUGGUUGACCAGCGUAACCUACAAGAUCUCCAACCUGUAUACCAGUGGGUCCAGAACCCACUGCGGUCACAAUGCCAACAGCUUCCAUACCUGCCACAUCAAAUGAGGAAAAGAACUCGCUCAAUACAUGAUACCUUGGCAUGAGAUACAUUGCAAUGAAAUGUUAAGAAAUUCAUCAGCAGUGCCCGUGUUCAAUAGCAUAUAAAGAGCCGUUAUUGAUAAACUUGUUAACAAGCACUCAUGAAAAAAUAAAUAAAUUUUACAAGAAUGUUACAAUGAGUAAUAAAGUGAUCAUUUUAUCAAAUUACAUGAGUUAUAUCAAUAUAGACAGGGACUUUAGUUAAGAACAAAGUUGACUUUAGGAGUUGCCACUGAAAAUUUAUGAGUGACAUUGAAGGAAUGUCCACCAAAGAUCAUCUUAUAAGUACGUAUGUGUACUCAAAGAUGAAAUUAAGAUCAAAGUCUGAGUCUUCUUCAAAAAGACUAAAGUCUGAGUGAAUCACAAUUUUGGUUCUCAGAUUAGACUAUUCGGUCUCUCAAAAUUGGCAAACCAGUUUUUAAAAUUGAAGCUCGUCAAUCAAUUAAAAUAUGCUCGAACUCAACAUUUCUGAAGCUGUUAGAAGACAGGUGAUUGAAUUGAUUGCAACUUUCAAAUUCGACAACUAAUUUGCUAUUUCACAAAUUCGGGACCAAUUUUCCGUGUCUCUAAUGAUGACUAACUCAUUAAAGUUUCUAUAUUAGCAUUUACUUUUCAUAAUCUAUCUCAGAUAGUUUAUUGAAAUAACCUAAAAAAAAACCUUACAUAUUUUUUUUUGGAACUCAGUAUAUGGCCAAAAAAACCGACAAAUCCACGGAACCAAUCCCACCAUUCACUAGCGGGGGGCCCCAACUGAAGCCAGAGCAAAACGACUAGCCCAACACAGUACAAACACACUCAAACAAGUGCUUAUACUUUAAGAUAAAGGGUAUCUUUGCAUUGACUUAUUUGAGCUUAUAAACAUAAACACUUUGUACAACUUUUUGGGAGAACUUAUGUUCAUAAGAUGCAAAACAGCUUAUUUUCAUAAGCUCUCCAAGAUAACUUAUGAAAUAGCUUACAUAUAAGUGCUUAUCACGAUAAAUGCAGCACUUAUGCUAUAAGCUACAAAUCCAAACAGGGCCUAACUAAAAUAAUCAAUAAACAGAUCAUUCAAAACACAAACAAAUAACAUACAAUUUUCCUUAAUUCAACAAAACAAAUAACACAAUUCACUAGAGAAUGAUUAUUAAACCUGGAGUAAAAGGUGAAGAAGGAGCAUUAUAAACCCCUUUACGAAAAUAAACAUCAAUAAAAUUAACACCAAUAGCUUUAUUCUUCACACGAACUUCUCCUUCUUUAGGUUCACCAAUUUCAACAUCUUCCCAUUUCAUAACCUAUGUCACGUGAUCAUGUCAAUACAAGUCACGUGAGAAAACAAAAAACAUAAGACAAAUAGAAAAAACAAAACAUCAUAGUUUUUUUACCUGUGGCCCACCAAGUUCAUGAACUCGAAUAGCUUUCACCAUUUCUGAGGAUGUUGAAAAUGAUUUUGUUAUGUGUGAUGAUGAUUUUGAAGUGAUGAUUUUGGUCAAAGGGGUUGUUGGUUUUUGUAGUAGAGAGUGAUGAAGAAGAAGGUUGUGGUGUUUGAACAACAAUGAUGACAAACGCAAUGACAUUUGUUUUGUCCUAUGGUUUUGGUUUUAUGUUACAAAUGCGAUGUGAAUGAAUGUGGACGGUCUAGAUAGGAACAAAGUCCGGCUUUGCUAUUUUUUUCUCUAUACUUCAUUUAUACAAGAGUGAUGAACAUAGGGUCGUCACGUGCACUUGUUAAGGAUUAAAAAGAAUGAAAACAAUGCAUAAUUUUUAUACAAAAAAAAAUAUUUUUUGAUGUUUUAAUGUGUUGAACACACGAAUUCUAAGAUAAAGUUUUCAUUUUAAACUUCUUAUCGAAUGCUCUUAAGGCAUCAUACUUAUACUUAUAUCUAAUCCUAAUUAACAUUGCAAUGACCACUCUAAACCCUAAACCUAAUUAUUUAGGUGCCAAAGAAUCCAGGAUGUUGGAUCGCUGUCACUAGGCGCGGUUAACAUAUCAUCCCUUGAUCAAAUCUGACUAAUGGCUUGCACGCAUUACAACAGUGGAUUCAAAUUCUGAAUUUCCCCAUGCCUUAUGAAACUAAAUGCCAUUUGUGACGGCUUUCCACCUUUCCGGAUUACAUUAAAUGGUGUUAUACUUUCUCAUGCAUUUGUUCCCCCCAAUGUAAAGUGAUUAAUUGACAUAUGGUAUCUGAUUCACUUUAUAUAUACUUGAUUCACUUUAUUCAUAUCGUAUCUUUUCAAAUCCCAUCGUCUGCACAAAAACAUGGCCAACAACGACAUACAAUGAACGCAUUACAACAGUGAAUUCAAAUUCUGAAUUCCCCCAUGCCCUAUGAAACUAAAUGCCAUUUGUGACGGCUUUGCACCUUUCUAGAUUACAUUAAAUGGUGUUAUACUUUCUCAUCCAUUUCUUCCCCCCCAAUGUAAAGUGAUUAAUUGACAUAUGGUAUAUGAUUCACUUUAUAUAUACUUGAUUCACUUUAUUCAUAUCGCAUCUUUUCAAAUCCCAUCGUCUGCACAAAAACAUGGCCAACAACGACAUACAAGCUUUGCUUUCGUACCAUGCUUUGACGGGUAUGAGAUGAGAGACCCCUUUAUUUUGCUAUACUUACUGUAUUGUAUACUACAUCUUCCUAAUACUGAUUAUUUCUUUAUGUUUUGUUACCAGCAUCUUUGAACCCAAAUCCAACGUACGAAUUGGAAAAGAUCGUCAACGAUCUUCGUAUCAAGUACAUAACCUAUGUCGUUGAGUUUGAUGUUGAACACGUGAGUCAUGCUUUCUUCAUGUAUUUGUUGUUGCCAUCGUUGCGAAAUUCAUUUAUUAACAUUUUGUUUCUUCUUUUAUUGACUAUUAGGGCAUGGUUGUUUCGCUAAGAAUCUUUGGUCAUGACUUUGGGGGCCAAAUUGGACGCUACGCAAGGUUGGUGGAUUCUAACUAUAAUGAGUUCGAGGUUUUGGUCGAGAGGAACAAUGACCACAUUUACUUGACAACGGGUUGGCAUGCCCUCAAGGACUUUUACAAUGUUUCUCUCGGAUCUUGGGUGACUAUGGUUUUUGUCGAUAUGGGCAAGUUUGGUAUCCACAUGAAGGAUAGGUUUGGGAGGAAGAUAUCUACUCCUAAGUUUACCCCUCGCUCCCAUGAAGUUUAAGCUUGGGAAGAAAGUCCUUCCUUUCCAUAAAUUUGAUGUCUUGUCGUCCCCUUUUGUGCAUGAUGACUUUAAUUUUGAAUUUUCUUAUGAGAAGAUAUUGACCUUUGAUGAAUAUGAUGUUGGCUGUGUGGUGAGUAUUAAUUUUCUUUACUAUUGGUAUUCGAAUUUCAUCAUAUAUCAGCUAUCAAGUUACGCGUGUGGGAAUGCACUUUGAUGUAUAGGACUACUUCAUAUGCUCAUUUCAAAAUUGGAGGUGGAUAGAAAAGAACAAUUCUUGCUCGCAGAUUUCGUCAAGGUUCCCGCAUAAUGCCUGGUGCAUCGUGUAGCAAUCCGUUUUUAGCUAGAAUUAUUUUAUUUAUUAUGUGUGUUUAUGUGUAUUUAAUUGUUUUUGUGCGUAUUUGAUUUGGUUAUAGUGGAUUUUUGGCCUAGAAGGGUAUUUUAGUCAUUUUUAGUGAGAAUAGUUAUUUUUACUAUUUCUUAGGUGAUAUUUGAAAUUUUAUACAUUUAGAUUUGGCAAAAUAAAUUUUCUAUUUGAUAUACUAUAAAUAUUUUAUUUUCUUUAUAUAUAUUUUCUCAAAAAAUAAAAGGUUUGUCAUGAUUUACAAGUGAUUCUGUUGGAUAUUUGUGUAUUGACUUCUCAUUAUUGCUAAAACAAAUAUUCAUUUAUGAUGUUGGAUAUGAUGUUCCAACAUCUUGGCACGGUUCAGUGUGCCAUGUUUAUUUGCCUAGCUAUACGCACACUUUAUCUUAUUAAGGCAUCCACGCCUUAAUUCUUGUUAACCAAGUAACGCGUUUUUGUCCAGAAUCAGCUGAGUGAUUUGUUCCUAAAAUAUAGACAAUAUUUUAGGAAUCUUUGGUGGUGUUUUGGUAGUUCCUAAAGAUGUUCCUACUUUUUAGAGUUGCUAUAUUUGUUACUGAUUUGUUACGUGGAUCAACUUUUGGAUCUACAUUGUUCUGAAGCCCAACAAGACUAUUUAGCCCGUAUUGCUUCAGUAUAUAUUGCGGAGUGCAAAACUUAAUUUAUUCAUUCAAGUCGUCAUAUCAAGAAUAGAGUUUUUAGGGUUUUGAGUCUUUGUUAUUUGUGAGCCUUUUCUUGUAUCACUUUGAUACAUGAUAAGGACUGAGUUUUUGUUUUUGUUAAUUGUGAGCCUUUCUUGUAUUAUCUUGAUGCAAGCAUAGGACUGUUUUAUUGAGUUGUAAGCUGUUGCUACUCCUAAGCUUUGAAUCACGAAGGUAGUUUGUCUUUGAAGAUAACUUCACAAUAUUGAGCUGUAGUCUGAUAAUCACAGGGGAUGUGAUUGAUUGACGGAAGUGAGAUGAGAUCUCAGAUCUAGGAGUUCCUAGGUUGAAGUCAAGACGGGUAGGUCCUAGGUCUAGAGUUGUAAACUUGGAGUUUGCUGAGAACUUAGAAUAAGGACUACACUGGUGGAUUUCCUUCCUGGCUUGGUAGCCCUAGAGUAGGUGUGUUUGUCACCGAACUAGGUUAACAAUCCUCCUGUGCACUUUACUUUCUUGUCUUUUACGUUUGUAUUGUUUUAUUUAUUUCUGUUAGCACGAUGUUCCUAAACAUUACAUUCAUCAUUCGUAUUUUCUGUCUGGUGUUGGAACAUCACAUAGAACAUGUGAAAGCUACCAGAUUCGAUAACCCUCCAAAUCUCAUAUGUGCAUAUGUACAAGUUAUUAAACUAGUUAUGCAUUUGUAUCCAAAUCUCAUAUUUGACAAAUCUUUUCAUUGCCAAAUUUAGAGGUACUAAAUGUUUUAGCUAUGCGGAAGGGUUGAAAUUUACAAAAACAUGUUUUUUUUUUAAUCUUAUAACAGAAUCAGAUGCUUUUAAUGUGCCCCUGACUUUAAACGCUCAUCAACAAUCUCCCACCUAUGUAAAAUCUAUUAAUGGGGAGUGUACUAAUUUUCAUGUCUGUUUUUAUGGUUUUUUUUUCUUUUCUGAGACCAAUAAAAUUGCCCAUUAUUUAGCUUAAUAAUCCAAAUUGUAUGAAGAGACUUCGACUUAUAUUUAUGUAAUAUUGAUAUUUGAUUUAUGGUCAUCCUUUAGUUAAUUGAAUUAUCUUUAACAUAAAAAAAAAAAAAAAAAGAUCAAGCUCAAAUUACAAAUGUUUCAUUUUAUUUUGGUGUGCGUAUAGGUUGCAAUCUAUUUUAUUUUGGGUGUAAAUCGGAUACGUGCAUAACUGCGGAGACUAUUCCUUCGAGUAUUAUGGAACUUAAAUGGGCGGCAAGCUCUCCUUAAGUUUUAACGCUGCCACAUGCUCAAGUUGGAUUCGAACACAAGACCUUGGUUAAGUUAUAAGAGACCCGUUCCAUCUCAUCUAAGCACUCUUGGAUAGGUUGCAAUCUAUUUGUUUCGAUGCAUCUACUUCUAUUAAAAUUAAGUAAUUAACUAAUAUAAUAAUUAGCAGUAAGCCUUGGCUAAAGUAAAGGAGGAAAGAGCAUAAAGGACAAAUGUUUUGUUAUUACUAUUCUUCCACCAAUAUUUUAGGAUCAGAAACAUGAACCUGAAGACCCUCGUAUGCAAAAUUAUUUUUGUUAGAUCUUAGAAUUUCAUAUCAUUAAUCACCUCUCUAACAUAUUGAUUUCUGACAAACACAAAACAAAAGUACAAUGUCGUCAAUGGAUGACGCUCAAGACAUGUUUUGUAACGAUGAUCUUGUUAACCCUCUAAGUUCUAUGGGUAUGCAAGUGUCAUGCAUUCUUGUUGUGUCACACUUCUUCAACGUUGUUCUUAGGACUAUGGGCCAACCUGGACCCAUUGCACAAAUUCUGGUAAUCAUAAAACCACUUCUUUUUUUUUAUAUAUUUUUUGCUUCAUUCGUUAUAUUCUAAAUUAUUUAAAAUUUAAUUGUUACGCACUUACAAAUGAUAUAGAUAUAGUUUUAAAUUGCGGUAUGCAACGAAAAUUUUGAAUGCAUCAACUAUAUUUUCUUGCAUUUUACUGCAAUAUUAAAAGGGGUUCGCAACAUAAUUGCAACUGCAACCACAAUUUAAAAUCGUGACCGCUAACCUGAUGUCAUGAAACCCUAAUUGUGUUCGAUUGUUAAUGUUACUAUAAAUAUUGAUUUGAAAGUUUCAUUAUAAUUAAUUAACUAAUUAUUGGUUUAUAUUGCAUUGUUGAAACAGGCUGGGUUGAUAUUAGGUCCAAUGUCUCAUAUUCCAUAUAUAAAAGAGACAUUCUUUCCAGCCAGUUCCAUAAAUUACUAUCAAGUAGUGAGCUUCUUUUGUCGCAUAAAUUUCAUGUUUUUAUUUGGCUUGGAAAUGAAUAUUCACUACACAUUGCGCCAUUGGAAAAUGGUAACCUUAGUAGCAUGUGGAGGUGCCCUAAUGGGUGGUAUAAUUGGUCUAUCUGUCUCAUUUUAUUUGCAUCAAGAGUUAACUGAUGAUACUAAUCCCAACUAUUACUUUUAUAUGACCAUUAUGCUAAUGGUAUCAUACACAAGCUCCCCCAUGGUGAUUCGUUUGACGGCGGAGUUACGAUUUGCUGCAUCCGAUAUCGGGCGAAUCGCGGUGUCUUCAGCGUUGAUUACAGAAAUGGCUUGCUUAUUGUUCUUCAAUGUGAUAGUUAGUUGGGAAAAAGAAUACCACAUUUUGUAUGGUUUUUAUUGUGCUAUCACUAUAAUAAUAGUGGUUCUAAUUAACAAGUACUUAGCCGUUUGGUUAAACUCAAGAAAUAGAAACCAAAAAUACCUAAAAGCUACUGAACUAUUACUAAUACUUUUUUUGCUUCUAACUAGCUCAAUAGUUAUAGAAAUUUUUGGCUACAAUAGUAUUAUUAGUUGUUUCAUUAUUGGAUUAUUGUUUCCUAAGGAAGGUAAAACAGCUAGAACAUUGCUACAAAAACUUGGUUAUUCAAUUUAUAACUUUGUCCUUCCAGUAUACUUUGGAUAUUUGGGAUUACAAUGUGACCUCAUAAAUGUGUUUACAAGACUGAAUCGAACAGCCAAUGUAGCCAUAUUGAUCUUGUUGAGCAUUGGUAGCAAACUCGGCGGAACUCUUAUAGUUUGUCGUUACCUUCAUAUUCCUACAAAUGAAGGGAUUUUUCUUGGCUUCAUGUUGAACACUAGAGGAUAUGCUGAUUUGUUAUUCAUUGGUGCAGCAGCAAAGCAAAUCACUGUGAGUACAUUUCUCGCCUUGAUUUAUGAUAGAAUGUUAUAGCGUAAUUUGAUCCAGAUAGCCAACCCGACUUGAUGGGUUGAGACUAUGUUGUUAAUAUCAACUAUUUUGAAUUAGAAUGAUCUAAUAUGUAUGUAAUGUGUACUAAUUCAUGUUUCUUCUUUUGUUGAUUUACAUUUACAGAGUUUUGAUGCCGAAUCUUACAAUGUGUUGCUAGUAUCGAUAGUAUUAAACACAAUAAUAUCAGGAAUAAUUGUGUCGUUUAUAGCAAAGGGGGAAGAGAAAAUGUUUUCAAACAACCAUACAACAAUUGAACCACAAGAAAUGGAAGAUGAACUUAAAAUUUUGGCUUGUGUGUAUGAUCCUCGACAAGUAUCUGCGAUACUAGCCACAAUACUAGCAAUACAUGGCUCUAAAACAUCACCUUCCACCACUUAUUUAAUGCACUUAAUAGAGCUUGUGAAGAAAAUCAAGUCAAACUUGUUAUACCAUGAAAAAGAAAAUGGCGAUAUCAGCGAUGAUGACGAAGCCUUUGGUGGAAAUGAUGUGGUGGACAUUAAUAAUGCCCUAGAUACCUUCACUGAAGACACAAAGAUUUUGGUCCAACAAAAAAGGACAGUUUCUUCUUUUCUAAGUCUGUAUGAAGAAGUGUGCAGCGAAGCAGAAAAUCUUCAAGUAUCGAUUAUUCUUCUUCCCUUUCACAAGCAUCAACGAAUCGAUGGAAAACUUGAAAGCGGAAAAGAAGGUAUAAGGAUUACUAAUCAGAAGGUUCUUAGGCAUGCACCUUGUUCUGUCGGUGUAAUUAUAGAAAGAGGACUUACUACAUCAUUUGGUUUCUCGGAACUAAUAGAAUCUGAAACCAUUCAAAAUGUUGCAACACUUUUUUUUGGAGGGCCGGAUGACCGCGAGGCUGUUGCUUGGAGCCUACGCAUUUCAAAAUGCCCUCGAAUUAACUUGACAAUCAUUAGAUUUUUGUUGUCGUCUAAAUUAGAAAAUGAACAAAUUGAUAAAAGUGGAGUACAAUCUAAGGAAAAAGAGAUUUUAAUGUCGUUGUCCGGGGAAGAGACUGCGAAUGAUGAGAUUGACAAUAACUUCAUGGUUGAUUUUUAUAACAGGCAUGUCGCUUCGGGAAAAAUUGGAUAUGUAGAAAAUUUUGUGAAGAAUGGAAGACAAACAGUUGAAUGUUUGAAAGAGAUUGGUGACAUAUACUCUUUGUUUAUAGUUGGAAAGGGUGGUAGAGGAAAUAGUUCACUAACAAUAGAUAUGAGUGAUUGGGAGGAAUGUCCAGAACUUGGAUCAGUUGGUGAUAUUUUAGCUUCUUCAGAUUUUGAUAUUCAUGGUUCUGUGUUGGUCAUUCAACAACAUAGAGAUGUCAAGAAAGGUCUAAUACAUGAUUAACAUUUAAAUACAAUAGAGUUAGACUUCUUCAUGUACUUAGCUUUAUGAACAUAAGGUGUAUAGAUGAAACUUUUUUUUUUCCCUUAACAUUGUGUUAAACAAAAAAUUAACAAGCACAACAUUUCAUCUAGUCCAAAAAAAAGCAUACAAUUUAAUCGUAAUUUUUUAUUCACAUUUAGUCUAAAUUACAAACCAUAUUGUUUAUCUUUUGGGAAUGAGAACCAAAAUUCAGGUUUAAUUAAUGAUUUGAUCCUUUAAAUUAUUUGCUGGUUACAUUUUGGUCCCAUAAAUUAUUAACGUUACAAUUUGAUGCCUUAAGUUAUUUACAAUUUGGAUGGGUUUAUCAAGAUUGAUCCAAUAAUCAUGAAUUAUUCAAUCAAGUUUUUCUCAUUGAGGGUAUUGUCACUAAGGCGAGUACUUUUUGAAUAGACAAGUGGUUUCUUGAAUUGUUUCCGAAAUUCCCUUUUCUUGAGAGUUUUAUUUUAAAUUCUUGUGACAUGCCUGAAAAGAUUGAUAUUUCAAGAGGUUGGAGUUUUGGCGUUGCGAUAACUUAAAGGAGGUUAAUAUUGAUUCUUCAACCUCUUAAGUCGAACACUUGAAAUAGCAAAUAAGAAGACCUUAAGUCAACUGAAAAAUUCUACAAUAUCUUUUACAAUGUUUUGUACAGUCAAAUGUCACGAGGGUUUAAAUAGUAAAUAAUCUCUAAAUUACAAUGUUGAAAUCCAAUUUUUUUUAGAGGGUGUAAACCGGAAGUCGCUCAAAUGAAAAGGGGUAAAAGUGCAUUUAUCUCCAAAAUGUUUAUAAUUAAUGUUUUCUGUGGCUUGUGAGUUCUAACUCUAUUUUGUUUAUCAUCUAAAACUACAGUUUUUUUAUGAGACGCUAAUGGGAAAAAAAGAGAACGAUUGCUUUUGCAUUUCUACUGAAACUAAGUGUUGGUGGCAUGGCUUGAAGGAUGUGAAAGUCAUAAGCUCUAAGAAGAUUGAUGAGAAUGUUUGUUUUAACACAAUUUUAGAUUCGUCGCCAGCUUAUGCACCAGCUUAUCCAGAUCAAACAAAUAUUACCUUCAAGCUAGAAUUUUAAUUUUGUUUAGAAGUUUAAUAUUACCUCUUGAAAAGAGGUACAUUAUUUUUUGUUGAAAAAUGUUGAAAAGAGGUACUAUUAACUUAUAACGUACAGGGCUUUAAUGUGUUUCGUCCCUAUAAUUAAGGGUCAUUUAAAAAUUAGUCACUGUAAUCGUUAAUUCUGACAAAUUAUCCUUAUAAAAUUUAAUCAUUUAAAAUUUACCCACUUAAUGACUGCCACGUCAUCAAAUUAUAAAAUACAGGAAUGUGCCUUCUUUUUUUCAUCGUAGAUGAAUAUGAUUUCUAAGAAUUUGUUUACUUGCUCUCUAAUGAGUAUGUGGUUAAAAAAAUGUGAUGAAGUGAUAAGUGCUCUCUAGUGAGUAUGUGAUUGUUAUACUUGUAUUUAGAUUUGUUGAUCUAUGGCAUAUGCAGUUUGCUGAUAUAGGUAGUGCUAUUAGGUGAAGAGUGUUUUUCUUUCAAUUGUUUGGGAUGUGUGUGAUGAAGCUAUCUGUUCAUGCUAAGUUGAAUGGUUUUUUAUUAAUAAAGUGAUUAUCUAUUUAUUAAAUAGAGAAUCAAAAUCGUUCAUGAACUUUUGGAUCCUAUAGUAAUACUUCAUUGAAUUAAUUGUAUCAUAAGCACUUGGCUUAGAAUCCAAGUAUUGAUAUUACAAACCAAGGUUCAAGAUUUCUACAACUGAUUGAUAAUUCAGGCUAAAUUGAAAGAUCAUCAAGUUCUUCACACUCUUGUACAAAUGGAUGAUACAGGUACAUACUUCAUUUAUUUUGAGAGCCAUGUCAUUAAUGUCCACGAAAGGGUCAAUGGAAGUCCAAUGGGUAUACUAGAAAAAAUGAAUCACUAGAGCCAACACGUUAAGAGAACCCAUCUUUGAAAUUAUUCUUAGCUUUAAUUAAUAAUAAAAUUUUAAGGAUACAAGCACCUUAAGAUGUACGAUUUCUGCUCUCCUCCUGCACUUUUCGCUCACAACCAGCUGAAAAUACUAUAAUGCCCUUGUGCUAGUUAGUGGCUACUUUUAUUUAAUUUAUUUACUAAUAUUCAAAUUAUUUUAUUUACUUUAUUCUAAAUGAUUUUGUUUACUUUACUCUAAAUUAUUUGUUCACUUUAUUCUAAAUUAUUUAUUUUCUAAAUUAUUUGUUCGCUUUAUUCUAAAUUUUAUUUGCUAUAUUCUAAUUUAUUUAUGAACUUAAAAUAAAUUCAAAAUUAGAAAAUAAGUUCUAAUUUAUUUAUGCACUUAAAAUAAAUUUAAAAUUAGAAAAUAAAUUCAAAUUUAUUUAUACAAUAUUUAUUUAUUCAAUACAUAAUAAAUUCAUCAUGGUAAGCUUAGCUCAGUUGGUAUGGACAAUGCAUAAUAUAUGUAAGGUUAAAAAAUUUAGCCCAAAAUCCCUAUAUACAUUAUAGAUAAUACUAUUUGUAUUGUAGUGGGAUAAUCAUUUUUAAUGUGAUUUAAUUUUUUUAAUUAACAUUCAAAUAAUACAUAAAAUAUAAAAAAAACUAACCUUUUAAACAUUUUUGGUUGGACUUUUCUUUCUUUGUGUCUCUAAAUUUUGAUCGGUUGUGUUCUUUGCACUCCUUGUGCAUGGAGCUUCACUGUUGUUAAUAUAUAUAUAUAUAUAUAUAUAUAUAUAUAUAUAUAUAUACCAUUUUGAUUUGUGCUAAAAAAAUCUACAAAAGAUGCGGUGCAAACAUUGAACGGUGUUUUGCAUAUAAAAUAAAAAGUUAUUCAAUAGAAACACUAUAUUAAUGUUUAUAUUUUGACAAUAUAUAUUAACAAGUUUCCGCAAUUUUAUUAUAUCAGUUUUCUCAUAUAUUUACAUAAAAUUUGUUUAUACAUAUAAAACACAUAAAAUUUUCAACGGAUGCCGAUGCAAACAUUAAACAUGCGAAUGAAGAAUCUUUGUUUAUAAGAAAGAAAAAAAAAAAAGUGAGUUAAAAGACAAAAGAAGUGCCGUUAUAAUUUUGUUGUUACUUGAUUCGAUCUAACGACUUUGUCAGAGCAGUCCUAUUCUUAAUCCAUAUCUCUCUAAACUCUUCUUCUCUUCUGUCGCACUCUUUCUCUUUCUCUCUCUAACUCUACUUUCCACUCAAUCGAACAAGGUACAAUUUUUUUAUCGGAUUCUCUCUAAUUUUUUUCAUUCAUUCAUUUGUUAUAGUUUAGUUAACAAUUGUUGUUCAUAUUUUCUGUAUUUCAAUUUAAUUUUAUGGUCAAGGUUGACUAUUUUUUUGUUGAAAUUAAAAAAUAAAUUAUUAAUUUUAUGAUUGAUGAUUUUGUUGAAAUUCAUAUUGAUAAUUGAUAACUAAUUUUAUUUUAUUUUGAUUUAUUUAGAGAUUAUGGCAUGUUUAGAUUGACUUAUUUGAGCUUAUAAGACUGUUUGAUAGAGCUUAUAUGACAUGUUCAUAAACUGUUUUCAGCUUAUUUUUGUUAAUUCUCCAGGAUAGCUUACGGCUUAUUGCGUAGAUGAAAAUUGUUUGAGUUUUUGUUAUAGAAGUAGCUUAUACAUCAUAAACACACUUGUCAUGAUAAGUGCUUAAGCUGUAAGCUGCAAAUUAAGUUGUUUAUCCAGACAUGGUCAUUGUUUGAUUGAAUUAUGUGAGCUUAUCUAUAGGCAUAAAUACUUUUGAGAGUGUUUGAGAGAGCUUAUGGAAACUGCUUUUAUGAGCAGUUUUCAACUUAUCUUCAUAAGCUCUUCAUGAUAGCUUAUGAAGACAAAUUAUAACUUAUAUGUAAACAAUUUUACAAUAUUUUAGUUUUUGUUAUAGAAAUAGCUUAAUCAAAAGCACUUAAAUGGAAGUGUGUGCUUACGCUGUAAGUGCUUAAUUAAAUAGUUUAUUUGAACAGGAUCUUAAUGGCCAAUAUAAUGUCCGUGUAAACCAGUUUUCCACGGACAUCUUAUAAGAGACCACCGUUUUUUCAUAUCCUACCAUAAAUUUCAAAAUACCCUUACAAAAGUUGGGUGAUGUCACUGGUUUAUAUUGAAAGUGCAUAUUCUUUAAAUCCUUUUAUUUUAUGAAUUUUAUAAACAGAAGUUUGUUUAAGUGAAUUCAUGAUGAUGACUAUAGUUUUUUGAAUCACUCUUCUCAACUAACUUGUCUUUAAUGGCGCUUUAUUUCUAUACAGAAUCGAGUUUCAAUUCAACUGAUUCCGUUAUCGAGUUGUUUUUGUAACUAGCUUCUGAUUCAAUGCCUUCUGUAAUCUCACCUCAGUGGCAAGAUAAGGCGAGUGGUUUCUUUUCUUCCUCAGGUACCUUUCACUAAAUCUGUGCACAUUUUUGCUUUUCUUUUUCUUGUUUACUGUAUGAUAGUUGUUUGUGUCUAUGUUUGUUCAAAUAUAAAUUCAAUGUAGGGGUCAAGCUUAAAGAAGCUAAGGAAUCAGCGGGAACAUUUGUUGGCGAGGUCACGAAGGAUACAAAGAGUAAUGUAGCUGAAGUGGCGGGAAAAGUUGGGACAAUAGUCAAAAGUCGGUGGGCACGUCUUCAGGAGCCGUCUACAAGACAUGCUGUGCAAGACCGAAUGAUAUCUGCUGCUGCUACAACUGGUGCAUUCCUAAGGAGAGGCUUGUCAGGAACAAAAGAAAAGGUGGUUGUGGGGAAAUCCAAGGUUGAAGAGGUAAUGUGGUCGUGUAAAUGAUUUUUGGCGAAUUGUGACAUUUAUUUACUAGUCUUACACCAAGUUAGCACUAAUUAUAUUUUUGUUGUUCCAAUUUGAUGCUCAGAUUCUUUAUUUUUUCUUUCUUUUAUUUGGCCUCGUUAUCAUUUGUUUCAGGUGGCAAAAAUAACGGCACAAAAAAGUAAGACUAUCUUGACAGACAUUGAAAGAUGGCAAAAGGUAUAUGACAAUUGGAAAAUUGUGUGACAUUUAUUUACCAGUAUAGAUCAUUCUAAAAAAUUCUUACUAUUUCCUUUUUUUCUGUAGGGAGUUGCUAAAACUGACGGUAAGUUUCUCAAACCACAUAAUUGAACAAGUGAGUAUUUAUUUGACGGAAAUGGGACUGAAUAUGUAGAACUAUCCAGUGUUUUUUGUUAUCUAUGUAGAAGUAGUUCCGUUGAUCUAACAAGGGAUCUUACGAUGAAUUCCAUUUUGACACACUGUUAUGCAUAGCAUACUUUUCUUCGAUGUAGAUUUUUACUUUAAUUAAAAAUUGGUGUCUUCCUGCAUUCUAGUAGUUAACCGUUCAUCAUCUUGACCUCAGUAUUUGGAGUUCCGAUUGAGAUUACUGUACAGAGGCAAGAUUGCAGCAAGCCUAUUCCUCAGAUACUAGUCAAUUGUGCAGAUUACCUUAUAGUUUCAGGUAGCUUUUUUUAGAGUAAGGUUCUAUAUCCAUGUAUCAGUCUAUGUUUCUUUCUUUUUCUGAUUGUUUAAUUCAAAUCCUGUAGUAAUUCCACGGUUGUAAUCAUAUGUAGGAUUGAAUCUGCCAUAUCUUUUUAAAUCUGAAGGGGACAAAAAGGUUAUUCAGCAGUUGGUUGCCCUAUACAACCAAGGUAUAUCGAUCAUUCUUUCAGUAAUUGAUAGAUUAUAUCAUUAAAGUUAGACAGUGCUAUAUUUGGUUAUAAAGUUGUAUGUUGCAGAUUCAACUGCUGCGGUGCCAGAAGGCUCAAAUCCAGUUGAUGUAGCAGCUCUUGUAAAAUACUAUCUUGCUAGCCUUCCUGAGCCACUGACCACAUUGGAGCUUUAUAAUGAGAUCAAAGGUGCUCGAACCAACAUAUAUUCCAUGAGAAACAUACUUAAGAGGCUUUCCAGUGUGAACUAUAUGACUCUGGAGUUUAUAACCGCACUUUUGCUCCGUGCUAGUCAGAAGUCACUUCUCAAUAAGGUAAGCGACUUCUGUAAGUGAGUGUGAAUAAUUGCUUCGUGGAAGUGGGAUUGGGUUUCGUAUAUGGAUGAGCGCUAUUUUUACUAUUUAAUAAAUAUGUAUGGUGGAUUCUUUUGGCCCAAAUCUCGUCAUUCUUGGAUACACAUUUCCUUUCCUAAAACCUAAUUAAGUAAUUAACUUUUUUUUGCUUGGUAUUUAGCUUUUAACCCAUGUCAAAAGUAAAUUGAAUCUAUGCAUUUCUUUUGUUGUUUGGAAAUCUGUAUUGUCAUUUGAAUUGUUCAUUUCUUUUAAGACAUUUGAUUUGUUUUCAUAUGUUAGGUCAUGUAUUUAACAAAAUUGGUUUUGACGGUUAUGAUUUCUGAACCGUUUUGUACACUUAAUUUUCUCACUUGUAGUCUGACACUUGUGUGAGUCAUGUUGUUUUCUCAAGUUGUGUUUAGCCAUCUGCUUACCUUUAUAUUUUUCACAACAUUCUUUAAUCUUCUUGUGUUUCACCUUAUUAUUUUGUUGUUUGAUCAAAGACUAUUGACGGUAAAUGUAGCAUACUAUUGUCCACUUGUAAAACAUUUGAAAAAUGUCGUAUACUAUUUGAAAUGUAGGGUAACUUUGACUAGUCAUAACUAUUUAUAAAGUCAUACAUAUGAUUGGAUGUGUGGUAAGACUAGAUGGGAUAGAAUUAGAAAUGACAACAUUAGAGAGUUGGGGUAGAACCUAUAGUAGAAAAGAUGGCAGAAACUAAACUUAGUUGGUUUGGGCAUGUAGCGAGAAGACCUGUGAAUUUUUUAGUAAGGAGAGUAGAUCAGAUGGAGGAGAGUCAUAUGACUAGUGGUAGGGGGGGAGACCUAGAAAAACUAUAAGAGAAACUAUUAAGAAGGAUCUAGAGAUUAAUGAGUUGGAGAAAGACAUGGUUUUUGAUAGAACACUGGCGUCGUUUGAUUCAAGUAGCCGACCCCACUUAGUGGGAUAAGGCGUGGUUGUUGCUGUUGUAUAUUCUAUGGGAUAGGAUUUGUUCCUAGUUUAAUUUAGACUUUCUUCUAAUGGUCUUAUUGUAGGUUUUCAUUGUUUGAUUUGGGUAGUUCUAUGUCACUGACUAGUAUAUGCACCUUAAUACGUUACAAUUUUGUUUUAACUUGAAGUAUUUUCCGUGUUCAGUAACUUUCUUUUCCUUCUAUUCUAAUCUUUCUCUCUCUCCUCAUUUUAGCACUGUUUCCCAAGUUGUAUAACUUGCUUUGUCAGAAUUAGCGACCUUCUUCACCCCCUGAAUAUGAUCAUCAUGGUGCUUUACUGUUUUUAUUUUCCCAUCAUUGGCUGACCUUAAGAACAAUCAAACUUUUGUUACUUGUUAGAUUCUACAUGCAAAUUGGUUUUGAUCAGUGUGCAAAACAUUGUUGACCUUGUUCAGAUGGACUCUCGGAGCCUUGCAAUGGAAAUGGCACCUGUUAUCAUGUGGCAAAAGGGAUGUAGACCUGAAACUUAUCGUCAAUACUGGAGUCAAAUGUCAGAAAGUCCUUCCAAACAGAGCUUGAAUCCAGAACCUGGUUCAACUACUUGGGACAUGCUUGCUGGUAUGAAAAAUGAUGCCUAAACAUGUGAUUAUUUACAUACAAUUCAUUAUGUAGGCUGUGAUGAAAAGUCAACUAUCUUCUUCUAAGUCAUAAUUUAUGAGGUAGAGGUUGUAUUGUGCGUUGAAAACAUAAUGAUAUUCAAUAAUCUUCAAUGAACACUAUACCUGUAUUUCCAUAUUGGCAAUUUGAAAAGAAGGCCAAUAUAGGAUCUGAUCAUAUGGAGGAUAACUUUGGGUGUAGAAAGAACUAAGAAUACCCAAGAGAAAACAUUUAAAAGAGAUUGAUCUUAAUUGCCCUUCCGAAAAUUGGUUUUUUUUUCUCCUAAUGAUAGCUUCAAUUGAUCUCUGUACUCAACUCCAAGUAAUGAAAAAAGACUUUUGUUGUUUAGUGCUGGGAAUUCAAUGUAGAAUAAAAAGAUUGAAGUUCUUUAGUGUUUUUCAAUUAUAAAAAGUCAAAAGUGGGAUAUUAGUGAAGCGCCAAAGUUGUCUAAAAGGAUUUGAAAAAACCUUACACCUACUGACGUUGAACUGUUGAAUGUUUUCAUGAAAGAAUAUUUUGGCUACAAAUCACUUCUAUGAUUAACUGAUGUUAGCCUCUUGGGAUCUUCUUUCCAAGGGGUGUGGCUAAACAUUUUAAAAUUUGCAUGAAGCUGUAAUUCUAACUCAUGAUCAGCAUUUGCACUCUAAUCACAAAAUAUUCUGGAAGACUAAAAAAAGUUAGUUUAACAGCUGGUUGUUUUACUUCUAUUGAACUAAAACUUGGUCUGCAAUGAAAUAGUGCGGAUUGGAGAUUACCAUAUAUCUUAUUUUCUUGUUUCUCUGUUGCAGACGAGAGUGAAGCAAUGGAUGCAUCUUCUCUUAUUCCUUUGGACGAAGGCAUGCCAGUUGACUUUGGUGCAAUCGAGGUUGUUCAGUUGCUCAUAGAACAUCAUAAUGCAGUCUUCACCGACGCCAAUGAGACAGUUUGGAAAUGAAUGAUCAUACUACUUUCCUUUGAUUCUUCGACUUGGAUGUAUUGGAUUUGGAAUAAUGUUUUCCAAUUUGGAUAUAUUGGAUUUGGAAUAAUGUUUUCCAAUCUGGAUGUGACGAUCAUUAUAUAGCAGCUAUGUUUAUGCUGGGAAAACAUGUUGGGUACUGGUCCAGUUUAGUGAAAGGUAUAUCUGAUUUUUUUAGGUCUUCUUAAGAUUUUAUUUUUUUGGGGUGAAGGGGUGAUUGCAAAAAGUAUUGUACAGCUACUAUUUGCUCCUUGCAGAAACUCUCAUCACUAAUGUACUUUUAUUGUGGUGUGAUAUUAUAUUUUUUUGGUGGAAAAAUAAUGACAUGUGAUCUGUUUAUUGUUUAUGUAGUCAUGAUUGCACAUAUUUGAAGGUCAAUUUGGUGCACCUAAGAACAAUAUGUAUCAAUACUUAAUACAUGUGUGAUUGCAAGGGUGUUGCUAAAGGGGGUGUAGAAAAGUAAGUUUGAUUUGAAGAAUAUGCAAGUAGAUUCCAUAAAUUUCUCCCCUCAUUGUGCAGCUACUAGUUUUCAUUUUUCAGUAAUUAUUGAGGGGCUCAAGUUAUGCAUAUGUAAUUAAGAAGAAAAAAAAGAAAGAAUGAAUAAGACUUACAUGUUCAUUGAUAGUUAAAAAUGGAAAUAUUUCGAAUAUGAAGGUAUUAAAUAAGACCUUCAACUAGUCACACAUUGUGCAUUAUCAGGUUUUUCUUUAGUAAAUUCAAGAAACCUGAAACAAGUUCAUGCAUUAGCAUACUUGGAAAAGAUGGUAAAUGUAAAAUAAGAGUUAAAUGAUUACUGAGAAAAGUAUUCAAAAAUCUCAGUUGGAAUGUCCUGAAAGAAGCAGUUUGAACUUGUACUCUGAGAAUUUCCUUCAAGUCCAAGACUUGGCAACUUAGUUCCAAUCUUCUUGCUCCACACACUUUCUGAACAUUUUUUCUGCUCAAACAUGUCCAUAAAAUUAGGGUCAAAGGGAUCUUGAACAAGGUCUUGGCACUCUGGGAAUAGUGGAAAGUCCAUCUGUGAUUCAGGGAGUAAUGGAAAAUUGUAUGCUGAUGAAGACUCAAAUGAUGGUACUGUGUGAAGUGGAGUGGCCUCAAACUCAAUAAUUCCAUUAAGUUCACUUUCCAAAUUUUGGUAGUUUGGCUUUGUCAAAUCUGGAAGGUUGAUCAUCUUGAACUCUUCUUUGUUUGCCAUAUAAGAAGUUGGGUAAGUAAGAUUUUCCUCCAGCUGAUUGGAACCACAUUCAGGAACCUGAAAUAGACAAUUUCAUCAUUAAGUUCAUACUUUCUAAUCUUUCAUGUAAUAGAUCAAGUGUAUUUUGAAAAUCCCUCACUAAAAUUAUCGUUUAUCGAGAUAACCUUGCAUUCACGUUUGUUUGUCACACGAUUCUAGUCUCCAAUAUUAAUCAGAUGAUUCAUAUUACAAAUUUGCAAAAUAGGUUCAAUACGCUAAGUCAAAAUGUGGACACUAUCAGAAUAAAAUCGGACAAUUCAGAAUGAUUUCGUGAUUGCGGACAAUAACAUGACUCACUUAUUUAAAGAAACUUCAUUUAUUUAUAAGUUUGAAGAGAAAAUCAUGUUCACUUAACCUUUUCAACUUUUACUUGAUUAGAAACAGCUUUUCCUUUGUUUUUCUGUUGCUUUGAUGGUGGUGAUGGUGUCCUUGGAUAAUUCCUCUCCAUCCUUUUUCUCCUGCUACUCCAAAAGUUCUUCACAUCAUUGUCUGUUCUCCCUUCCAAAUAUGUAGCAAUUUUGGCCCAUUUGUUCCCAAAUUGCCCCUGUAAUUCUAUCACCACCCUUUCUUCCUCUGAUGAAAACUUGCAUCCUCUACAAUUGAAAUCACACAUUUCAAACUUUCAUCACAAAACAAAACACAACAAUUUCCUUACACCAACACAAACACUAUUAAAUUAAACGACAUUGUUAUUUUACAAAUUGACACAAACACCAACACCAACACUUGACAAUAAUAUCAUUACUUCCUUAAAAAGAAUAACUCUUAUUACGUUUAUUGCAAGGUAAAAUAUUCUUGUAUUGUAUCUAACUAUUUUUGGCAAAGACAUUUUUCAAAUCAAACAGAUGCAUAGAAACAAAUGCACAAUGUACCGUCAAAAACAGUUAAUUUUUUGUAUAAAACUUAGUCACAAUACUAUAUCCAAUGUUUCAACCUUUGAAGUAUCGAAUCAAACACAAUCACUACACACUACACUGACACAUUAACAUCGGUAAUAAUUAAAAAACCAUAUCAAUUGAAUGUAAUCACAUGUGUUGUUGGCAAAUAUCAAUCACACUUUCGAUCAGAAAUGUCAGUGUUACAGAGGAUUCUAUAAUUCGUUACUAGUAUAAAUUACCACCAAAAAUUUGUAAGGUGUGAAAAACUACCAAUUGAACAUAAAGAACAAUAAACACCGUACCAAAGUUUGAUGCACAAGCAACAUUUGUCUAAUUCAAGUACCAUAAAAAAACACAAAAUACAAACAAACACAAACGCAAACACAUCACAUUAAAAACAAAAAGUUGCAACACAACAUGAAAUCAAUGUCAAUGUUCAAAUUAAGUAUAACAAUAAUUAAAAUUAGGGUUAAGAAAAUUGUUACUACGUUUUCAAGUUGGGUCUAAGCUUAUUAACCCAUCUUAACCGACAAGAUUUUCCAGUUCUUGGCAAAAGACCUUUGGAUCGAAUGGAGCUCCAAUCUCUAGGACCAUAUUUGUUAACAUGUUUCAACAACACUUCAUCUUCUUCACUACUCCAUGGUCCUUUUUUUAUGUAACCUCUUUCAUAUUCUCUUUCCAUUUUUUUCAAUGCAUAAUUUGUUUCUUUUUCGUUUCAUUUAUUUAUGGUGUGACAAAUUAAAUUUGAAAUGUAUUUGACGGUUGUGUUAUUAUGUGGUUGGGUGCAUGAAUAAUGCAUGCACUUGUCCACGUGGAGGGUGUGUAAUGAUUUUGUUUUGUUGUUUUGUGACGUGGCAGUAUGUUAUUGGUUUAAUGUUUAGGUUUUAUGUGGAUUGGAUUCAUGGGAUUUUUGUUUCCACUAAGCAUUAUGAACGGUUUUGACGGUUAGUGGGAACAUCCAUAACCCCGCCAUUUCUUCACUUUUUUGAAAUUAAAAUUUUGCUUCAUUAUAAUUAUGCAUAUUUCCGAUAAUUAUGCAUAUUGUGUAAUUUUUUUGGUACAAAUACAUUGUGCAGAAAGCAAUCUAUCUAUCUUUUGAAAAAGAAAAAAGAUUAUCUUAUACUAGCGUUUAUACAGGCAUUCCGUGUCCGUUUAUUCGGUUUUCAUAAUUACGAACAAUAGAUUUAUACAAUUUUGACUAAAGUUGAUUUGAUUUUGAUUAAAAUUAUAGGCAUAGAUAAAUUAUAUUUUGCACUUUCAUAUUAUAACAAACUAUACUUCAAAGAUACCAAACAAUAUAACAAAUAUAACAUCUUUAAAAAAAAAACAAAUAUAAUACAAAUUCUUAUAUAUUUGAAUGACACCAACAAAAUAACAUUCUUAUAGUCAAAUUUAUUUAAGGGUAUAAUUGGAAGGAGAAAAAUUCAGCCCAAAAGAGCCUAUUUUCUUUAUAUAUAGUAUGUAAUAUGUUUGAUCUAAAUACGGCUCAAAUGAUCUUAAAUACGCCGUUGCAUCCGUUGGUUGAUUAAGAUAAAUUGAUUUGGAAAGUUGAAAAGAAUGGAAUGUAUUCGGUGCGAAGUGCAUAUAAACUUUGUGUUAGUGAGAUAGCAGAUAAUAAAGUCCCCCACAAGAUAAAGAAUCUAGUAUGGCUUGUUUGUAGAGGAUAUUUUCCCAUAAGAGCUUGACUAAGUAGUAGAGGCAUGCAUUGUCCCGUUGAUUGUGUGUUGUGUAGAAGUAAUUUUGAAGAUAAUAUUCAUAUUCUUUUAGAGUGUCAUGGUGCUAUGCAUAUUUGGAGAGAGGUUAAUUUAUGGGAUAAGAUUGACAAGGCAUUAAGGCUAAACUAUAACAUGGAUGCUGUGAUUUUUAGUCUCUUGUCUCAACCUAAUCCGUCUCAAAGUUCUCUCUUUGCCACAAUCUUGUGGAGCAUUUGAAAACGUAAGAACCUUAUUAUGGCAACAGAAGGUGGAGACCAAUGAUCAGGUUUUAGCUCGAGCAUCGACCCUCCUUGAGGAGUGAAUGGCUGCGCAAUGUAUCCGAAGAGAAGGUGGCACGCCUAUAGAUGUGAAUCAGCCGGAGACAAUAUGACAAGAGGUUGUUCGAUGGGAAAAGCUAGCAAAAGGCCGAUACAAAUGUAAUAUAGAUGAUUCCUUAAUUAUAGUUUUACACAGUUAUUAAAAAAAUGAUUAAUAUUUUUAAUUUUAAUGGUAAAAUAUGUUUCAUUAAUUAAAAUACUCUUAUUAAUUAUAGUUAAUAGAGUAGUUUGAUGAUUGAAAUAUAAUAAUAAAUAAGAGUAAGCGUGUUACUCUUGUUUUCUUUUGGUAAGGUGUGGGAGCACUCUUGAGGAUCCGUUGAGUUUUUUUAUUUUUUAAUAUUUUUUGAAAGUUGUAGUGGUGCAAUUGGGUGGUUAGUUGGAGUAGUUUUCGUUUUGGUUCUUGUUUGCUUAUGCAAUUAUUUUCUAAAAUUGGAAUUUUAUUUUUUAUUUAUUUCUACAAAAGUGGUGCACUUAUCUUGAAUAUGCUUUUGGUGCAACUCCUUACCAAUUUAGUCCACAAUUUGUUAAAAUUCAUUGUCCUUAAUUAGUCAUUGAUCUUUAGUUGAAACAAUGUAAUCACCAAGACAAAGGAGUGGGUGGAAGGACAAAGGGUACAUGCAAGAUUAAGAAAAAGUUAGGAUAAAUUAAAAUACAAUAAUUUAUGGGUUAUGUUAAUCAGCACUCCGGAUAUUAGUUAAGAAAUUAAAAAUGAAAAAAAUAUGUCAAAGUUAACAUUAAAAGCAAUAUUUUUUUUAAAUUUCAAAAAAUAAAAUACACAAUUUCCAAAAAUUAUAUUUCUUUUAUAAUUUCUUAACCAAUGCCCAAAACACUAGUUAACAUUUCCCAUAAUUUAUAUAUAUCCAAAAUUGAGACGUAGUUUGGUUUCCCUCUUAGUGCAGUAUAGUUCGGUUUUUUCAUUUUGUUAUUGGUACUUAUUUAUAUGAAAUUGAUGAAUUAGCUUUGUCUUAUAAUUGAUUUAACUAAUGCCGACUUCAUUAUUAACAUUAUAUAUUUAAAUAUAUUAGUAUUUCGAUCACUUUAACUUUGUCAAUUUUUUAGAUAUUAUGUCGUACUCUUGAAUUGAAUGUUGUAAGUUUGUUUACAAAUUCAAUCUUUCUGUUUUAGACACAAAAUUUGUGUUGUUUUCGAUAAUAUAUAUAUAUAUAUGGAUUUGCUAGAACACAUCAACUAGUUUUUAUGUGGGAGUGUUUUAGCAAGUUAUAACUAAAAAGUUAAUAAAUACACCUUAAGGUGUAUGUUGCUAUAACACACCUUCUAAAAAAACAAGUGGGUGUGUUCUAGCAAAUCCUAUAGGCAUUUGCUAGAAUACACCCACUUAUUUUUUAGAAGGAGUAUUUUAGCAAGUGAAUAACUAAAAAGUGNAUAUAUAUAUAUAUAUAUAUAUAUAUAUAUAUAUAUAUAUAUAUAUAUAUAUAUGUGUGUGUGUGUUUUUCUUUAUAAAUGGCAACUAUACCCUAUCAAUCAUCAUCAUAAAAAUAAUUUUUAUAACCAAGUUUCACGUCUCUAUUAUUUUUCAUCAUUUUUUAGAAUUGUACGAUCUUGUACCAGAUCUUCGUUUAGUUAUGAUGAUAGCAACUACUCUCACUGAAACAUUAUAUAAUAACAUUUUUUUGGCAUAUUUAAUUACUGAUCCUGUCGGUGUAUUGUAAAAUUAUGCAAUUUGUCCUUCAAAUUCACACAUAAUUUUAGACCCGGCAACCAUAUGAAAACAAAAUCGUAGGUAAAUAAUGUAGAAAAUCAGCAACAACCAUUGACUUUUGUUAUAAGAGAGUGCCAAGUCAUUACCUUAUCAAGAUUGAGUCAGGCAGCUGUGACUGAGUGGUUUCACUAAGAUCACGACUAGUAUAAAAGCAGCAAGUCACUCUUGUGUUUUAUGCACCAAACUCAUAAGUCACUAACAUGGCUUCCUCAAACUUUUUAGUGCUGCUUCUUUUUGCUCUCUUUGCUAUCCCUCGGGGUCUUGCCAAUUAUGACAAGCCUCCGGUUUACCAACCACCGGUCUACAAGCCCCCUGUUGAGAAGCCACCUGUGUAUAAGCCACCGGUAGAAAAACCUCCAGUUUACAAACCACCGGUAGAGAAACCACCAGUGUACAAGCCACCAGUUGAGAAGCCCCCCGUCUACAAACCUCCUGUAGAGAAGCCUCCUGUUUACAAGCCACCAGUAGAGAAACCACCAGUGUACAAGCCACCAGUUGAAAAGCCUCCGGUCUACAAACCACCUGUAGAGAAGCCACCUGUUUACAAGCCACCUGUAGAGAAACCACCAGUGUACAAGCCACCAGUUGAGAAGCCUCCGGUCUACAAACCACCUGUAGAGAAGCCACCUGUUUAUAAGCCACCUGUAGAGAAACCACCAGUGUACAAGCCACCAGUUGAGAAGCCCCCGGUCUACAAACCCCCUGUAGAGAAGCCUCCUGUCUACAAGCCACCAGUAGAGAAACCGCCAGUGUACAAGCCACCAGUUGAGAAACCCCCGGUCUACAAACCCCCUGUUGAGAAGCCUCCUAUCUACAAGCCACCAGUAGAGAAACCACCAGUGUACAAGCCACCUGUUGAGAAGCCUCCAGUUUAUAAGCCACCAGUUGAGAAGCCACCUGUGUACAAGCCCCCAGUCGAGAAACCCCCGGUCUACAAACCUCCUGUAGAGAAGCCUCCAGUUUACAAGCCACCGGUGUACAAACCUCCAGUUUACAAGCCACCAGUAGAGAAGCCACCUGUGUACAAGCCUCCGGUCUACAAACCCCCAGUUGAGAAACCUCCAGUUUACAAGCCACCGGUUUACAAGCCUCCAGUCGAGAAGCCACCAGUUUACGGACCACCUCACCACCCAUAGUACCCUCCCGUAGUUGGCACUACUCGUUUUUAAAGCAUGCUUUUAAGUAAAUAAGAGAUAUAUAAACUUUCCAAAGCAAGGAUCAUAUAUUCUUGGAAAUCUUCAAUUCAAUCUUAUGUUUACAAAUGCUAUUGCCAAGACAAGAGUGUGAAAGAAAAUGGUGCCAUUUGUACUUCAAAUUAUGAAUAAGAACGUUAUGAUUUAGUACUUCUUAUUUUGUGUUUGUUGACUAAAUUUGACAGAGUAUACUUUACUUGUUCCCUAUCAUACCAGUAAGGUGCAUGAAAGUUCAGUCUUGAACGGUGGAAAUAAAUAAUAAUUAAUUAAUGUUUGAAUCUCGAAUUUACUAAAUUAACGAACUUGUAAUUUCAUUGGAAUAUACUUGACUCAGUGGUAGCUUUAGUUUCAACUUGGAAAAUGUCCGUGAUAUGACAAUUUUUCCAAAACAAGUUUAGGUUAAGAUUUUUAUUUUUUAUUUUUGACAUAAUAUACGUUAAGAUUCUUGUGUACUAAUAGAAACUGAAAAAUCAUUUUGGUGCUUAAAGUUUAAUGAGUUGGACAAAUUAUUCACUCAAAUAUGGAAAUGAUAAUGUAGUCUCUUCAAUUAUAGAAUGCCAUUUAAUUUAGUUACCUUUUCAAAAUUAGCAUCACAAUUCGCAAGGUUUUAUAUUUGUGUUGAUGCAUCAGUUAAGAUAAGGAUCACGAAAAUUAGGUUUUUGACUUGGUUUUGAUUAGGGGUGUUUGCGGUGCGUUUUGGUUCGGUUUUGAGCAUAAAAGUCAUCUAAACCUCAAGAUAAAAAAGCAUGCGGUUUGGUUUGAUUCAGUUGAUUUUUAUAUAGUCAUCCAAACAAAACCAAACCAAACCAAUGCGGUUUGGAUUGGUUCGGUUUGUACGGUUUAUCGCGAGAUGAAAAAAUAUUACAUUAACUCUAAUAUUGCCAACUUGUUACAAAAUAAACAUAGGACAUUUUAUUUUGUUGUUUAUAUGAUAAAAUAUUAGGUAAAACUUAUAUCAAAAUAGGUAAAAUUAAGAAGAAACAUAAGCAUGAAACAAAUUAUUGAGAAGUAAAAGAAACAAAUUCAUCACUGAAAAUGAAUUGAAAGAGAUGGAAAGGAAUUAGAAUCGAACCAGAUGGUGCAACAAUGGAAAAAUCUAAUCAAAUGAGAUUAUUCUUGAGCUAUGUAAUUGGGCUAGUACAUGUUUAAGUAAUAUUCAUUAUUCUUGCGGUUUGGUUUGGUACUUGAGAUGCAAACCGCAAACCAAACCGAACCGCGCGGUUCAGUGUAAAAGUCAUCCGAGUUCAUUCGAACCAAGUGCAGUUUUUUGCGGUUUCGGUUUGGAUUGGUUUGGUUUGCGGUUUUUCUAUUGGGUUCGUUCGGUUUUGAACACCCCUAGUUUUGAUCGAUGUUUCCUGAAGAUAUGUUUUGGUAAUUGAACUAAAUAAACUGUCUUACAUUCUUCAAUUAAUGAGAUUAAAUUUCCUUUUUACAAAUAUCAAUGAUUAAUGUCAAGGACUAAAAUGAUGAUUAGUGUCGCGCCAUUUUUCGGAGGUCAAGGCCAUUUGAUUAGCUUUUGACUCACUUUUUAUCUCACGACUGAACAAAAAAUUUUUUAAAGGGGAAAAAGUUUCAAACCACCCAUUUUGAAAAGAUUUAGGGUUCAUGGGUUGGUUAUAUUUAGGGAAGGUAUUAGCACCCUAAAUAUUCGUAGUACUCUAUGAGUACCUCUUGAUUUUAUUUAACUUUUUGUGCUUAAACUUGCUUGCUUUUGAAGAGAUGAAAAUAGAAUUGAAAGAUGAGUUGAAACGAAAAAGAAAAUUGAUUUUAAUUGAAAAGAAAAAAGAAAAUUGUUUUUUAGUUGAUUUGGAAGGACAAGGUCCUCUGCCUACGUACCCGUGAGGGAUCAAAACCUCGUAGUUCGGGGUAGAAAUUGACGUUUGAUUGGUUUUAUAUUUUUUAUUAGUUUUUGAAAAAAGGUUUGAAAUAAAAAGCCAAGUGGCAAAUGAGAAUUGAUUUGUGUUUUUUGGAUUGAAGGAAAUAGACUUGAAGUAGAAUUAAAAUUGAUUUGAGAUUUGAUUAAGAAAGAAAAUAGAAAUAGCGAUCACUUCAUUGAAAGUCAAGGUUUGUUAUAAAAAUAUUUUUUUGUGAUUUUUUGAUAUUUGGAUGUUUUUGCCGUUUUUGAAUAAUGAAUGAAAAUUAAACUAACAGAGCAAUGAAAAUAAAAGUGCGUGGGCGUGAAGAAAAGAUUUUGGUUUAUGUUAGUUCGACAAUAUAAAUAGUAUUUAAUAUAUGUUGUGUUCACUUUGGAUAUUAUCGGACAAAAUUUUGACAAUAAUAAAAAUAAUAAUAGUAAAAUAGAAUAAAAAAUAGAAAGACUAAAGUGAAUCAAAAUGAGAUAAAAAGAUAAAUAUUUAAAACGGAUUUAAAGUUAAUAAAAGAUGGAAACUAAAAUUAAAUGAAAUUUGAAAAUUGAGAGAAGAGGGUCCGACUUGGAACCAAAUAUGAGGUAUUUUAAAAUACCUUCCUAUCGAAAUUUUGUUCGAAAGGCUGAGACCGGUCGGAGUUAAAUGACACGUGUCAGUGCUGCCUUAGGUCAAAAAUUGGGGUAUGACAAUUAGCUCAAUAAUUAAUUAUUGUGAUUUCUUCAUUUUAUAUUUAUAUUUAAGAAUAAAAAAAAAAAAAUGACGAUAUCAACUUUGACACAUUACAUAUUCAAUCAAUGUUGACUUGACCAUCAAUGCUACAUAUCCGGAUGUAAGAGUAGUUCGACGAGUUUAUUUUUGUCACUUUUGUUGAUAUUUUGUUGGUUUAUGCUAUUAACUUGCAUCUAGUAAACUUGUUCAUAGCUUCAUCAUUUUCAGUUUUAGUGACAUGAUAUUUGUGUUGUAUUCAAUGUGAUUUACCGCGCGAUAUGAAUAAUAUAUAUUUUUAGUCAAAAUUAAUCAUGUCGGACCUGAGAUCUUUGGUUUGAUGGCGUUGAACGACCUUUGAGUAAGACAAUGUUAAACCAAAAUGAGUUUUAUACAAUGCCUCUGAAGUUUUGAUAAUAACAAAGUAUAAAAAGAACAAUUGAAUAUGCCAAUGUUGUUCAAGUAUGCUCGACCAUAUAUUAAAAUUCAAAGUAUUAAAUCAAGUUUUGAUUCUGAAAGAACAAGAUUAUGAACAUAUACAAGAGCAUCUGCAACUUAUGAGAAGCUGGAAAUUUGGAUCAGACUCUGAAUAAGUAAGACUGUGAAAGUCGGGAGUGUAACACCCUGAACCCCACAUACUAUUUUUAAAAGUAAUAAUUCAACAUUUAAAUAAACAUAUCAAGAUGUUACUCUUCAUUUUCAACACAUAACAAGUCUCCAUCUUAAAAUAUCAACUCACAGCGGAAAUAAGUCUCAACAACACAAAUGUCAUACAUCAUAUCUCAGAAUAAGUACAUCAUCAAAAUAAACUCAAGGUUCCUCAAACAUAAUAUGAUAACAUAAAUAAAAUCCCAACAUCCUAAUCAGAGAACCACUAGACAAGACUCCAAAAUCAAAGCGGUAAAAGAUGAGUAGGCUGCAAGCCGUCCUCGGAAACUCAUGGUAACUUUGCGUCCUCAACCUGCAAGUCUCCACCACAAGGGCGUAGGCGACCAUUUGCCAAACGUAGGGUAAGAUAUAAAUUUAACAUAGAGGAAAUAUGAACACAUAUAUAGUAUUAGGAUCGCAACAUCAUAUACAAGUAUUCAUCUUAAGCAAUACCAUAUUAACAUGCAUUCUCAUUGAUUGGUAAAAUAUACACAACAAAUCUCAAAUCAUCAUCACAAGAAUAUAAAAAAGUAAACACAUCAUUGAUUAAUCAUCCAAUGGAAUACAUAGGAUUCACACAUUAUCACUUUCAUUAAAUCACACAUUUUCCAUAAAAUACACAUAGUCAUGUAUGCAUCUUUCACAUAGAUUCACAUAGUCAAGUACUCAUCUUCUACAUAGACUCUCAUGUACGAAAUGUUCCUACUCGACUUUAUAUGCAUGUGGUACUGUUUUCGAUAUCAGAGGUAUUUUCUGAGUGAUUUCACCGUCACUUGGACUGACCAUGAAUGCAUGAACAUCUCAUCAUGACUCGACAAUGCAUAAUUCAUAUAACUCGACAAUUUACAUCAACAACAUCAUCACAUCGUAUAUUAAUUCAUCGUCGCUAUAUCAUCAUCAUCAUCAUCAUCAUCAUCAUCAUCAUUUUCAAUGUCAUUAUAUCAUCAUCAUCAUCAUCAUAUCAACAUCUAUAUAUAGUUCAAAUCAUCAUGUCAAACCAUAUCAAUAUGUAUCCACCUCGUCUCGCAAUCACAUUCACAGUCAUCAUCAUUAUAUAUUCAUAAGACAUUAUUCUACAUCAUCAAGUAUACUUCGUUAAUCAUCUAACAAGUUCACAGUCAUUUCAUGAUUCAAUUAUAAUUAAAUCACAAGUUUAUUUCUAACCAUUUCAAUUGCUAAGUUUACUUCCAUCAUAAGCUAGGUUAAUUACUCUUACACAUCAAAAUUAUACUUCUAUUAAUCAAGUUUAGAGGUUUGUGACAUAUUCACAUGCAUUGGAUACCUUAAAAUACCAAAAAUAUGAGUUUCCCACUAUAGGGAGGGUUGCACGGUAGUGCCAUCCAGGUGCACAGUCGUGCUCAUCAUGCAGGUAGGGAAAAGCUAUAAUUUUUGCGUUUUGCUCAGGAAGAACCCCUUUCAACACCAUUUUUCGAUCCAAUUCACACCAAACUAGACCCAAAUCAUAAAACUAAUGUUGUCUAAUCAAUUACACAUUAAUUUUACCUUAACUAACUUUAUUAUACUCAUUAUUAUCGUCAAUUAACAUGAACUUCAAUUGUUUUAAACUUAUCACUUCAAACCCAUUUUUAACAUGGUAAUUCAAACCCCAAACAUAGUAACAACCAAAUCAACAUCCCUUAUUCAAAAUGAACACAAAAAAAUUCAUCAAUUCACAUUAUAAACAUCAACUCAACAAUUAUCAACAAUUAUCAUGAAUUUCACCAAUUUCACAUAAAACUCAAAAACCCUAAUUCACCAUAAUCAAACAUUGAUUUUAACACAACUGUUAGGUUUGUAGUCUUGACAUGUUGGUGCGACAUCAUAGCGUGCCUUGUUCCGAUUUCUUGGAGAUUGUAUUUAAAUGUGAAAUCGCAGAAGAAAACUAAACGCAUCACAACUAAGAAAAGGUAGAAUAAAACCUUUCUACAAACAAAGCGCACAUCACUUGAAAGCAAAAUAAAUACGCAACUAAAUUUCAAAAAAGAUAUGCAUAAAUUAUCAUAGAAUAAGGCACCAAGUAACACGUUCUUACGUCUCAGAUUACCAAAUGGCUCUCCGAAAAAUAACCAGAGUAUGAUAAAAUUACAGAUUUCCCAAAACAAAAGGAACAUAAACUAAAAUACAAAGCACGAAAACAAAGAAGACACAACAACAUAACUCUUCAUCCACUAACUUUCCAUCAACCAAAAUCUUGGAGGGGUCCAGCUCGCUCACAUUAUCAUCAGGGUUAAAAUGCAGAACUUGCGCCCUAGUAUGCUCAAAGCCAUUGUCAAAAUAUAAGGCAAGAUCCCCCUUGCCAUCCUCAACGACGAAUUGAGCUUUGGCGAGAUCCCCUUACAACUAGACGACCUUCUUCUUCCAUGAAUCUCUCUCCAGCUCAACAACUUCUUUUUCAUCCUUCAUAUCUUUGGUCGUCUUCUCUGCAGUCUUCUUAUCCUCCAAGGCUUCCUUCAACCUACUUUCAAGACCCGUUGCUUUAUGCUUCCACUUCUCCACAUCUUCAUGAGCGUCUUUAUACUUUGCCUCUAAAGCACCAUGUUUCUUCUCCAUCACUUUUCCUAAUAAAAGGACCCGGAGCACUAAUAUUCUUGUAUCCAUUACUAGCUCGCCAAAUUUGCUUUUAACGCCAGCAUCAACGUCAACCUUAGACAGUGGCACUUUAUCCUCCAUGUAGCUACGAUAAACGCAUGACUUAAAAGUUGAAAACCCACUAACAUUACUAGAAUUUAAGUAAAAUCUCAUCAUCAAAUUAAACUCUCAUACCUACGAAAGUCGAAAUCUUUAUGCCAAAAAGAGUCAGCCACCUGAACAUUCAGAGAAAUGGUUCCCGCCACCCCGCUAGCAUAAUCAUCAUCCUUCCGACUGGCAACAAAUGUCCGCUUCGAGUCGCCCUUCCCAGUCCUCAUCUUCUUGCGUCUGGGCGAGUCAGUUUGCUCAGCCAGUACCCCAUUGCCUGCCGUCUCCAUGUUAUCAAUGUCCAUAUCCGAAUGUAACAUCCUAAAAUUUUAAGUCUAUAUUCAAAUGUAGUUAAAAAUAUAAAACAUAAUAGUGUAAUUAUUUUAAAAUACGCGAAGAUAAAAAUAAAGACAAAUAAAUAUGAUAUAAUUUCUUAUUAAUAAUUAAAUUUUAUUGGAUAAAAAGAAAAGGAGAAAGAAAGAAAAACAAAAAUAAAGGGAGUGCAAAUAACAAUUAUUUUUAGAAAAGAAAAAAAAAGUUAUAUACUUUCUCGAAUUUUUUUUCUGCCCUUGUUUAUGCAAAAAAAUACAAAAAUGCCCCACUUUUUCGAAAAAUUGCGUAAAUGCCCUACUUUUUCAGAAGCCCCUGGUACUACUCCACUUGGAGUUGCGGGGUACCCUAAAAAGUCACAAUUUUUUUGUCCUUAUUGUACGCCGCUACUUGGACUUGCGGGGUACUUUCCUACUUUUUUUUUUCCACUUUUUUUACUACCCCGCGAGUCUUAGCUUUUGCUUUUUUUUUUAAAAUUUUUUUUUUUUAAAUACCCCUCUACUUGGAGUAGAGUGGUAUAAUGAAGACAAAAAAAAUUCAACGUGUAAUAAUUACUCUCAAAUAAUAAAAAACUAAUUAAAAUUAUAUAACCAAUAAAAUACCAUCUACAAUGAUUAUAAAUGCCCGGCUGUCCCACACCUUCGUCUUCGACGAUCUCUUCCGCGAUUUACUUGAGGGUUAUGUUGGUCUUCGUCAUUUUUAUUUGUAGUUGAUUGUAUCUGACUACCAUAACCCAGUGACAACGACACAUCGUGUUCUCUUGUUGGCCAUCCCAUAUCCAGAAAUUGUUCAUUGGAGUUCAACGAAGUCGGAGAGAAGUGAGAUAAUAGGUUUGUUGGUGUUGGUGGGUGGUUGUAGUUUUGGUUGGUGUACAUUGGGUAUUGUGGGUUGUUGUAGGGGGGUAAUUGGUGUUGGACGGUCCAGCUUGGUUUGGGUCAUUAUAGGAGAAGUAGUUGUUGUUGGAUGUGUUAGCUUGGUUUGGUUCAUUGUAACCAUAAUUUGUCAUUGAAUUUUGUUGGUAAGUUGACUGAUAUUGGGGCUCAUAUGCAUUUCUCGGGGAGGUAUAUGGUGGUGGUUGGAUGAUAUUUUGUUGGGGGGUGUCGAGAAAUUCAUACAUUACAGAACCAUGAAUGUUUUGUGUUGUAUGUGGUUGGGAUUGAUGAUCUUGUAGUUGAGAAAAAAUGUCUUGAUCCCAAAAAUCAUCAUGAAUUGGUGUUUGGUUGUUGUGAAUUUCAGGUUCAUGUUCCGGCUCCGGCUCUUCUUGUUCGUCUGGAUCUGAAUCUGAUGGUUUUGUCUCAACUGAAAUCCUUAGACGUGGGUUGCAUGUGGUUGUCAACCACUCAAUAUACGCAUGAGUUGGGGUGAGUGAUCUUGGCCGCAUGUGAGGUAAAAUAUAACUCCGUCGGUUGUCCCAAUGUAAGCUCUCUUGUGGAAAGUGAAAACCAUUUGAUUGGUACCACAUCUUGAACCGUUUGUCCACUAUAUGGAAUUGUCGCAUGUCUCGUGGGGCCCCUGGUAUUUCCUGUGGCAAACCAAAUUCUAGCUUGACCCUAUCAGUUGGAUGCCAUUCAACUCUGUCAAAACAUAUAAGGUGAGUUGUUGCAGUCCACUCCCAAUAGUCUUCAGGAAAAUUGUGUGGAACAUUCUUGUAUGGUCUCCAUUUAAACUGGCAGAAGAGAGAAGUUGUAGUGUAAGGUUAACAAUUUUGAUAUAUAUAUAUAUAUAUAUAUAUAUAUAUAUAUAUAGUUCGAUAGGUGAAAUAUAUAUUCAUUAUUAAUUAAAUAACUCCUAAUUAAAUACUUGUAAAAAAACUCAUGAUUAAAUAAAUAAUUAAUUUAUAAUCGCGACAUUUUUUUAGUCCUAUAUUAAUUGCAUGUCCUACUUUUUUUUUUCUUACAAAAGAAAGUUAACAUAUAGCUUUUUAUUUCUUUACGACCAUGAAAGUGUUAAUAUGUAGCUUAAAUAACAAAAUAUCUUAAUUAUAUUUAAUUAGACCAUGAAAGUUAGUUUACCCUUGAAAUUACAUAAAAAAAAAAUUACCGUUCAAUAUAUAUAUAUAUAUAUAUAUAUAUAUAUAUAUAUAUAUAAACUCAUACAUUCAAAAAUCAAUUAUAAUAUUACUUGAUGUUCCAGUAUGUCAUCAAACUUUUUUCUGUAAGAUAUAGUGUCAUGGCUUGGAUUCUCGUAGUAUCUUGAACCUGCACCUGUCCAUCUAACAAAUGAUAUAAACAAAUUAGUAGCUAAUUUAUCAAAUAAUAAUAUUAAUAAGAAGCGAGAAUAUGCGAGGAAAUUAACAAAAAAAAUAAAUAAAUUAAUUGACCACGAUUACUUUAAUCCUAGCGGCUACUGGAGUGGGUUAUCAUUUCUCGGAGCGAUAUAACUCAACCGACAAUAUCCCCAAACUUGUAACAGAAAAUGACAUCCAGAUAGUGCUUUUAUAUUUGGGUGUGAUGCCUCACACAAGCCACGAUAAAGGUAAGCCAAAACUGCCGAUCCCCAACUAUAAUUUCUUGUUUCAUUAAAAUCCAUUAACAAAUACAACCAAGAGUUGUGCACAAAUAAUCCAGUUGUAUUAGGAAACAAGAACCCUCCAAAGAGGUAUAGUAGGUACCUCCUGUGUGUUGUAUUUUUACCUCCGGAGGAGAUUGUUCACUGAAGUUAUUAUCGACCAGAUUAUCCUUUAAUCACGACAACGAGAGAGUAAAACCAUCAGUUUUGUGUGCUGGAGGAGUUAUUCCCAACAAUUGAGCACAAUUAUUCCACAGAAGAUUUGGAGGAGCCGUAACAAUUGGUCCUCCAAAAGGUAAGCCGAGUAAAAUAUAUACGUCUUCAAACGUGAUUGUACAUUCACCCGUUCGAAAAUGAAAAGUAUGUGUUUCGGACCGCUAUCUUUCUACAAGAGUGGUUACGAUGUGCCUAUCAAUUUUGUAACGCCCUAUUUGAGAAACCUCAAAAAAUCCAGCUUGACGUAGAUAAUCUUCAAUAUAAGGACUUGGUAUGAUGUUUUGCCGUGUACGAGUGGUUAGAGGUGCACCCUCUGCAUCCUAACAAAAAAUAAUAAAGGAAUAAAAUUAAAACAUAAUCAAAAUAUAAAUUUAAAAAAACGUGAACAUAUUUAAAUUAAUAUUAAAAAAUAAAAAUGACAUUAACAAAUUAAUAUCUAUAUAUACCCAUCUUCUUAUAUGUUCUUCCAUGGAUCUAUGAUCAUUUUCCAACCACAAGUAUGCCAUUGCUUUAUAGAAUUUGAUUGAAAUAAUCUCUUAUGUGAGUGAGUAAGGAAAGGAUUGAGAUAAGUAGAAUAUGUGUAAAGAGUAAAAAUAUAGUUGUGGUAUUUAUAAUGUAAAACUAUGUGUAAAUGGUAGAAGUAGUAGUGUGGUAUUUUAAUCAAUGAAGUGAAGAGUUCCUGUGUUACUACUGCAACGCAUGCAAGCCAACAGUGUUCAAAUAAACAUAGAAAUGACAAUUGCAUCAAUAGCAGAAGCAUGGUGUUCAACAAUAUUGAAUUAAUUCGUAAACUUUGCCUCAUGAGAUGACCAUUGCAUGUAAAAAAUACAUUAAUUUCUUGCAAGAAAUUUUUGACUGAAAUGACCAAUGCAUGUUUUGAUCACGUGAAGCAUGCUAGCAAACAAAUGGCCGACAAGCUGCCUCUGAAUAACCAAUAGGAACGGCGCGUGCAAAUACUACCCCGCCACUCUGGGUUGCGUGGUACCCCCAGCUGGCGCAUGCUUUACAUACCCCGCCACUCCAGCUUGCGUGGUACCCCCCAGCUGGCGCGUGCUUUACCUACCCCGCUACUCUAGCUUGCGUGGUACCCUCUAGCCCGCUAGUCCAAACUGCGUUGUACCUUUUUUAAUUUUCCCGCUCGAAGGGCAGAUUAAAUUACAUGUUAGUAUAAAUAAAAGUGGUCUGCAUGAUAUCAUUGUAUCAAACCAUUCUACUUCAUACUCUUACUCAUUUCUUAAGAUCAAACCAAUUCAAUGGCACCAAAUAUAAACGUUUUUGUGUACUAUAAUGGAGAAGUUAAACAAAAUGAAUCCGGUAUUUUUUUUCAAAGUCAGUAUACCAAAGGUUUUAAAGUCAGCAUGGCUAGUACUUACUUGCAUCUCAAAAGAAGAAUUGCGGAAAAAGUAUGUCUCGAAGAUAAUAUGGUUGUGUCUGAAAUUAUGUGUCGGAAUCCUAUGUUUGUUGGAACUACCACAAUUCAUUACCAGGCGUUAAGAAUAACUGAUAACGACGAUGUCGAGUUUAUGUUUAACGUACAUAAAAGUCACAGUUCUUUGUCCUAUAUAGAGCUUUAUGUUACGUUUGAGAUGAAGAAUCCAACAUCUAAUUUUGAGUUAAAUUACCCAUCGAGUUCUAGUCAACACCAAAGUCUACCACAACACUACAAUCCGUCAUCGUCGCAAGAACACUACAACCCAUCAUCGUCCCAACCGCACUAUAACCCGUCUCCCAUUUAUGAUGCAUCCUUAUCGCAACCUUUUCAGUCAAAGUGGUCACAAAAUGUGUACGAACCAUCACAAAUAAUAACUCAACCUCAUCCCUCUCAAACACCAUCUCGUUCAACACAACCCAAAACCUUAAACGAUGAAAUCAAUAUAUUCACCUCCCAAUUUCAAGACCAACCAAAUGAUGAAGUUCAAGAUGAUGAAGACGAUGAUGAUGAAGAACUCCUUGCCGCACAAAACGGUGACGAGAACGAAGAAGACGAAGACGACGAUCUGCCACUACUACCAAUUUUACCAAUCAGAGCUUCUUACAACCCACCAAGGUCCAUGCGCAACGUCAAUGAUGACCACUCAACUGAACUUUAUCAUUCAAUGGCUCUUCCGGUCGAUCAAGGUAUUGCCCUAGGGAUGCAAUUUCAUAACAAGAAUGAUUGCAUUCUCGCAAUUAAAUUUUAUCACAUGAAAAAAUCAACGGAUUAUAUUGUGAAAAAAUCAGAUCCUGAAAGGUAUGUCAUCAAAUGUAAAGAUACAAAAUGUGGUUUCAAAUUGCGGGCCUCGUGGAGGAAAAAAACUGAUAAAUGGGAGAUUGGGAAAAUGAAUGAUCAUACAUGUGUCUCAACAGAAAUGACGCAAGAUCAUCAUAAACUUAGUUACAAUGUGAUAUGUGAAAGUGUUAAAUCACUACUACAUAUGGAUACUUCAAUUACAGUGAAGGUUAUAAUUGCACACAUCCGAGAGAAGUUUAAUUACACAGUUUCAUACAGAAAGGCAUGGAGAGCACGGAAUAAGGCGAUUAAAUCAAUUUAUAGUAAUUGGGAGGAGUCUUAUGAAGAACUACCACAAUGGUUGAUGGUCAUGGAAAAAGAUUUGCCAGGAACAAUAAUUGAUUUUCAAACGGACCCAUCAACAGAAGUGGCAAAUGAGACCGUCUUCAAGCGUCUUUUUUGGGCCUUUCGUCCGUGCAUCUCAGGUUUCGAAUUCUGCAAACCAAUUGUCCAAAUUGACGCAACUUGGUUGUAUGGUAAAUACAAGGGAACAUUGUUGUUAGCUGUUGCGCAAGAUGGGAACAACAAGAUAUUUCCCAUAGCUUUUGCAAUCGUGGAAGGCGAGACCAAGGAGGCAUGGAGUUUCUUUUUGAAAAAUUUAAGGCAGCAUGUCACCCCACAAGAGAACAUAUGCCUCAUUUCUGAUAGACAUGUGUCGAUAAAGAGCGCGUAUGAUGAUCCACAGAAUGGAUGGCACGAUGCUCCGACAAGCCAUGUUUAUUGUGUCCGACACAUUGCACAAAACUUUAUGAGAUCAUUCAAGGAUGGAGAACUAAAGAAGAAAGUUGAAUGCAUGGGUAAAAAUCAUAUCUCUUUCCACGUAAAUUCGACAUUUUAUUUGUUUAAAAUGACACAUCUAACUUUUUUCAAAACAAUGCAGGUUACGCCAUGAACAUCCCUACAUUCGAAUACUACCGUUCUGAAAUUGCUGUUGCAGACCGAAAGGCUUUAGCAUGGGUCGACAAUAUUCCCAAACAAAAGUGGACUCAAUCACAUGAUGAUGGUCGACGAUGGGGCCAUAUGACAAGUAACUUGGUAGAGUCACAAAACAACGUGUAUAAGGGUAUUCGAGGACUUCCGAUCACAGCUAUCGUGAAAGCAUCAUAUUACAGGUUGGCGGCCUUGUUUGCUAAAAGAGGACAUGAGGCAGCGGCAAGGGUAAAUUCUGGUGAGCCAUUCUCAGAAAACAGCAUGAAAUAUCUCAGGAAUGAGGUGAUUAAAUCCAACAGUCAUCAUGUCACACAGUUUGACCGGGAUCGGUAUACCUUUUCCGUCCGUGAAACCAUCGACCAUAAAGAAGGAUUGCCAAAGGGAGAAUACAAGGUGGACCUGCAAAAUAAAUGGUGUGACUGUGGACGAUUCAGAGCGUUACACCUACCAUGCUCACAUGUCAUUGCCGCAUGUUCUAGCUUUUCUCACGACUACAAGACUUUUGUCGAUAACAAAUUCACGAAUGAGUGUGUAUACGCCGUAUACAACAUCCACUUCGACGUGGUUCACCACCAGACAUAUUGGCCUAAUUAUGAAGGACUGAAGGUGGUUCCCAACAAGUCCAUGUGUAGGGUAAAGAAAGGUCGUCCACCAAUUACUCGCAUUAGGACCGAGAUGGACGAUGUGGAAACUGAGAGAAGAUGCGGCGUUUGUAGGAUGCCUGGUCAUUCCCGCAAAGAUUGCAUUAAUAUUAGACACCAGUAAAAAUCUAGUCUUUAUUUCGUUUGUAGGAUGUAUGGUCAUUUCCACAAAUAAUUGUAGAUUUUAUGGUAUUUUAUUGGUUAUAUAAUUUUAAUUAGUUUUUUAUUAUUUGAGAGUAAUUAUUACACGUUGAAUUUUUAUUUUUUUUUGUCUUCAUUAUACCACUAUACUCCAAGUAUUUAAAUUUUUUUUUAAAAAAAGCAAAAGCUAAAACGCAAGUCCAACUUGCGGGGUAGUAAAAAAAGUGGAAAAAAAAAAGGAAAGUACCCCGCAAGUCCAAGUAACGGGGUACAAUAAGGACAAAAAAUUUGUGACUUUUUAGGGUACCCCACAACUCCAAGUGGAGUGGUACCAGGGGCUUAUGAAAAAGUAGGGCAUUUGCGCAAUUUUUCGAAAAAGUGGGGCAUUUUUUUAUUAUCUUUGCAUAAACAAAGGCAGAAAAAAAAAAUUCUACUUUCUCCCCACGUUUUCUCAAAAUUUGUUUCUAAAAUAAUAAUAAAAAAAGAAAUAGUUAUUUCAGAAAGAGAAACCGUGUGAUAUUUUUUAAUUAGUGUACACCUACACUUCUCAUGUGCCUAUAAAUAAGAUGCUUAGUUGAACAUAAACUCACACUACAAAACUCUCCUCUCUCUAAAAAAUCAGGUUAGUUCUCUCUCUCUCUCUCUCUCUCUCUCCUUUUCUGAACUUUCUCUAUUCAAUCUAUAGUCAUUCUUUAUUCUUUUGAAAGAGACAAGAUUUACUACUAAAAUAACCUCAGAUUUGGUCCCCACAACCCUUCUUUUGGGAAGAACAACAACAUAGUAUACCCUUCUUUUGGGAAGAACAACAACAUAGUAUUAGAAUGUUCUUUUAUCAGAUGAGAAAGUGACAGUAGUUUAGUUCUUUUCAACCUAAUCAAACCAUGAAAAUAGUUUAGCUCUUUUCAACCAUUCUUUUUCAACAGAAACAUCAUUCAAUAAAAUAAAAUAAAGAGAUCUCAGAUCUGUUUUAGACUUUUAGUAGAAAAAAUUACACGAUUUAAUUAUUGUAUUUUUUAUACUGAUACAAACUAUGAAGAUUGAAACAAAGUUCAUAAGAAAGUUGAGAUCUUGUUUAAUUCAUAUUUUUAGUUUAAAGAAAAAUAAAGAAAUGAACAUUGUUUUAAGAAUGACGUAAUGACUAUUAAAUGGCUUUUAAACAUUCUGACUAUAUAAAAAGGUAGUAACAUAAGUUUCAUUUGAAAUAAAAUAAAAUCAAGCUAUUAUUAAAAUAUAUCUAAUAUAAUCUGAAGAAAAAAAAAGGACGUGAUACAGAGAAACAAAGGAAUUAGAAAACUUUAACUCGUUAUCUCUAUUAUUAUGACCUUGAUAAUGACUAUAGUCUAAUAGAUAGUUUAUUUUGGGUGAGUAUUCUAGGUGAUAUUGGAGCUGCUUUCGACGGAAACAAUAUUGCAACCACUUGCGAAGAAUCCGAAGGUAAGGGGAAUUACUACUAAUAAAUUUUAAAGAUUUUGCAUAAGUUAUGUGCUUAAGUGAUUAUAUGUGAGUAAAUAACUCUACUUGUGAGAGUUAAUUUCUCGAUGAUGUGGUAAUUUCUAGCGAUCAAGUACAUGUCAAAGGACAUCGACUUAUAUGUGUUUUAGUUAAUAUAAUUAGGAGUUUUUGAAAAUAUAAUACAUAAGUAGAAGAAAAAGUUUUGUAAAUGAUGAAUUGAUUAGAUAGUUAUAUUAUGUUUAUUUGGUAUUACUCUUGUGUAAGUGAAUGAGCAUAUGAAUUUCAAUAAGUGUUAACUGAUUUCGAUGAGUGAAAUUAGUUGGAAAUAUAUGAUUUAAAGUGUCAAUUAUGAUUCGACGCGAUAAUUUAUAAUGUUAAUCAUGAUUAAAAACUUCUCUAUAAAAAGAAAUGAUCUAAGAGAGAUAGUUGUAUCCCACCUCAUUAAUUUUAUGGUAUCAACUCAUAGGUAUGUUGUAAAGGAAAGAAACUUAAGAAUGCCAAACUAUGAUCACUAACUUAGUACGUAGACAUAGUAUAUAUAGUUAUAUUGUACGUGUAGGAAAUUCUUUAAAACAAAUGUAUAUGUGCUUUUUAACUAGGCAACAUGAAUUAUUCUUUGUUAAAAUCUCAUGAAUAAAAAGAACAUGUACUAGUUUAAUUGAAUUACCUAAGUUCUUACUUACUGCUGAAAUUUCUAUGCUUAUAAAUAAAUGAAAAAGAACAUAUGCUGGUCAUUAAUUGUUCAGUUAUUAUGUACUGGCUUGAUUUACUUGCUGGAAUUUCUAUGCUUAUACAUAAAUGAAGAGGGACAUAUGCUGGUUAUUAUUUGUUGAGUUAUUAUAUACUGGUUUGAUUUACAUCACUGUACUAAUUGAAUAAAAUUCUGAUGUGGCUAAUCAAUUUUAUAAACAUAAAUGGUUAAUUGUUUGACAUUGUUGAGUUGAAUAUGAGUGUUUUGUCUUGUCUAGAAAGUAGGGACAAUUAAGGAGCUAUAACAGGUCCCUAUACACUCAGGUGUAGAUGAGAAUGAGGAUAGUUAUGGUUUGGUUACUUUGAGGAUCUAUCGAGGGCACUUGUGUUUCGAACGCCUAUCAAUAGUUGGGGAUUGCUUCCCGGCUGAAAGUACUCGUACUACCAGACACGGUGAGCCUGAAAAAACUAGACUAUCUAUGAUAAGGUAGUGCGAUCGGACUAGAAUGAUUAGAGUUUAAGCAUAUCUUGCUCAAAAUACUAAUAAUCAUGAUAUAGUUGCCGAAACGGCCUUAUGCUCAUUAGAGUGGAACCUCCAUGGAGUAGUGAAUUAUGAGAAGAAAAUAAACUAGAGUCAAGAAAAAAAAAGUCAAAAGAGUUCAUGCAUGUGUCAUGUUGAAUGUCAAACUAUUAAUUCAAAUUGGACCUCUUAAAAGAUAGUUUUUUUUUUUUUUUUUUUAUAAUAUGCUUUGUGAUUGUUGUUGGACAGUGAAUGAAAAGAAAAUAUUAUAUCUAUGUAAAUAUCAUUUUACCUUGCUGUAUAUAUAUUAUUUUCUUUUUCCUUAUGUAAUAAAUCACGUGGAAAACUUGUGUACGAGUAAUUCACCCUUCUUUGUUUGUUUUUGUAUCUUGUUGUUUUUUUUGGGUAUGUUCGGACGUUUUUAUAGAUGAUGCCAGAAAGACAUUUAGCUCACUCGGGAACCCGCAUGAUCGAGUUCCUUGAGGUAUUUUCUUUUGCAACACUUAUUAAAGAAGAAAGUAAUAAUAAAUCAAAACACUCACACAAAGACGCCUCAAGACUAUUGGAAUCACCCUAUCGUAUCAAAAGCUCAUGAAUAUCCAUAAGUAAAAACUUCUCCAAAAAGAACACCAUACCCUACUCAUAGGGUGCCAUCUUAUUAAAAUCAUACCCCAUCACUGCAAUCGGAGCAAUGAUCCAACAUAAAGGAAACUUUGGUUUUCCUUCCACCAUCACCAACGAAGUUGAGCCCUCAGGCUCUCCUUGCACCCUAACAAACGAAUCACACCAAUCCUUCUUAAAGUUAGAAGCAUAAGGAGGGAAAAGUUUUUUACUAGGAUAGGCACUAAUUGAAACCCACAUUCCCUUGUUUACAUCUUUCGUCCUAUAAAAAUGGAAGAAGACGCCAACAGAAGGCUCCAAACUCAUCCUUACAAAGUAGUUUGAAUCCACGAAUAAACGCCUAGCUAUUAGGACGUAUUUGCGAAGGCGCCACAUUCAGAAACUUUAGCACAUCCAUCUCAAAAUCCGUAAAGGGUCGUCACCCCAAACUCUUCCAACACCGUCAUAUACAUAAGAAAGGAAUCAUCCCUGACACCCUCCAAACGCUGAUCGCACACUCUCUCGCCUACAUCACAGGGCGACACUGUCACAUCUUUCUCGUUCUCAGUAGCAGAAGUAUCCAUCUUGUUUCAGAAUAAAUUGAUAUCCGAAGGCGACAUAUAUGAAAACACCGCUCGAAGAACUUCUUCAGCUAAAUGAUUCAUCUCCAACUCAUAAGAAUACGUCAAACACAUAAUCUCUUUUUGAGUAGACGGAAGAGGCAUAUAAUGACAAAUCUCUUGACAAGUUUUCCCCCUACGACAAAUCACUAUCACUACCAUUAGAGCUAUCGCUACUAGUGUUGCUAUCAUUGGACAAUUCCCCUAAAACCCUACGAUAAAAAAGCCCUAAUUCGUAAGCUUCCCAAUCAAUCAAGUCAUUAGGAUGUGUUGCAUGUCUUAAAGAAUCUCUCCUCAGUUGGUCUCUCUCAUCAAAAUUCGUAGGAGAGAAGGCGAAAAAUGAGAGAAGGAAAAUGGAAGAGUACUUGAGAAGAUUGAAAACGUGAGCUUAGAAAUCCAGACAAUCAGCUGGCAAGUGCGCGAAUACGGAGAACUAAAAGGCGAAAAAUGCGGAAGUGAAAUGAGGAAAGGAAGGAAAUGAAGGGUCAAAGAGUUUUAGAGGACAACAACAAUUAAAACCCCCUCAAAAAACACGCUCAUCCUUGGCACGAUUGGAGACACGUGUCAAGAUACACCCAGAUUCGAACACGUCACUAUCAUCGAAAGGUCACACAUUUUGGACCAUACAAUCAUGUUAAAAAUGAAAGAUCUCGUCGAUAUAGAAUUUCAAAAAACUCGUUGCCAACUCCUCAAACAGGAAACUUACUCGCCGUGCUGUUACAAAUCACUUCGCCUUGUCCCAAGACUCGUGGUUGGGGGCUGUGAACAAACAUCAGGCAUAAAACGCAUGACUCGACUAGCACACACCCUAGGGGGCUCUAGGAUAAAGCAUAAUCACCCAAGGGGGACUCUGUAAGCUCCAACAACAACAUCCAAAGACAUACACAAAAAAUACUGAUAAACGUAAAAUAAAUUCCAAAUGCUAAUUAAUCAUUUCGCCUUGUCCCAAGACUCGUGCUUAGGAGGCUUUGGACCGUCAAUAUCUUCUUAAGGACCUAGAAGUCCUCCCAAAGGGCAUUUAGACCCUCCUAGAUGCCUAACACCCUUCAAAAGGGCUCUAAGGCCCAACACGCGCCCUUCCUAGGGAGCCGCCUCUACCAGCUUCUAAAACCUCCAAAGCUCGGCCUAAAUACCUAAUACGAUUACAAACCCUAAUACCUCAUUACGUAUAGCUUAAGAACCAUAAAUCAGGCCAAUAGAGGGCUAUAAAUACAACCUUUGAGAGCCUUCUGAAGGCAUGACCAAUACAUUACAAACCCUAAUACGAUUAUUGUACUUUUGCAAGUACAAUGAGGAAGGCGAUAUUGACAGGGAAAGUUUCCACCUAAUUUGGGCUAAAAACAUGGACUUUUGGGGGUAAAAAAGUCACAAAAAGUGACUUUUUUCGCAAGGAGCAGGGCGCCUAGCGCAUAAUGGCAUGCACCUAGCUCAUGUUCCUGCUAGGCUGAGGCGCCUAGUGCCCCUUUCAUGCGCCAGACGCUUCAGUUGUUUAGCUUAGGGGCACCUAUUGUGCACCUGGGUGCAUAAGUGCCUUUUCAGUGCCUUUUCAGUGCUGUUUUUCUUGUUUUCUUUGCCUUUUGAGGUGUUUUCUUCAAUGUAAGAUGUCUUGGAACUUGAGAACAAAAUUCCUUCCUUUGUAAAGACUUCUGAGGCAUCUUGAAUCUUCAUUAUUCAUCUUCCCAAGGUCCACAUAAAUCUUCAAAUGUCUUGCAUUGUCUGAUUUGCUUGAUUUCUUCGUGAAUUACUUCAACAACACCCUAAAAUUGCUAUUUUUCAGGAAGAAUAGAAUUACAAACUCAAUAUAAAAUACAUUACAAAUGUACCGAAAUCAUAGGCAAUUGAUCAAAUACUCUUCUUCUUUGCUGGUAAAACCUACUGAAAUUGACUGAAAAAUGUAACAGCCCUAUUUUCGUUAGAUUUAUUUUAAUUGUUUUAAUAUGUGUUUAUUUAUGCUUAUGUGUGAUUAUUAUCAUUGGGUGCAUUUUUAUGGGUUUUCGUGUUGGAAGGAUAAUUUAGUAAUUUCAUGUAAGGAUUAUUUUUAGUGUUUCAAGUGAGAACCAUUAUUUACUAAGUUACUAGUGUGGUAAUUAGUUGUGAGCCGGUAAGUGAUCGUUGUUAUUAUUUUACCGUUAAGGGAGUAGAAACAUUUUAGAAUUAGUGAAUUAGUGGGUUAAGCCCACUAAGGCAUUAGGGUUAAACCCAAUUGAGAAGAGCCUAUAUAAGUUCUAGAUUUUAGAGAAAAAUAGGUUUCCACUUCAUUUCAUAAGAAUUUUGAGAGAGGUAGAGAUAGAAAGUUCAAGAGAAGAGGAAAAUGGUUAGAAGGGAGAAAAGCUUGAAGACUCAAGAGGUGAUAGAGAUUCUAGGACCUAAAUUGAAGCUUUUGCUAGGAUUUUUGCUAAUUGAGGUAAGGGGGUUAGAUUUCAAUCAUAAUAACUUAGUUGUAGCUUUUACCCUAAUUUCAUGUAUAAAUGCUUAUUUGUAUAAAGUGAUUAUUAUGAAAUUAAUUGAUGAAAUUCGUGGUUAUGCUUUGAUGUGAUGUUUGGGUAUGUGAAAUUGAUGUUAAUUAAGUUGUUGAUGAAGAAUUUACAUGCUCAAGUUAUGUAUAUAUGUAUACUUGUGUUUUUGCUCAAAAUUGAUGAAGUAUAAUGUUAUUGUUGGUGAAUUGUUGAUGAAUUCACUUCUGAUUGUUGUUGUUGUGAUUGUGAGUAGUUGUUGUUGAUGAUUGAAACCUUGGGUAAUCUUAACCAUAGAGCUUGAAGUGAGUUUCUAUUGUUCUUGAAGUUUUCAUGAAAAAUAGGUCAAAUGGUAAUUUUGUUGAAAUUAUGUUGGAUUCAAGUUUUUAUAUGGAUUUGAGUGUCUUUUCAUGUUUAGACAAACUUUGGGAUCAAAUUUGGGUAUUGGGUCAAAAUUGGGAUUUUGGGGUGAAAAAUGAGUUUUUUUUUGUAGUAGAACUCCAGAAGCCUGUCACAACUCGCCAUGGCGAGCGGGAGGCGAGCAGGAGGUGCUUCCUGUGUGUUAACUCCCCAUGGCGAGUGAUUCACUCACAGGGCGAGCUGCACAGUGACAUCAUUCCCUGUUUCGCAAUCUUGCGUCUUUUUCACAUAUUUUUGUUUUGAAUUGGUCUUUGGUAUAAAUAUGAAAGUUUUAGAUAAUUGUGUUAGCUUUCCAGUGGCGUUGGUUUGACUUGAAAAUGAUUUUUGGUUUUUGAGUUAUGAUGAAAAUACUCCAAGGAGGUCUUAGUGAAAUUUUAUGAAAAUUCCGCAUAACUAUUUCUAAGUCAACCCAAAACUUAUGGAUUGUUUCCAAACUUCAAAACUUGUGUACUAUGAGUUAAAUUAAUGUGUUUAAGAGUAUUUAAGCUACGUUGUGGUGAAUUUAACUUGGUUUUGUUUUGAAAGUGAAUUGGUUUUACAUUAUGAGUAAAGCGAUACGAACUUUGCAAAACUUUGAAUUUAAGUGAGUUGGCCUAUGGGACCUUGAUGUAUACACUAUUGCACUCAUAUGUGAUUGGUGUAUAUACUUAGUUGAGGUUUCCAAAUGUGUUUACCUUGUUUUGUCGGAUAACUUGAAAAUUGGUAAAAUGAUACGAACUUGUCGUAACCUGUGAUUUUGAUGAUUUUGUCGUAGUAGGCCGGUGAAACGCACAUGUAUAUUCAACUACACUCAUAUGUGAUCUAAGUGUAUACAUAGUCGAGGCCCUAGAGUUUAUUUACUUGGUGUUAGUUCAUUUGUCUCAAUUAUUUUAAAGUUGUAAAAUGAGAGUUGAACUUUGUCAAAAAUGGUUCUUUAAAGCCAAUUACCUUAUAAAUCUUUUGUAGAUAACUUUAUAUGACUAAAUGAAGAUAUGUGAAUGAAUUUUUAAUUGUUGAAUAUGAUAUUAUCAUAAGGUGUUGCAUUUUCUCUUUACUUGGAAUAUGAUAAGUAUUUGGAAUGGUGGAACUAUACUAUAUGGUUGAUGUUGAUUAAUAUUUAUAUAUCAAUUGAUGUUGAUGAUUACUGAUAAUUAUGAUGAAAAUGUGAUGAUGACUCUUAAUUGGAUUAUGACUUUAUUGUUGUGUGGACGUAAAUAUUUGAUAAUGCAAUUGUUGUUGAUGUUAUCCUUUAUAUUGUUGUUGAAUAUUUAUGAGGUGAUUUUGCAUUGUCAAGUCUUUCCUUGUAUGUCCAUGCAUCAUAGUCAUGUUGAGUCUUGAUGUUGUAAAGGAGGGUUACUCUUUUACUUUGGUGAUAAUGUAAGACGGGUGUGAAAUUUUACAUAUGAUGUUUUUGUUGCAUCAUGUGUGACGACCUUGAGGUGAUUUGGUACCACAUGCAUAUAUGUGUCGGGAUUAGGCACAUAUCAUAUUGGCGUGAGUCUUAAUUGAUGUAUUUGAAUGAUGAUUGAUGAUGAUAAGUGUGUUUGAUGAAUACAUACUUGUGAUAUUUAGAAUUGUUGCAUGAAUGUGUAUAUGGAAGUUAAUUGCUCAUGAUUAAUUAAUUGAUACUUGAUUUGAUUCAUUUAUGUCUAACUAUUUAUGUGGAUUAUGAUUGUUGUAAAGCUUACCCCUAGUGGUUUUGACCACCUACCUGUCUAUAUGGAUGGGUAGACGAAGUGCAAGAUUAGUCGCUUUGGUGAGUUGCUUGGUGAUUGCUUAGAUAGAGGGAGUUAUCUCCGUUAUCGUUUCCUUAGAGUCUUAGGAUAGGCUCUGAUCUAGGAUGUAUGUCUUAUGAUUAUUCUAGAUUGUUUAUUUUGGAUUUAUUUGUGUUGUGGAGAUUUACCCAAUUGUCGGAAUUUGAAGAAUUUUUAUGUUGAUGUAUUUUGACCUCAUGGCAUGUAUACUUUUGAAGUGUAUGGUUUAUAUCCGCUGCAACGGUAUAGAAUUUUUAUAUAUGCUUGUUAUUUGAACAUUGUUGAUGAUGUGGCGUCUAUUUCUUGGAUAUUUAUAUUAUUCGCGUGUUUUAUUGCUUUAAUAGAAAUAGGGCGCUACAAAAAACAUGCUAAAAAUAACGUAAGAUGUCCUGUCAUCAUACAACGAUUGAGAAAAAGAUAAAGAUUGUCUAAUACCCAAGACUUCUUACAUAACUAUUUCAUCAAAGCAGAAUAGUUCAAAAACUGGAAGGUGUGGGUUUUCAUGACCUAGGAAUACAGGUAGCUCAAGUGAUGACAACAUAAUUUAUGGGAAAUAUGAGAAUCAUCAAGUCUGUGGUAAUGUCAAAUGGAUUCUCAAUCAGAAAAGAAUGCAGAACCUUUAUCCCAGACUUUCCCUCGAUCAUCCAAGAACCAAAUACCAAAGAUCUAGCAGACCUAGUGUCACAAGCUUCUGAAGAUCUAAUCUGACAUGGACCAUGCUCCUAGGGCAUGGACCAUGCACCUAGGGUAGGGUGCGUUUCACAGUCACAUGCGCCUAGGGCAUGGAGUGUGCUCCCUGAGAACUAAAAAAGUGUGGGGCAAAAUUGAUUUUUUUUCGACUUUUGUGUUGUUAUUUUAUGUUGUGAUUUUCUCAGAUUGGAGUGGAGGUAGGAUGUGAGAGUUCAACAGAUCACCAUUUGUAUGACUGAACAGACUAUUCAGAAAAUCUGAAUCAGUGUUUUGAUAAAUGGUUUAGCUAGAGGGUAAUGAUAUAGGUGGCGAAGGAAUAAUGAUGGAUGGUACUGAAGAAAUGUUAACAUAUUAUGUAAGCUCAAGAUCAAUACCUUUUGUAUUAUGAGAUUCUUCUGCUUUGCCUGGUGAGGUUGGCUCAACGGUAGCUGUUGUGAGGUUGGCUCAACGGUAGCUGCUUCUGUGACUAGCAUGCUGACUUCUUCUGCUUGCUUCUGUUGCUUCUCUUGGUUCUCACACUCAUCUACAUCGAUGAAUAUUAGAUGACACAAAUCUUCCUUAGCAUGUACAUUCUUCUUCCUUUCUGGUGAGGGAAUGAGUGAGUGAAUAGUACCAGAGUUCCUUGUGAGCUUGGAAAAAUCCGUUUUGUAGACAGAUCACAAAGUCACAUACUCUUAAUUUGUCUCUGAGUCGGUUUUGGAUUGCCUCGUCUUUUUGGGUGCUUGAGAAACUUUCUCAUCACCUUUCCUCUUAACCUCGACUUUCUUUAACUUCUUUGUUGGAGGAGAUGUUGUGACUUUGGAUGAUUUCCUCUUAUUCUUCUUGUUGUCUGCAGUUUCUGAGUCACCAGGAGUUUAAUCCGGAAAGAACUAAUCCGCAACUAAUUACUAAUAUUUUUCAUUGAAAAAAAAUAAUUUUAAAUAAGACUGGUACCUUGGUCUGUUGUAAAUUUGUAAGAACUAAUUUGACAGACAAUGAUAUAACUCAAAGACUAAUUUAUUUGUAAGUGCAAUAAUUUUGUUACUAAUUUUUGACCGUAAAUAACACACAAGUUAGCAGAAGGACCAAGUUGUUCAAUAUAAUUCAAAAUGUGAUUGUUUUUGCCAUGGCAUCCCCCAGUUUUUCUAUAAUUACACAAGAUUCCCUUUGUCUCGAUGGUUAGGAAGUACAAUUUUCUUUUGGAUGUCUCGUGUCUGAGUCCUAAUUCCCCUCAUUUUUAUAUUUCUAUUAUAUUAUAUUUUAAAUUUUAUUAAAAAAAUGUUCUUGAGGGGGAAUCGAACACGCACCACUACACUGAAUUCUAGCAAAAAACUGACCCCUAGACCGGUUACUGAUCUGAAGAAUAUUAUGAAACAACUAAACAUAUAUUCCAUAAAUUUUGGCACCCCCAAGAUAAAAACUCAAGAUCCGCCAUUGCCUAACUCAAGGUCCUAAAUACGCCACUACCAUUAACUAUAAUUAAUAAGAGUGUUUUAGAAAAUGAAACAUAUUUUGAACAUAUUUCUUAUCAUUUCUUUAACAAUUAUGUAAAACUCAAAAGGAACCCUUAAUUUGAGACAGAGGAUAUAUAAUAAUCGAUGAAGUUUAAUAUCUGCAAAAAAGUGUUAUUAAGUGAAGUAAACUUAACAAGGGUGACACUUGUUUUCUUUUGGUAAGGUGUGGGAGCACUCUUGACUGAGUUUCUAUUUUUUUUUUUUAUAUUCUUUUGAAAGUUGUAGUGGUGUAAUUGGGUGGUUAGUUGAAGUAAUUUUCGUUUUGGUUCUUGCUUGAUCUAUUUUGCAUUGUGAAAUUUCAAUUCUUAGUUUGCUUUCUACAUUGACGGAGUUGCUAAGUUGCAAUCAAACUUUUGAGUGUGUAUUAAUUAUAACAGUAAGAGUGUUGCUAGCACUACUCUUAUAUAAAAUCAGAUGUAUUUUUAAAUUUAUUUAUUUAUUUUUUUUUUUUUAAUUUCUACGAAAGUGGUGCACUUUUCCAUGAAUAUGCUUUUAGUGCAACUCCUUACCAAUGUAGUCAAACAAUUUCUUAAAACUCAUUGUUAUUAGUCAUUUCGAAACAAUGUAUUCACCAAGACAAAGGAGUGGGUGGAAGGAUAAUGGGUGCAUGCACAAUCAAGAAAAAGUUAGGUGAACAUUACAAUCAAAAUAUAUAGCAUAGAGCAUCAAAAUUUAUCGUAUGAAACAAUGUUUUUCUAAAAUAUGAAUGUGAACAAAUAACCCUUCAACUCAUAAGAUGAUCUUUAAUAUAUAGAAUUAGAAAGUUAGAGUAUCAGUACACCGAAAUUUAUAUAUUCAAAAGUGAGGCGUAGUUGGUUUUCCUCUUUAUGUAGUAUAGUUCGGUUUUUCCAUUUUAUUAUGGUACUUAUUCCUAUCAAAUUGAUAAAUCAGCUUUAUCUUAUAAUUGAUUUAACUAAUGAUGACUUGAACAUCAAUAUUAUAUAUUCGGAUAUACGAGUACUUCAUCGUGCUCUUAAUUUAGAGAUGUUUUGAGUUUGUUUACAAAUUGAAUCUUUGAAUUUUAGACAUAGAACUUGUACUCUUUUAGAUAUAAUAUACCGAUUUGAAUGGAUAAAUACCGUAAUUCCAAACAUAUAUUUUUUUUUCACACACAUACCUCAUCCAUUACGAAACGCAGGAACUAAAGCUAUAUAAUAUAGUGAAGCUAAUUUAAUAAAAAAUAUAUAUAUUUGGUGAUGCUAAACUCAGUCUAACUUAAUGCCAGUUCAAAAGGAACACUGUGGUAUGGAGGAAUUCUUUGUUUUGCAUUUAUAAAUGGCAACUAUACCCUAUUAAUCAUCAUCAUAAAAAUAAUUUUUAUAAUGUAUGAGACCAAGUUUCACGUCUCUAUUAUUUUUCAUCAUUUUUUAGAAUUGUACGAUCUUGUACCAGAUCUUCGUUUAGUUAUGAUGAUAGCAACCACUCUCACUGAAAAAUUAUAUAAUAACAUUUUUUUGGCAUAUUUAAUUACUGAUCCUGUCGGUGUAUUAUUGUAAAAUUAGGCAAUUUGUCCAAUCAAUUCACACAUAAUUUCAAACCUGGCAACUAUAUAAAAACAAAAUCAUAGGUAAAUAAUGUAGAAAAUCACCAACAACCCUUGAAUUUUGUUACAAGAAAGGGCCAAGUCAUCACCUUAUCAAGAUUGUGAGUGGAUUCACAAAGAUCACGACUAGUAUAAAAGGAGGAAGUCACUCUUGUGUUUUCUGCACCAAACUCAUAAGUCACUAACAUGGCUUCCUCAAACUUCCUAGUGCUGCUUCUUUUUGCUCUAUUUGCCAUUCCUCAGGGUCUUGCCAAUUAUGAGAAGCCUCCGGUUUACCAACCACCGGUGUAUAAGCCACCAGUUGAGAAACCCCCGGUCUACAAACCCCCUGUAGAAAAGCCACCAGUAUAUAAGCCACCAGUAGAGAAGCCUCCAGUUUACAAACCACCGGUGUACAAGCCACCUGUGUACAAACCCCCAGUAGUGAAACCCCCAGUCUACAAACCUCCUGUUUACAAGCCACCGGUGUACAAGCCACCAGUUUACAAACCACCAGUAGAGAAGCCCCCAGUUUACAAGCCACCUGUAUACAAACCCCCAGUAGUGAAACCCCCAGUCUACAAACCUCCUGUUUACAAGCCACCAGUUGAGAAGCCUCCAGUUUACAAGCCACCAGUAGUGAAGCCACCUGUUUACAAGCCCCCAGUCUACAAGCCACCAGUAGUGAAGCCACCUGUAUACAAGCCUCCAGUCUACAAGCCACCCGUUUACAAGCCUCCAGUUGAGAAGCCUCCGGUCUACAAGCCACCUGUUUACAAGCCCCCAGUUGAGAAACCUCCAGUCUACAAGCCACCGGUUUACAAGCCUCCAGUCGAGAAGCCACCAGUUUACGGACCUCCUCACCACCCAUAGGACUCUCGGAUGCUUUUAAGUAAAUAAGUUAAAUAAGAGAUAUAUAAUGUUUCCAAAGCAAGGAUUAUAUAUUCUUGGAAUCUUCAUUUUAGUCUUUUGUUUACAAAUCCUAUUACCAAGAUAAGAAUGUGAAAGAAAAUGGUGCAUUUGUACUCCAAGUUAUGAAUAAGAACGUUGUGAUUUAGCACUUUUUAAUUUGUGUUGGUUGACUAAAUUGGACAUAGUAUAUAUAUACUCUACUUAAUACUCUGUCAUAUCAGUAAGGUGCAUGAAAGUUCAAUUUUCUGUAGUAGACAUAACGAAUAAUUAAUUUAUGUUUGAAUCUAGAAUUUACUAAACUUCACGUACUUGGAAUUUCAUUGCAUUAUAGCUUGACUCAGUAGUAGCUUUAGUGAAAAAUGAUUUUGGUGCUUAAAAUUUUAAGAGUUGGAGUUUGGACAAAUUAUACACUCAUAUAAUUUAGUUAUCUUUUCAAAUUUACAAUUACAAUUUUCAAGGUUCUAUAUUUGUGUUGAUGCACCAAUUAAGAGAAUGAUCAAGAAAAUUAGGUUUUUAAUUGGUUUUUAUCGAUGAUUUCUGAAGAUAUAUUUCGGCAGAUGAACUAAUCCUUCAAUUUAAGAGAUUAAAUUGCCAUUUUACAAAUUUCAAUGAUUAUAUUAUUACCUAAUCUUAAAUAUAAUUUUUAGGGCUAAAACGAUGAUUCACUCAAUAUAUAUUGUGAUUUCUUAUUUUUUUUAUGAUAUAAAGAUAGCUGAAGUUGUGUGAUAUACAAAGUUAUAUUUCCUUUGGAAGAUAAGAGUCCCCCACCAUAUUGACAUGAAAGUGAACGUGGGAAAAUAUGUGCAAUUAAGGUUCCAAAUAUUAAACAAUAGCCACAAUAAUUGUCUAUAACUCAUAACAAAUAUAAGAACUUGAUAAGAAAAAUAAUAAAUAUAAGAACAUGAGCAGGCCAUAGUUUUUUAGCCCGAGAAGCUUCAUCUUCUUUUUAAGUCUAACAUUUUUUAAUCUUCAUUCAAAGAAGAUUGGUGAUUUUGGGAUAUUUUUAUAAGAUAGGUAAAUAAUGAAAUUUGUGUUGUACUCGAAGAAAUCUACCACACGAUUUGAAUGAAUAUAUUACUUUUAGUCAAAAUAAAUUAAAAUAAAGAAUGUAACAUUUCAAACUCACUCACAUAUAAAGAAUGAAUUUACAAUCUUUAAAACACAAAUAUUUAAUCCUUAAAUCUAACACCUCUCUUAGUUUUAGCGAAAUGAACUUUGUGUUGUACUCGAAGAAAUCUACCACACAAUUUGAAUGAAUAUAUUACUUUUAGUCAAAAUAAAUUAAAAUAAAGAAUGUAAAAUUUCAAACUCACAUAAAAAGAAUGAAUUUACAAUCUUUAAAACACAAAUAUUUAAUCCUUAAAACUAACACCUCUCUUACAUUUAUUUUGUUUACGUACCUUUAUUUUGUUUUCAAAUACUUAUAUUUAGUUGAAUUCCUUCAUUAUACUCUUUUUAAUGAAUUUUCUGAACAAAAUAAAAUUGUGUUACUCAGUCACUCAAAUUAGAGUGGAUAGAGCAAUGAAAAUAUUUAUUACUAUGUAGUUUAUAGUUGGAGUGAUCGGAUAGUCUAGUGGGAUCUUAGCCACUCUCGUUUGACUCACUUGGAGCAUGUCAAAAAUAUUUUUUUGAAAAUGAACGAUGGAGAUUUACUUUGCACUAGGUCCAGUGAAAAAGAUAUGGGAGAUAAUCCCAAUCUUAGCUUAUUGGGUAGGCCAGUGUUGAGAAUGGAUUCUCUCAAAUGUAAUUAUCUCACUAGUCUAAUUACCAACACAAUCAAAGAGAAAAAAUAGUGGGAUGUAAGUAAAAAAUCCAUAUUCUACUUACUCAAUCAUCUAUACAAGCUACUUUAAUUAUCUAGUCGAACGUUACGAGCGUUACAAGAGAAAUCAGAAUAUCGAUGAUCAAAAUCCUUCAAAGCAAAAGAUGUUGUUGUGUGCAAGUGUGAGUUAUAUGCCCCACAUCGGAUAAAAGAGUAAAGGUUGAACACCUUAUAAGUAAGAGGACCAUAAACCCAAAGCCUUAAGGUUUUGGGUAAGAGUGUGGUGUCUCCCUUGCUUGUCUGGUUGUUCUAGCCUCGAUGUGGACGCUCCCCCAAGCUCCCCUCGCUGACCCAACAGUGGUAUCAGAACCCCGGUUCGAUGAAGGGUACGACUGAGGCCGCCUGUCAGUUGUGCAGAAAGCAGCAACGACGGUACAAGCAACAAGUGGCUUCUUGUGCAGCAACGGCUAUACAUGCAAAGUAAAAAGCUUCCACGCGGUACAAGCAACAAGUGGCUUCUUGUGCAGCAAUGGCUAUACAUGCAAAGUAAAAAGCUUCCACUCUAGGGGAGCGACUCACGCUUGAGGGGGAGUGCUGUUGUGUGCAAGUGUCUGUUAUAUGUCUCAAAUCGGAUAAAAGAGUAAAGGUUGAACAUCUUAUAAGUUAGAGGACCCAUAAACCCAUAGCCUUAAUACUGUCCUUUUUGCAUAUUUAGCCCCCCCGAAACCAAUUUUAACCAAUUCAACGAUGACGUGGAUGUCACGUGUGUAAUGCUUUAAUUAUUUUAGUUUUAGAUAGAUACAGAGAGAGAGGUGUCAUAUGUCAAAAAAAAAAAAAGAUAGAAAAGAUUUCCUUCCUUGAAUCGUUGAGGUAACUACAAACUAAGACAAUGAUGUUAUUGGUUACUUGUUUCUAAUACCUUUGAAAAAGAUAGUUAGACCAAUGUAUUGGUCAUUAACUCUUUUCAAUGGUUACUACCCUAGUGUCUAAGGUGAGUCAUAACAACGUCAAAGUAAGUACAAUUAUUAUUAAUUUAUGUCUACACCUAAUCAAUAAUUGAAGGUUAAGAUAGGUCAAGCCAACAAAGUUAAGGUUAAGAUAAUCAUUUUCACCUAAAUUGAUUUAUGAACAUAUGUUAAUGAUGACAGUCCGUCAUAUCACAUUUUUAGAGUCUUUUCAAUUAAGUUUUUAUUCUAAUUUUAUUAAUUUAGUACUUAAUUUAGAGUCAUUUUAAAUAAAUUGUCAUUUUCUUAUUAUUGAGUCAACUAGUGUAUUAUUACUAUUAUUAUUGGUCAAUUAGUGGCUAGUAAAGAGAAUGAAACAAAAACAUGGUUUUGUGAUGGAUGUGAUUGGCCAAGAAAAAUGAUAACAAGUUGAACGAAAGAAAAGAAGACCACACAAUGUUGCAUUAGGGUGCAGGAAUCAAAACCAAUAUAAUUGGGCUUUCUUUCAUGGACGUUGAACCAAGAAAAAGAAAAGAAAAGAUAACUUGCUGCAUAAUGUUAAUUUGGAAAGAAAAAUAGGUUUGACAAGCUAUAAAAGGAGACCACGCACAGGAACAAAGCAGACGAUUGGGAAAGAAAGAGCAGCACGCGGUACGAGACAAAAGGAGGAGGAGAAAAGCUCAUGGAAUUUGGAAUAUGCAACAGUACUGAUUAAAUAGAACAAAGCCGGUAGACCAUAAUUCGAUCGGUUUAUUUCUUUUAGUAUGUUGUUUAUUCCUUUAAUAUGUCUAGUUAAUUCCAUUUGAUUGAGUCACGAUGAACCUAUUGUAAUAUAUGAAUCAGUAGUUAAAACUCUUUUUAUUAUCAAUAUUAUUCAGUCUUUAUUCAGAAUUAUCUGUGUUCAUUGCCUUUCAUAUGAUUGUUUGCAUUGUUUGCAUUGUUUGCAUGACUAUUAACCCUAACUUCUUACAAUCACAUAAAUUGAUCUUAGGAAUUGAAUGACUACUAACCCUAACUUUUAAUCCUGAAAUAAUAAUUCUGUUUAAUUCAACAUAGGAACCUAGAGAUAGGAAAUUGAGGAUUAUGACAUAUAACGUUCUAACAUCGCUUCCGCGGUUAUUCAACCAGUUUAAAAGAUUAAAAGGUUAUAACUUAGGAAAUGGUUUUGAGUCAAGAGAUUGAUCAAAACUAAUUAGUUAAUUUGUCGUAAAGAUUGAAUAAGUGUUGAGAGCAAAGAGAGAUAAACUAUUUCACAUAAAACAAUAGAGGAUUUACCGGCUGAUCAUCUGUUUUAAUCCAAUUAUCAAACCAUUUUAUUUUAUGUUAUUUACUUUUUAUUGCACACAAACGUACUGCCUCAUACACUUAUAAAAUUUACACAUCCUAGAUAUUAACUUUAUUGCUAGUUUGAGAUUAACACAGUCCUCGUGGAUACGAACUUAUUUUAUUACUUCGAUAGUUUUAGUACACUUGCUAAAAUAUUUAUGAGUUAACCAAUAAAGAGUAUCAAGAACAACUUUAACCGAAUAAAAUAGAAAAGUAAUUAAAUGAAAUUUAUAGAAUUAUUCAAAGUUACAUAAUCAAACAAUUACGAGGAAGUUCUUAUUUCAUGACCUAACAUAUAUAGUAUUAGCUACUCAUAGAUUUUCUAAACAUAUAUAAAUAGAUAUGAAGAAGAAAGCAUGAGAAAAGGAUCAGCAAGUGAGGAUUAAUUGGCUCCCUAAUGGCCGUGGUCACUCCAAUCCUUCCAAAAUUGUGUUUCUGCCUUCGUCUUCUCGCUAAAAAGUAUUUUCCACUAACUUAGGUUUCAAUAUUUAUAGGUGUGCAUUUCCUUAAGUUUUUGGGAAAUUGGCACACGAUGCGAUCCUAUUCCUCAUGAUGCGAGGAUAACAUAACUAAUCUUGUUGGCCUCACGUUUAUUGUCCCGAUGCAAAGCUCAUGAAGAUUGAUACGAUUCAAGGAAAUGUGAUUUGAUUUAACCAAGCAAAAACCAAGAUCAUAGGAUAACAAUGAUACGAUUCAAAGAAGUGUUAACUUGAUUCACAGUAAUACAAUUCAAAGAAUCAUGAAUCGUUUAAAAAUUUAUGGAAAAUUAGCAGAAACUUUUCAUGAUAAGAUUCAAAAAAGUUUGAAUUGAAUCAAUUGGUUAGAAAAACAUUUUGACCAAGAAAAAUGAAGUUUUCUUUAUACAAACAAAACACAAGACAACAAGGGAUCAUAUGAUUUAUGAGGCAAGAUUUCUAGGUAUGCUUUAACAUGAUAUUAGUCAAUAACAACUAAUAUCUAAACAUCAUCAAAUAAAAACUACCUAAUGAACAUCAUAAAAACACAAACCUAUAACUACACAACUUCAUCCAACUUAUUGGGUGUACCGCAUUAACUAGAUAAUGGUCAUAUCUAUACUAUAUAUAAAGAAAAUAACAUGUUUUUCAAGGUGAGAAAAACACGAGAGGGGGGGGGGGGGGGGGUUGAAUUGUGGUUUCUUUCUCUUCUCCUAAAACCGAAUUCACUAUUCAGAACUUGAUAGAGUUCAGCUUCUGAAGUAGUGUUCAGAGUCUAGUUGCAGCGGAUAAGAAAAGAGAGAGAGAGAGAGAGGCAAGACACAAAGCAACUAUACAGAUUCCUUCCACAAACCGGAACUAGUCAUGUCCCCCUUGCACCUCCAAGAAGAGUUCACUAAAAUCAAUAUUCGAUUACAAUUGCUCAGGGCUCAAAAUAGCAAGAGACUUCAAACUACUCAAGAACAACUACAAGAGAUUUCCUAUGCUCAAGAACAAAAUCAAGAGACUUCCUAUGCUCAAGCACAACUGCAAGAGACUUCAUACAAAUCAGAUAAGACUCUUAAGAUUCUAGAAUUUCUAAAAUAUGAAAGUUGAUAAGAAAUUCUAAGUGAACUUUGAUGUGAAACAUUUUUAGCAGAGUUUUGGCACUUGUAAAAUUGUUGUAAGUCUCUUAGAAAUCUUCAAGUCUUCACUCCUUUAUAUAGAGGUGUGAAAGAGACGUUGUUGAUUUCCAACACAUUAAAAGAGUCGUUAUUGAAGCUUGAUCAAAUUUCAAUUCCAUUCCAAGUAUAGAGGAAUACCAGCGUAGUCACAAUUGUUGUUCUUGUACUAUUGCAGACAGAAAACAGAGUAGUGGAGAAGGUGGUUGUACAAUUGUACUAUUGUCCUUUUCCAAUGUUCUUCAAGGGAUAAGCAUCCAAUGACUUCAAAUUCCUCUUAAUUAGUUGUUGCUCUAGACUUCUAUUCCUUCUGCAAUGAUAGGCAUGAUAAUAACAACUCUUGACAAAUAUUGAAGCUUCCAGUCUUUCAGCUUAUGAUCUUAAACUUCUAACGACGUCAGCUUCUGGUAGUCUCCAGCUUAUGAUAAAAGUGCUUCUGAUGAUGUCAUCUUCAGAACCUCUUUGUCUUCAAAACCUCUUUUCCUUCAGAUGGUUCCUUGCAACUCAAGCUUCCUUUUUUUAAAUUCCAUUGCUCUCAUUUGUUCUUCUAGAACCCAUGCUUCAUUUAAAGACACUCAAAUUUUUGUAUAUGGUCCUGCACACUUGAACAAAUAUUAUCAUAUCCAAUUGAAUUUUUUUAAUACCUUGUUAUCAUCAAAACUUAAAGGGUAAUGUUAAACACAUUUUGUUCCAACAUUUUUGACUCUUUUAGAAUGACUUUUUCUCUUUCCAAAAUUACCAUCAACUUUCAAUACAAAUAACACAUACAACAAGAAUUGUGUUAUUUGAACAUCCAUAUAUGCGACAACUUUUGUGACAACCAAAAUUUUACAAAGAAAAUGAAGUAGUGGCACAAAAACCAAAGCAAUAGAGAGAGAAAGUAAAAAGAUAAUGUGAGUAUGAGAGAGAAAGUUGUCACAAAAGUUGUAAAAAAUAGUUGUUCAAAUAUCAUUUCUCCAUACAACAAAUAGAUGAGAGUAAAUUCAAACAUUAAAAUAAAAUUGUAAUACACACGAUAUGAGUAUAUAUGUCCAGUUUUUUCCUUUAUCAUUUAAAAAAUGUAACAAACAAGAUGAGAAUAUCAGAGAGAUGAGAGAUAGUGACGUGAGACAAGAAAGACCUCUCCGUGGCCCGCCUUUGCUUGAACGGUGGUAACCGCACCAGAAUUUAUCUCCAUUUGAGAGAUACACUAGGGGGUAGGUAUGCAGCCUGGGUGGUAGAAAAUGGGGGGGGGGGGGGGGGGGGUAUGGGUGAUUGGUCUGUAGUUAGGUCACGAAAGAGGAAAGCGACGCAAUCGGAAGAUCGAGGAAGGGACAAGUCAAGGGUUUCAGAGCGACGCGGAGGCACGGUAAGGGUUAGAGGGAUCGCACAUAAUGAUUACGGGUUUGAUGGCAGAGAGGCGCGACAAUCAGCAAGGGCUCUUCAUGAUCAGCAAGGUUUGGGUCGUUAUCAGUUUGGAAACAACGAUUUGGCUUUCGACAGAUGCGGGUCUGAUGCUAUCAUGGGAAAAGGCUUCUUCGACGACAAACAUAACAAUGGUAGUAAAAUUACUUUCUAUUUUGCAAACAUUCCUGAUUAUAUGCCGUUGUUUCGUCUCCGUCAAUACUUUGAAGUGUGUGGUAUUUUGUCUGAUGUCUAUGUUGCCAGACAACUAAAUUCACGUGGUCAGGUCUAUGGCUUCGUUAGAUUUUUGAAUGUGAGGAACAAGGACAAAUUAGCACAAGAUUUGAAUAAUGUAUGGAUUGGUGACUUUAAGGUCUGGGCGCGUGAAGCAAAAUUUGAUAGGUUUGCACAAUAUGAUGAUGAUCAUAGGGUGUCUAUGCAUGGUGAUAGAAGGGAUGAGAAUGGAGGGGAGAGGAGGCCGGUGGUGAGAACUAAUGGUGAUGGAGUAAAAAAUAUGAGGAUGUGUAAUUUUAAAAAAAUAGGAGGGAUAAUAAAAAUAGUUGUUGGUCUCAUUUUAAAAAAAAAUAAAAAAAUUGUUUAUAUAUUUUUGUUAUAUUAUCGGUGUCAAUGAAAUGGAUAAUCAUGGUUAAUUUGAUUUGUUAUAAUUUGAAAGCAACACACAUUUAUAUCUUUAAUUUUAAUCAAAAUCAAAAUGUUAUAAAAAAUACUAUUGCUAAUUUUCAAAUGUUAACACAAUAAAAAGAGCAGAAAGACGGAGUGCCCGUCUUUUCACUAGUUAUAAUAAAAGAAAUUUUAUUUGAUGUAUUGAUAAUGAUACUGAAACUUUUUACACAUACAUCCAAACAUUAUUCAUGACAUCACUUUUAUACAAGUUCUAAAAUAUCGCUGUAACAAAAAGGUUAAAAAACAACUCAUGAAAUAUGUACAUGAUUUAAUUGAAUAUAUGUGUAAAAGAAAUUAUAUAUCAACAUCUAUAAAUUAAAUUUAUUAUUGAAAUGAAAUACUAGUAAAAAUGAUGGCCAGCAUUUAUGAAAAUAAAGGUCUAACUGAUCAUGGGCCAAUUUAAAUCAAAAGUAGAUUUGUGCCCUCUAAAGGGUACUAGAAUAUAAAAGAUGGACGGCAAACAAGGGACACAAAGAAUAGAGAUGCUCAAUUUAAAACACAACUUCGAUUUUUUUUUUAUUUACUAAAAAAUAACUUAGAUUGUUUAGAGAAGAUAGGAAUUCAAUUAGUCUGACAACAUAUUUUGGAAGUACAAUUAGUUUCACAAUUAACUAUUUUGAUAAUCCUCCUUAUUAAAAAAAAAUUAAUAUUCCAUUUCGUCAAAUAAAACAAAAAGUUAGGGAGUGAUGAGAGAUCUUAGUCAAUAUUGUUUUGCACCAUAAUAUUUUUGAGAGAUUGAUUUGGCAUUUACAUGCUUCCAACAAAUACAAUGUAACAAGUGCUUAUAAUUAUAUGAUAUCGUCUCUUAAUAUUGUGACAGCUGAUCACUUAAACACAAUUUGGAACAACGAGGUCCCUCUGAAAGUUAGUCAUUUUACAUGGAGUUUGCUCUGUAGCCGAUUACCAACAACAAAUAAUUUUAUCAGAAGGCACAUUCUUAAUCAUAAUGUUCAACUUUGUGUAGGCUUUUGUGGUAUAAUGUAAGAUAUAGACGAUCUAUUUCUCUCUUGUGAUUUUUUUGAAAUUUUUUAGAUUGGUAUCUAUAAUUGGCUCGGCUUUACUAUGGUACAUCCAGAACAUCCGAAUAACUUUUCAACUCAUAUGGUUAACUUGUGUUUGGGUGAUUUGAUGGGAAAGAAAUGCUUGAAGUUUUCGCAAUCAAGAAGAAUCGUUACAACAUCUUCUUGACAAAAUUAAGCUUCAAUCCUAUUAGUGGUUGAAAGCGAAUAGAAUUUUCGCUCAAUUUUAAUAAAGUGGAUACUAUAUGAGAUUUUCGCUCAAUUUUUUAUGAGUAUGGACUGCACUUGGCGUUAGUCAUUGAACUCAUUUUACGAGACUCAAGUUCCAACUUAAGCCAAAAACUGAAACCAAACAAAUGAAGUAAAAAACUCAAGUUCCAAACUAAUGCGUGAUUUUAGUCAAAACAAUGUUUAUUUUUUGACAGUAGUUAGUUUUGGAUUACAGCUAUAUCCCUACACCCCACAAACUAUACCCCUCUCACCAAUAGACAAAACAAAAGAGUAGGUGGAAGGGUACAUAAUUAAGAAAAAGUUAUGUGAAAAACAAUAUUUUCUAUAGCCAAAACCAAAAGAUAUAUAUUGCAUUAUUGCAUAUAUACCAAUAAAAGAAGUACUGUGAAAUACAAGAUAAUGGCAUUAGAUUAGAAAUGGCCAAUUUGAUCUGUCUAUUUUUAAUCAUAUUAUUUAGAUUUGUUCAAUCUUUUACCAAAUCUUAUUUAGUUAUGCAAAAAGCAACACCUCUCGUUGAAAGAUAAUAAUAACGAUUUUUGGCAUAUGUUACUAAUAUUGAUUGAAAAAUGUUACCAAAUGAUGCAACUUCCCAACUCCAAUCCACUCAUAAUUUCAAACUUCGCUACCAUAUGAAAACAAAAUCACAGGUAGAAAUGUGUUGGAAAUCCUCAACAACUAUUGACUUUUGGUACAAAAGAGUGCCAAGUCAUUACUAAUUCAAGAUUGAGACAUGCAGCUGUGAGUGGAUUCACUAAGAUCACGACUAGUAUAAAAGGAGCUGGUCACACUUGUAUUUUAUGCACCAAAUUAUAAGUCACUAACAUGGCUUCCUCAAACUUUCUAAUGAUGCUCCUCUUUGCUCUCUUUGUCAUCCCUAAGGGGUUUGCCAACUACGAGAAACCUCCAGAGUAUCAUCCACCAGUUGAAAAUCCCCCAUUUUAUAAACCACCGGUAGAGAAACCACCUGUGUAUAAACCACCAAUAGAGCAACCUCCAAUUUAUAAGCCACCUGUAGAAAAUCCUCCAAUUUAUAAACCACCAGUAGAGAAACCACCCGUGUAUAAACCACCGUUUGAGAAACCUCCAAUCUACCAUCCACCAGUAGAGAUACCACCAGUGUACAACCCACCAGUUGAACAUCCUCCAAUUUACAAGCCUCCUGUAUACAAACCACCAGUAGAGCAACCUCCCGUCUAUAAGCCACCAGUAGAGAAGCCUCCAAUUUACAAGCCACCAGUAGAGAAACCUCCUGUUUACCAACCUCCUGUUUACAAGCCCCCAGUUGAGAAACCUCCAGUGUACAAGCCACCUGUAGAAAAGCCACCAGUGUACAAGCCACCUGUAGAAAAGCCACCAGUGUACAAGCCACCUGUAGAAAAGCCUCCUAUAUACAAACCACCAGUAGAGAAACCACCAGUGUACAAACCACCCGUUGAGAAACCCCCGGUUUAUAAGCCACCAGUAGAGAAACCACCUGUGUACAAGCCACCAGUUGAGAAGCCCCCAAUUUACAAGCCACCAGUAGAGAAACCACCUGUAUACAAGCCACCAGUUGAGAAGCCUCCAGCUUACAAGCCACCAGUUGAGAAGCCACCUGUAGAGAAACCACCAGUGUACAAGCCACCGGUUGAGAAGCCCCCAAUUUACAAACCACCAGUUGAGAAGCCUCCAGUGUACAAGCCACCGGUUGAGAAACCACCUGUCUACAAGCCACCUGUAGAAAAUCCACCUGUUUACAAGCCACCAUUUGAGAAACCUCCAAUUUAUAAACCGCCAAUAGAGUAUCCACCCGUGUACAAGCCCCCUUUUGAGAAACCCCCCAUCUACAAGCCACCUGUAGAGAAACCUCCUUUUUACAAGCCUCCGUUUGAGAAUCCACCAUUUUAUAUACCUCCAGUUGAGGAGCCUCCUGUUUACAAGCCUCCAUUCGAGAAGC